rnacentral:lncRNA from 1 species
UUCUUGUGGAGUUUUGAUUCUGCUUCUUUCUAGCAGUGAGUUGGUUGAGUCCUAACUGGUUUUUCCUCCAUUCCUCAUGGUUUUGCAGUUGGUUGUAGCUUGUUUAGAGGUUAGUAAGAUCAUUUACAUGUUAAUUUGAAUAUUUGGCACCAAAAGACAUUUUCAUUAGAUUUUUUUAUUGGAUUUUCAUUUCCAGCUAGAUUCUUGCUAGGAGCUAGAUUUUCUUUUUUUUUUCUAGUUGAUUUCGUGCUAUGGAAGGUGCUGGUGGUUUGAAUUGCUGUUUAGAGCAGGUAUGUUAGCCAGUUUUGCAAAAAAUUAAUUUUUUGCUAGAAAUGGCAGAUUUUAGUUCCAAUGCUGGAUAUGGUUUAGUUGUAGCACUUUGUUAGGUUGUGGAGUUUAAAUUGGUGAUAUUUGCUGGAUUCCUGAGUUGAGGAAAGACUGACUUCAUCUUCUUUCAAUAGGAAUGCAUUUUGAGGUGGGUUUAAAGCAUCGAAUACGUUGAACUUUCUAUUAUGUCCAUAUGUGUCGUUAGCAUCAAUUAACAUGCAUGAAACCCAGUAUUUGGUUGUUUAUGUUUGAUUAAAUAGAGAAUUCAUUGUGCAUAAUUACGGGUUAGUCUUGGUUUGGAUUCUCUCAACUUCGUAAUUGAUAACUUGCAAAUGUUAAUAUUUAUGCACUAUCAGAUUGUAUGCAAACUGAACUUGGAUAGUUGAACUGUUGUAACUAUUGGGUUGGUUCCAUUUGCUUAGGUUGUUUGGCAUGGACUAGUGAUAGUGCGGAUUAUCUUGUGUGUAUAGGGUUUGGGUGGUACCGGAUUAUUAGACUCAUUUUGAUUACUCUAGCCGUCGGAGUAGACGGCGUUACUAGGUAGUAAAUUUAUGCAUCAGAUUGCACCGAGAUCGCUUUAGUAGCGGUUAGUGUGAUCUACUUGAUCAUUUGCACCAAUUAUAACCUAUUUUACACUUGAUCUGGUUAUUUUGAUUCGCGAAUGGGUUGCUCCCCUCGAGUGCCACUCCAGAGAUAGGUGGCUUGAUUUAGCAUUAUUAUUUUCACGUUGGUGACCCACUGGUUUUAGUAGGGAUUAGACAUGAGGUUAGCGUGGUGUUAGGGACUUAGAAAAUUCUGCAUAGCUCGAUCCCUGGUCCAACUCCGCAGGCUAAAAUAGGUUGAAACGAGUUGUCAAUGAGACCCGAAUCCAACGCACUUUGGGAGAGUAAAGGGUUGCAAAACUACUGCCAUUAUGCCCCAUUAUCUCUUAGAAAAGACUGCCAAGAAUCAUAGAAGAGACUCUUGGGCUUAAUUUUUAUAAGGGCUCAUCAUAUGUGUUAAUGAGAGAGAUAGUGUGUGAGUUAUGGUGGCUAGAUUCAUUGUAUCUCUAGGCCUAUAAAUAGUGGGUGUGGCCAAGGCCAAAACACAAGAGAGUGUGUAUGUGUUGUAAUCCUCUUUUCUAAGUAAUUGAGAGUAUUUAGUAUUUUUGGGUUAACCUCUAUCUCUCUCUUUUCUUCCCUUUGAAUCACGGGCCAUCACGAGGGAUGCCGCACCGUUAGAGGAUCACCUUGCGCCGUUGAAGGACAUCUUGUUGAAAAUGGGUGAAAGGUACGCCGAAAUGGCUGAAUCUUUUAACUCGUUUAAUGAUGAAGUCCAUAGCAUAGAACAAAGCAUCGCUAGUGCCAUGACGACCUUUUGAAGCGAACUCAAAAAGCUUCAGAACAAUAUGACUUGUCGUGACGAGGAGCGAAAGAAGCUGAUUGAGGAACUUGUUGCUCGAGUUGACAAGGUCGAGGACCUCAAGACGCGAGUAAUGAUCCUUGAGAAAGCGAUAGCGCGUGAUCUUGAACCACAAAGAGAGUUUGCUUCGAAGGUAUGUGUUUCGAACCUGAAAAUUUUAGAGGUAUUUGCGAUGAAAAGAAGAUCGACAACUUUCUGUGGCACAUGGAGUGCUACAUCAAGGCGCUGCGGUUGGACGACGAGGAGGAAAAAGUUCAAGCCGCGUCCAUCUACCUUGCUGACGACGCGAUGCUAUGGUGGCGUCGAUGUUCUAUAGAGGCCGAGAAAGGCCAAUGCAGCCUAAAGACAUGGGAGGACUUUGGGCGAGAGCUUAAGGCGUAGUUCUAUCCUAAGCACAUCGAAUACCUUGCAAGGAGGCAACUACGAUGGCUCAAACACACCGCGAUGCUCAAGGAGUAUGUCAAAGAAUACUCCAAGUUGAUAUUGUCCAUCACCAACAUGGCGGAUGAACAUCGUUUAUUUCUCUUCCUCGACAGGCUCAAGCCUUGGGUGAAUAAGGAGCUUGUGGGGUGCGAUGUCAAGGAUGUGGCCUCCACAAUUGCCUUGGUGGAGAAACUGCCAGAGUAUGAGAGGGUGGAUCCAUUUCGCAGCAAGACACCCAAAGCGAGUAAGGCCAAAGGUGGAAAGGUGGAGGAAACCGCCACAACUAGAAGAGCGCAGGGGCCGUGAGAGAGGUCCUGUACCACCGGAUUGCCCAAAGAAAAAAUUGGUGAAUGCUGUCCAGACUGAGCAGGGCGAAGGCAAUGCGAAACCGAUGAAGAUAGGUGUGCUUAGGGUAGUCAACACUGUUCAAGGACUGGCAAGCAGCUGCAAGCCCCUCAACAAAGAGCUCUUGUACAUCGAUGUGACCCUCAACGGCAGGGCCACACAAGCGCUGUGGACAUAGGAGCCAUACAGAACUUCAUAGCCAAGGUAGAGGCCAAGCGGAUAGGCCUUCUCCUUGAGAAAGAUGCAAGCAGGAUCAAGGCCAUCAAUUCUGAGGCACGACCUGUUGCGGGUGUGGCCAUUGUGGUGGGACCUUCGAGGGGCAUUGUAAAUUUCACCACUGCACCCAUCGACGACUUCCAAGUUAUACUAGGUAUGGACUUCUUGGCUUCGUCAAAGGCGGUCCUAAUGCCACACCUUAGGGCCUUGAGCAUUAUGGAGAAGGUGGCCCCAUGCAUGGCCCUAAGCACCCAGACCCUCUCUACUUUGCAAUUGCGAAAGGGUGUGAACCGUGGGGAGAUGACUUACCUUGUGGUCAUUCACGAGGUGAGUGACGAGGGCCUCGAGGAGGAGGGCCUUCCAACAGAGAUUAAAGCAGUCUUGGCAGAUUUUCAAGAUGUCAUGUCCAAGGAGUUGCCUAAGCAACUUCCACCUAAGCGGGAGGUGGAUCAUGCCAUCGGGCUCGAGCCAAGAGCCAAACUACCAGCAAAAGCGCCAUAUAGAAUGGCCCUGCUAGAGCUCGAGGAGCUGCAAAAGCAGUUGAAGGAUCUCCUCAAUGCCGGCUUUAUUCAACCGUCCAAAGCACCCUAUGGAGCACCAGUUUUGUUCUAGCGAAAGAGCGAUGGAAGCCUGCAGCUCUAUAUCGACUACAGGGCGCUCAACAAAGUAACAGUCAAAACCAAGUAUUGCAUUCCUUUGGUUGCAGAUCUCUUAGACUAGUUGGGCGUAGUACUUGUUUUUGAAAUACUUCACCAAAGUCGACCUUCGCUCCGGGUACUAUCAAGUAGAAAGAGGCGAGAAAAAGACCAUGUGCGUGAUGAGGUAUGGGGCCUAUGAGUUCCUUGUCAUGCCGUUCGGCCUUAUGAACGCGCAAGCGACCUUCUGCACGCUCAUGAACAAGUUGUUCCAUCCCUACCUCGAUCACUUUGUGGUGGUGUAUCUCGACGACAUCGCGUAUACAGCAACACCUUGGACGAGCACAUCGAGUACUUGCGAACCGUCUUCCAAGCUGCGAGAGAACCAGCUGUUCUUUAAGAAGGAAAAGUGCCUAUUCGCGAAGGAAGAGGUGCACUUCCUUGGCCAUUGGAUAGGCCAGGGCCUAAUUCGCAUAGACUAGUAUAAGGUUCGAGUCAUUUGCAAAUGGGAGACCCCAACGAUGUGUUUGAGUUGUGGUCUUUCCUUGGGCUCAUUAACUACUACCGCCGCUUCAUUACGGGCUACUCCGUGAGAGCAUCCUCGCUGAUGGAUCUACUGAAAAAAACCACUCGUGGGUUUGGACACCUCAAUGCGCAGAGGCAGUCGAGGACCUUAAGCGAGUAGUGACGGAGAAUCCAGUGCUGUGACUAUCUGAUUAGGGUUGCACCUUUGAGGUACACACUAAUGCCUCUGACUUUGCCAUAGGUGGUGUCCUCGUGUAGGAUGGACACCCGUUGCCUACGAAAGCCACAAGCUCAAUGACAUCGAGCAGUGUUACACCGUCUAGGAGAAGGAGAUGACCGCUGUGGUGCAUUGCUUGCGAACCUGGUGGCCACUAUUUGCUUGGGAGCAAGUUUGUGGUGCGAAUUGAUAAUGUCGCCAUGAGUUACUUUCAUUCAUAGAAGAAGUUGUCGCCUAAGCGGCAAGGUAGCAGAAUUUCUUGGCGGAGUUCGACAUGGAGAUGCAAUACAAGCCUGGAAAGGAAAAUUGUGUGACUGACACACUCAGCCGCAAGGUUGAACUAGCGGCAAUGUGGCAGCUUCACGGGACACUCCGCAAUCGACUUUGCUCGGGAACCAAUGAGGACUAUAUCGCUCAAAAUUUGUGCAACCUGUCAAGGAAGGCAAAAUGCGAAGGUUUUGGCUGAGCGACGGGUUGCUCCUCACUAAGGGGCGAUGGGUGUACAUGCCCAAGUGGGGCAACCUUCGCCACAAGCUCAUCAAAGAGUGCCAUGACUCCCUGGCAUUGCUCGAGGCUAUCUACUUUUGGCCGCGGAUGUAUGAAGACAUGGAGGCCUAUGUGCGAACCUGCUUGGUGUGUCAACAAGAUAAAGUUGAGCACUAGCAACCUAGUGGAGUCCUAGAGCCUUUGCCUAUGCCUAGCCGUUCGUGGGAGAGUCUCUCUAUGGACUUCAUCUCCGCCUUGCCAAAGGUAGGGGAGCUUGGGUCCAUUCUGGUGGUGGUUGAUCGUUUUUCUAAGCACGGGACCUUUAUCGCUACACCAACCGAUUGCAUGACUGAAGAAGCGGCGCGCCUCUUUGUUAGCCACAUUGUCAAGCUUUCGGAGAUUCCCAUGAGUAUCAUGAGUGACCGCGACCCCAGGUUUAUUGGCAAAUUUUAGACUAAGGUGUUCAAAAUCUUGGGGUCUGAGUUGCUCUUUUUCACCAGUUUUCACCCAUAAAUGGACAGGCAAACAAAGCGAGUGAAUUCUUUGUUGGAGUACUUGCGACACUAUGUGAAUGCCAACUAGAACGAUUGGGUGCAUCACCUAGAUGUUGCCCAGUUUUUCUACAACUUGCUGCGCAGCGAGUCUAUAGGCGGCAACCCUUUUGAGCUAGCGAUGAGGCGACAACUGCUCACUCCACACACGGCUGCUGAGGGAGAGCAGUUUCGCAGCCCUGUUGCUUUUCAAUCUACCUCUAAUUUGUAGGAAAAAAGGUUAAAUUGUGAGGGCUAACUUGGAGAAAGUGGCUCAAUGAAUGAAGAAGUGGGUUGACGAAAAGCGGCGACCUCGGAAGUUUGCUGAGGGAGACUGCGUGAUGGUCAAGUUUCAGCCGUGGCAAUUCAAAGUCCUGCGCAAGGUGCACAAGGGACUACUGUGCAAGUGUGAAGGCCCAUUUACCAUCGUCAAGUGUGUUGGCAAGGGUGCCUACAAGCUGAAGUUACCUGCGAAUCUCAAAAUCUACCUCGUCUUCCAUGUUAGUAGACUGAAAUUAUACCACGAGGACGUGGAGGAUCGGAGCUGCCGUGUUCGCAGCAUGCACUUGCGACCAUGGUCACUUCGUUCGACAAAUAAGCUGAGUCCAUCCUGACACUCGGCUCAUUAGGUGACGUGGAGUUCUGCUAAGUCUAGAAUACUUGGUGAAUUGGAAGAAUCUCCCCUAUGGCGAGGCUAGUUGGAAUAAGACGGAUACAUUUUGACAAUACCAAGCACAAAUUGAUGAGUUCCAGAAGAAGCGCGCGAUGAGGACGCUUGCGCAUUUGGUGGGGGAGAGUGUCGGGGACCUAGAAAAAUUCUAUGUAGCGCGGUCCUGUGGCCCAACUCCACAAGCUGAAAUGGGUUGAAACUGGUUGUUAAUGAGACCCGAAUCUGACCCACUUUAGGAGAGUAAAGGAUUGCAAAAUUGUUGCCAUUAUGCCCCAUUAUCCCUUAUAAAAAACUGCCAAGAGUCAUGAGAGAGACUCUUGGGCUUAACUUUUAUGAGGACUCAUUAUGUGUGUUAAUAAGAAAGUUAGUGGGUGAGUUAUGGUGGCUAGAUUUAUUGUAUCUCUAGGCCUAUAAAUUUUGGGUGUGGCCAAGGCUAAAAUAUAAAAGAGUGUGUAUGUGUUGUAAUCCUCUUUUCUAAGUAAUUGUAGGACGUGAAGUUCCGGAUUAGCAACAUGGAUAAAGGCUUAUCUAUCUUCGUGGAGGAAGGUGGGCGCCGCAUGGGUUUUACAAACAAAAACGCUAAGACUGUGACAGCCGGCUUGACUGGUCCUUCGAGUCAGUCGGUAGAUUGUAUUCUUCAGCAGCAUUAUUAGCAGUUUAGUUUCAUUCUAUAUGAUGCAUGCAUUCAUUUGACAUCUAGUUUAGAGGUGUAAUAGUGAUAAUUUCUUAUUGCAGUUUUACGUAUCCUUUUUCAUUUAGCAAUUUAGUAUUACUUUCCCUCUAUUAGACCUAGUCGGUCGGUUGUUGUCAUCGAUGACGGUACCCACUGAGGACUAUUGGUUUUAGUAGUUCUCAUGCCCCCUAUGUUUACAAUUUUUUGCCGAGCAUAAUGUACCUGUACUUGCUGUUUCUGACCACGGUAAGUGGAUUGCUGAAUAGAUAGCUCUUCUACCCAUGAACCAGUUUAGAGGAAGACCCAAUAUUUGCUAAUUUGCAGAGAGACUUUCUAUACCUAUUUUUGUUUUUACUUUCCUGCUUAAUUAUGAAUUGUAUUAGCUUUUGGGAGUUGUAUAUGUACAGUUUGUUUCGGUUAUAUUGUACUUAUUUUCAGCACUGUUACUCUUUCCUAUUGUUGCUCCUUAUUUUCUUAUUCUUUGAGCAGAUUUUGUUGCUUUUGUGCAUGUAAUUUCUUGUAUAUGCGACGGAUCUAUUGGCGAGUCCGGGUUCCAGCAUAAUUCGAACGUGACAUUUUGGAUAUGGAAAUCCUAAGUCACUAUAACAGAAUUAGCUUAUAGGGACACAUUUUUGGAACACUUUUGUGUAAGUGUCUCAUUUAUACCAAAACUUUUUUUUUUUAAAAUCUACUAAGGCAUAAAUAUAAAGCGCAAUCCAAUCAAAAAUAAAAAGUUCCUCUACUUAACCAACUCCACCUAGCCUACUCGUCCCAAUUACAAAUAGAAAAGGAAAAAAAAAAAGGAAAAAAUUGAUCACCAUCUCCCCUUCUCGUCCCCUGCCCCUGCAGUCGACGAACGCCACGUAUCCCUCCACCACAGGUUGCUGGAGGAGUGGAUGCCGAACGUCAAGGAGGCCCCACAUAUAGCAAUCCCGCAUAUAGCAAUCUUUUUAAAAAGUGUCAAUAAUUUAGCCAGUAGUUUUUUUUUUUUUUUUUGAUCUGUACUGAUAUUUAAAAGUAUCAUUAUACACCAUUUUUAUUAUAGUGAGUAUUAAUUAUCUAUUUUAAUCAAAAAAAGUAUUAAUUAUCUAUAAUUUACUAUCUUACUUUCUUUUCGGAUAUGAGUCUUUGGGGAUACUGAAAUCCUAGGUGUCAAAAAGCUCUUUUGGGAUAUGAAAAUCUUGAGUAUUAAAAAGCUUUAUCUAUAAUUUAUUACCUUUCCCCCUUUUGAGAUAUGGGAAUCCUGAGUAUUAGAAAGCUUUAUUUAUAACAUUUUUUUUCCUUCAGUUACUAAAGAAAUCAUAGGAUUGCUUAACUUUCUUCAUGUCCAACGUAAAAUUGCAAGUGUACGUCCCAACAAUGGAGGCUAAACGUAUUAGCUUUUUUGCUGUGUUGCUUCUUAUGCUGCUCCUACUUGCUCAUUGUAAAUCUCUCUUUUCUCUCACUGUUUCAUGCAAAAUCAUGAGCCAGUAAGUAGUCAAUAUAUCAAAAACAAUAAGCAAUAACAUCUUAAUUUAUAUGGAAUGCCAUACUUCGAUUUUCAGCCAACGGCCGUGGCGCCGAAGGGAAGAUUUGCAAAAGCUUGUGCAAGAGAUGUACAGGCCGCUGCUCUAAAAGCACGUGUAAGCCCUCGUGCAUCGGCGAGGGGUUUGAGAGUGGUGGGUGUUGGCCGUUCAAAAAAGGGCAUCAUCGAUGUGUCUGCGGCAAACGUUGCUAAUCGGAGAAUUAACUACUAAAUGGCCUCAUCUUGUACUUCACCCCUAUCCUUAGAAGAUCGAGCAUAUAUAGGCUAACAGUUGUAAUGGCUUGUGGGUGUUGUUAAUGUUAUAAGGAUGAUUUGAAUUAGAGUGCUGGAUCUUAGGGGCUGUUUGGUUUAGAGUCUGUUAGUUUCACCGAAACUAAACUUAAAAUUGAAGUGGAGUUCAAAUAAAAACUAUUUUUCUCUUGUUAUUUUUUUCACAGCUAUGGAAGUGAAGUUUCUUCAGCUCUAUUGUUUGUUUGGCAGAAAGUGAAUGGUAUAAAAUUAUAAUUUAUGUAUAAAUAAUAAAUAACUUGAUAACUUAAUAAAUAGUAAAUUAUAAUAUAAUAAAUAAAAAUAACAUAAUUACAUGGCCAAUUUGCAUAAAAAAUUCAACAGUUUUGAAUUUUUGCACAAGUAGAUUGUCUUUUUGAAUUUUAUAAAUUCUGUCCGGAUUGUUAAUAAACUGACCAAAGGGAGUGGUACUUUUGCGUUUUUAGCUAUUGGAUGGAGAGAUGUGGGGUUGAGAUGAUGGUGAUAGGUGGUGGUAGGUGGAAUAGUGUUUGAUCCAAAGGCUAUUAGUAAUGAAGGAGUAGAUCCAAGGGCUAGAAACCUAGAAGCACCAAGGGGUUGGUGCUUCUAAAAGUAUUAUAUAUAUAUAUAUAUAUAUAUUAACUCGAUANAUAUAUAUAUAUAUAUAUAUAUAUAUAUAUAUAUAUAUAUAAAAUUUGAGCUCCUAUGAGCUCCUAUUCUUUUAAAAGUACUAAGUUAUUAGUGCUUGUAGAUUUUUGGCUAUUGGAUUAAGGAAUGUGCGGUUAGGAUGAUGUGGGAUUCCUAGGGUUGAGUGGGUGGUUGGUUAAAUAGUAUGAUCAAACGGGUGAAAAUGAUCAAAGGGGUAGAUCUAAUGGUAAAAAAUUUACAAGCACCAAGUGCUUGGCGCUUUUACAAUCGGGUUGAGAUGUCGAGCAGCCUUUCGAAGCAGAAGGCAGCGUUAGGCGGCAGCUUCAACCUGCUGCUUUUGAAGGGGAUGUACGACCAAGGGAUGGUGUGGCAGCACGCGGCGGUGCAAGCAAGUGGUGACGAGAGCGCUAGCAGUGCAGACCCGAUGCCUCCUCCGCUAUGCCGCCACCUUCGCCCUCACCAUCGAGAAUUGUCACCGCAUCGGUGACGUCCCUGCCAGCCGCGGCGAGGAACGUAAGCGCUGUCGCUAGAACGGCGAUGUGAGGGAUCGCCAUUGCUGAGGCCUCGAGAGCUCAAGAGAGAGCGAGGGAGCGAGGGAUUUAGAGCAAAAUUAUUCUAAAUGGUACAAUUUUAUCUCAAACAGUGCAACAUAUUCUCAAACAGUGCAAUUUCGUCUUCUUCUUAUUUCUUCUUUGUCUUAAAUAAUGCAAUUUAUUCUCAAACAAUGCACUUUAGCUUUAAAACAGUGCAACUUCUCUUUUAUUAUGAUGCAAUUUAGUCUCAAAUAGUUAUAAAUGGUGUAACUUUAUCUUAAAUACUGCAACUAAUUAUCUCAAGUAGUGCAACUUUCGUCUCAAAUAGUGCAACUUCAUCUUAUUAUUCUUUCUUCUUUGUUUCUUGGCCUUUCCAGUUGCAGUGUUGAUACAUAAUAGUCUUUCAAGAAUUAAUUUUUCUAUUUUUUAUUGUUCUUUUUUUUUCUAUCCUCUGUAUCCUCUUUUUGCUUCUUGGAGAAGUGCGGAUGCGUCUUCAUCCUCACUCUCAUGAGCGACAGCGAACACCGUUUUGGCCACGACCUCAUUGCCUCCAUUCGCUCCGUCCUCCUCCCACCGGCGCCGGCAGAAGUGGAGGAAGAGGAGGUGGCACCGUCCUCAUUGAAGAGGAGGUGGCACCGUCCUCAUUAUCGUCACCGAGGGCCGCAGACGUGGUGGAGAAGGCGAUGUGAGUCGAAGAGUAAAAAAAGAACGAGAGAAAAAAAUAGGACGAGCGAGAAAAAUCCAAAAAGGCGAGAAGAGGACGAAUCGUACAGAAAAAGGCGAGGGUGAAAAGAGAGAGAGAGAAAUAAAGAUAUUUUGGUCAGUUUAUUAAAAAUUCAGUAUGAAUCUGUAAAAUCUAAAAAGGCAGACUACUUUUGCAAAAACUCAAAACCGAUGGAUUUUUUGUACAAAUAGGCCUAAUUAUAUUCCUAUAUAAUUAAAACAACUAAAUUAUUUUAUAUAUAUAUAUAUAAAUUAUAAUAAUAUAAUAGUAAAAUUUUAAAGUAAAAGAAAAUAUUAAUAUUUAACUAAUCAAAUUUUAUCAUAUUUUAAAUAUACAAACUAAAAUGAAUGAAAUAUUAAAACUUAACUAAUUAAUUUUUAUUAUAUUUUAAAUAUACAAACUAAAUAAAAAAAUAAUUAGUAUCAUAAAGGCUAAAUUACAGAAACCCGCCUGUCAAUACCUACUUUUUUACUUUCUCUCUCUGUCAUUCAAAAACCUAUACUUUACCUCCUUAAAAAAUAAAAAAUGUUUACUUUGACAACCGCCGUCAGUGUUCUAUCAGGGUUCCGUUUAUAUCCUAUUUUUUGUACCCAAAAUACCCCUAAAAUCCUCCUCAUUCCUCAUCCUCGGCCGCGCCACCUCGCCCUCCGCCGUCUCGCCCUUGUCCAUCUCUGUGUCCAUGCCCACACCUGCCCUCGCCGCCUCACCAUCGCCCUCGCCAACCUCUCCGUCGAUGCCUACCGCGAAAAAGAUGAGUGGCAAUAUGGUUAUUUUGUCAGUGUACCUCCCUAUGAAUAUUUUUUGUUUUUUAAGGGGAUAAAGUGUAGGUUUUUGAUAGGGGAGUUUUUUGUAAUUUAGCCUAUCAUAAAUAAGUAUAUUUAAUAUAACUAGCAUUAUGCAUUGUCUUAUUUUAUUUUUUUUUUCUUGACCUCUCUUCAUCGUAAUUGACUUCGGUUCAGGACAGGCCGAAAUUAAUUAUGCUGUUUUAGGUAACUCGAGUUUUGACCGUAUCUUUGUUAUGACGAACUAACUAACAGAAGUAAUCAUUUAUGGCCGAAAACGACUUCAUCCUUCUCCAUUUUCACCCAAACAAACAGGUCAUUAGUGUAAGUGAAGGGCUGGAACUCAAGUUCCAUCUUUGGUGUUUAUUUUGUUGUAAGUCAAAAAAAUUAUAUAACUCAAGUUAUGUUAGACCUCUUCUUCACCUAUUCUUGACUUCCCUAUCUAGAGUACUAAACUGAUCAAGUUCCACGACACUCAACUUUUUCUAAAAAAAUUAUUAAAUAUUAAAAUCUAAACUCUACUUCUAAAAUCCUUUAGAAUGGGUUAGAGUUUUUCUUUUAUAAUGGAUUAAGAUUACUUUCAAACAAUAAUGGAGGAUUUAAUUAUUUACAGGUUGGAUUUUGUAGGGAUAAGUUUACCAUUAUAUACGAGAUAAUGGGAUUCACUUACACCAAAACAAACAAUGGAACUCAAAAAACUAAUUUCACCAGCAUUAAGUUAAACCAAAAUAAACAGAAAAAGUGAUUGAAUUUAAUUUUCAGACUGUAUGAGUUACAUCAAAAUAAAAAAAAAAUCACACUUUAGAAAAACUCAAACAACACUACAUUUGAAUUACGUUGGUUCAAGAAAUCCGUCAAUCCAAAUACCCCCAUAAUCAUACAACUCGUCUCAUCCAAACUCUUUCCUUUCCCCAACUACAGGUCUUAUUAUCUUUUAACUAUACUAUUUGACACCUCCUACAAACGCCACGUGGCAUGCCUCCUUAUUCUCCAUUCCACAUGGCGACCAACCCUCUCACCCCCACCUCUACAGAGCCUCUCUCUUUUCUCAACUCACAUCCAGCUGGCAUUCUCUCUCUUCAACUACUGCACUCUCUCUCUUCCUUCCUACAGAUAAUUCUUUCUAUCUCUUCCUCUCUCUCUCCUCUCCUCUCUCUCUUCCUCUCUUAAGAUGGGCCCCUCUCUCUUUCCAGCUGGCCUGCUCUUUCUCUUUCUCCUCCUCUCCCUUUCUCUCUCUCUCUCUCUCUCUCUCUCUCUCUCUCUCUUCUCCUCUUUUCUCUAUAUCUUAGCCUUCCCUCUCUCUCCUCUCUUCUCACAGGGUACCUGGGCAGCAACAGCAGUGGCAAUGGCUUGGGCGGCAACAGCGGCGGCUGCGGCGGCAGUUUGAGCGGCAUCAACGGCAGUCGCCUUGCGUCGACCUCAUCUCGCCAUCGAGGGAUCUUAGAGCUUUUUAAAAUUACUGUGAAUAUCUCAUAUACCCUAAAAAAAAAUUAAAUUAAAAAAAUAUAAAAAAAGACUUCUGCACCUCGACCUCAUCUCGCCAUCGAGGGAUCUUAGAGCUUUUUAAAAUUACCGUGAACAUCUCAUAUACCCUAAAAAAAAAAUAAAUUAAAAAAAAAAGACUUCUGCAGGAGACGUUGCGGAGGGUGUCGCCGCGGGUCCGGUAGCGGUGGCAGGUCUUGCAGAAAUAGCGCGGCUGCGAGAGGGAGUAGUUGUCGAAGUAGCAGGACUUGGUGUUGGUCGAGUCGUAGCGCGGGCACUUGAGCGCCGUGUCACGGACUUAACGAAUUUGCUCGCAAAAGCCCGUGCGGCGCUCGCCUUCCUUCGCGAAGUGAGCAAGCCUGCCUCUCUACUUGCUAAGUUAGGACCUCACUCGCCCUAGACUAAGUACAAGAGAGAUAUAAAGAAAGCUCUUCUAUUACUUUGAACUUGUGAAUACAAUAUGAGAUUCUGAAAUGAGAGGGGGUGGAGGACACACUAUUUAUAGGCCACUCGCCGCCCAUAAUGCCAAUGAAAAGGUGCCAAGUGGCACAAUACUACUAGCCAAAAGGGGAGGCCAUGCGGUCUCCUAAGAGUCCUAAUAAAUAGCAUAUAAACUCGAAGAGUCAUACAUUUAUUGACUACCUAGAAACUCUAAGGGACUCUUAACCCUCCGGUAUCCGCACCGUCAGUCUCGAGAUCCGCGUAGAAGCUUUUAGAUGAUUCCAAGCCAAAACCUCCAUCAGAUGUCUGCUUUGGAGUUUGGGUGAUUGCAAUGCGAAAUCGCGGAGAAAAUCUUUAUGUCCUGACAACCUCCCCCACCUAUUGCGCAGACGCCCUCGUCGCGCGCUGGUGUUGGAAGUCAUCGAUUAGCUUCUGAUACUUCCAGAGUGUGUCAGCCUUCUCCGAGCUUGCCUCGCCAUGCGGGAGAUUCUUUCACUUGACAAGGUACUCCACGCUCCUCGGGACUCCGCGACGCCGAAUGGUGCGAGUGUCCAACAAGGCUUCGACGUCCUUGUCGAUUGCAGUGGUCAUAGUGGCGGGAGCGCGUUGCGACGCGCCCCGGCUCGGGUCCUCAUCGUCUUCAUGGUAGGGCCGUAGGCAGCUAGCAUGAAAGAGAGGAUGAAUCUUCAGGUUGGCGGGGAGUUGCAGUUUGUAGGCUGCCUUGCCUGCUCGCUUGAUGACAGUGAAAGGCCCCUCAUACUUUCGCAAAAGCCUAUGGUGUACCUUGCGAAAAGCCUUGAACUGUUUUGGUUGCAGCUUGAUCAACACUCGAUCUCCCUCGGCAAACUCCAAGGGUCGCCGCUUUGCAUCGGCCCACUUUUUCAUUCGGCGGGCCGCCUUCUCGAGAUAGGCUCUCGCAAUGUCCCCUUUCUCCUGCAAAUGAGAAGUGAAUUGGAGAGCCAUUGGGCUGCGGCCCUGCUCGCCUGCAGCAGCAGAAUGCGGAGUGAGUGGUUGCCUCCCCGUUGCCAGCUCGAACGGGCUAAGGUUUGUUGACUCGCUCCGCCGCAAGUUGUAGGAGAACUAGGCCACGUCCAGAUGAUGCACCCAGUCCUUCUGGUUGGCACUGACAUAGUGCCGCAAGUACUCCUCCAGUAGGGCAUUCACCCGCUCCGUCUGGCCGUCCGUCUGCGGGUGAAAACUGGUGGAAAAGAGCAACUCCGACCCCAAGAUCCGGAACACCUCUGUCCAGAACUUGCCCGUGAACCUAGGGUCGCGGUCACUCACAAUGCUUUCGGGGACGCCCCAAAGCUUCACCACAUUGCUGACGAAGAGCCGCGCCAUUUCUUCCGCCGUGCAAUCCGCUAGUGCCGCGAUGAAAGUCCCGUACUUGGAGAAUCGGUGCACCACUACGAGGAUGGACCCCAACGUCCCCACCUUGGGCAAGGCGGAGAUGAAGUCCAUGGAAAUGCUCUCCUACGGACGCGUCGGUGUAGGCAGGGGCUCGAGGAGGCCCCCAGGAUUCUGGCGUUCCACCUUGUCUUGCUGGCACACAAGGCAAGUCCGCACGUACGCCUCCACGUCGUCGUGCAUGCGAGGCCAAUAGUAGGCGGCCUCGAGUAGCGCCAUCGUCCGCUUCUGUCUUGGAUGUCCGGCCCAAUUGGAGUCAUGACAUUCCUUCAUGAGCUCGCGACGAAGAUUGCCCCAUCUGGGCACAUAGACGUGCCGCCCCUUGGUGAGGAGCAGCCCAUCGCUAAGCCAGAACCGCUACGCCUUGCCCUCCUUGACGAGUCGCACGAGUCCUUGGGCCACAGGUUCCUCGCAAGUCCCUUCGCAGAUUCGCUCCCUGAUCGCGCCUUGGAGGUGGCACACCGCUGCCAACUCGGCUUUGCGGCUGAGUGCGUCAGCCACUUGGUUGUCAAUCCCGGGUUUGUACAUGAGCUCCAUGUUGAACUCCGCCAGGAAGUCCUGCCACCUCGCCUGCUUGGGUGACAGCUUCUUCUGAGUGAGGAAGUAGCUCGUCGCGACAUUGUCCGUCCGCACAACGAACUUGCUUCCAAGGAGAUAGUGCCGCCAAGUCCUGAGGCAGUGCACUACGGCAGUCAUCUCCUUCUCUUGCACCGUGUAUUGCCGCACGGUGUCGUUGAGCUUGCGGCUCUCGUAGGCGAUGGGGUGUCUGUCCUGCACGAGAACACCACCAAUGGCAAAGUUUGAGGCAUCAGUAUGUACCUCGAAUGGACGGCUGCAGUCGGGAAGCCGCAACAUCGGAUCCUCUGUCACCGCCCGCUUUAAGUCCUCGAAUGCCUCCGCGCAUCGAGGGGUCCAGUCCCAUGACUGGGUCUUCUUCAGUAAAUCCGUCAGCGGGGCUGCUUGAGUAGAGUAGCCCGCGAUGAAACGGCGAUAGUAGUUGACGAGUUUGAGAAAGGAUCGCAGCUCGGACACCGUCGUGGGCGCCUGCCACUCGCAGAUCGCUCGCACUUUCUGCUUGUCCAUGUGGAGUUGUCCUCGGCCGAUCCAGUGGCCAAGGAAGUGCACCUCCUCAUUCGCAAAGGAGCACUUCUCCCUCUUGACAUAGAGUUAGUUUUCCCGCAGCACUUGGAAGAUCGUCCGCAGAUGCUCGACGUGCUCCUCCAAAGUGUUGCUGUACACGACGAUGUCGUCGAGGUACACUACCAUGAAGCGGUCGAGGUACGGGUGGAAUCGCUUGUUCAUCAGGGUGCAGAAGGUUGCCGACGCAUUCGUCAGGCCGAAUGGCAUGACGAGGAACUCGUAGGCUCCAUACCUCGUCACGCAAGCCGUUUUCUCCUCAUCGCCCUCCGCGAUCCUGACUUGGUAGUACCCCAAGCGAAGGUCCAAUUUGGUGAAGAACUUUGCUCCGCCAAGCUGGUCAAACAAGUCAGCAACAAAGGGAAUAGGGUAAUUGUUCUUUACCGUUACUUUGUUGAGCGCUCUGUAGUCAAUGCAGAGCCGCAGGCUUCCGUCGCUCUUUCUUUGGAACAAGACUGGUGCUCUGUAGGGUGCCUUCGACGGCCUGAUGAAGCCCGUAUCGAGGAGGUCCUUCAGUUGACGUUGCAACUCCUCGAGCUUUGGUGGGGCCAUGCGGUAUGGUGCCUUUGCUGGUGGCUUUGCUCCUAGCUCGAGCUUGAUCGCAUGGUCCACCUCCCGCCUGGGUGGAAGUCUCUUGGGCAACUCCUGGGGCAUGAUGUCCUUGAACUCCCCCAGGACUGCAUUGAUCAUCGCUGGAGGGCCCUCCUCCUCGAGGUCCUCUUCGCUCACCUCGUGGAUGGCCGCAAGGUAAGUGAUUUCGCCGCGCUUCACCCCCUUCCGCAAUUGCAGAGCGGAGAGGGUGUGGGUUGCCACUGGCUCGCCGCGGCUCGCCAAGACCAUGCAUGGGGCCGUCUCCUCCAUGAUGCUCAAGCCCCCAAGAUGCGGCAUUGGAACCGCCUUCGAUGAAGCGAGAAAGUCGAUGCCGAGAAUGACUUUGAAGUCGUUGAUGGUCGCGGCGGUGACGUUAGCUGUACCCGACCAGGGUCCUACAGCGAUCAUCACCCCUUUGGCUACUCCUACGAUAGGCUGUGCCAUCAAGUUGACAGCCUUGAUCUUGCUCGUGUCCUUCUCGAGUGUGAGGCCCAGCCGUUUGGCCUUAGACUCAGCGAUGAAGUUGUGGGUCACUCCAGUGUCCGCGAGCGCACGAGUGGCUCUCCCGUUGAGGGUCACGUCCACGAACAGCAGCUCCUUCUUGAGCGGUUUGCUGCUUGCCUGCUCCUGCAUCGCGCUGACGAGUCGUAGCGUGCCCAUCUUCGUCUCCGCUUGUUCCUCGCCCUCCUCGGCUUGGAUGGCGUUGACGGUCUUCUUCUUUGGGCAAUCUCUCGCCCAGUGAUCACCCCCGCAGACAUAGCAAGAGAUCGUCUUCUUCUUCUGCGAAAGGCCCUUUCGCUCUUGGCCCUUUUGAUCACGUUGCUCGCGACGGUCUCCCCCACCCUUGGCCUUGCCCGCCUUAGAUGGUUUGGCAUGAGCGAAGUCCGGCUUGUCAUACUCCAGUAGCUUCUCCGCUUGAGCGAUAGCGGAGCUUACAUCUUUGACGUCUCUCGCCACGAGCUCCUUGUUAGCCCAUGGUUGGAGACCGUCGAGGAAGAAGAACAGCCGAUCCUCCUCGGCCAUGCUUGUGAUGGCAAGCAUCAGCUUGGAGUACUCCUUGACAUACUCCUUGAGGGAUCCUGUAUGCUUGAGCCGUCGAAGUUGCCUCCGCGCCAGGUAUUCGACGUGCUCGGGGUGGAACUGUGCCUUCAGUUCGCGCACGAAGUCUUCCCAAGAAUCCAGUUUGCAUUGGCCCUUCUCGGCCUCUGCAGAACGCCGACGCCACCACAGCAUCGCAUCGUCGGUGAGGUACAUGGAAGCGGUCUGGACCUUGUCCUCCUCGUUCUCCAUCUUUAGCGCCUUGAGGUAGUGCUCCAUGUGCCAAAGGAAAUUGUCUAUUUCCUUCUCGUCGCGUGCGCCCUUGAAACAUUGGGGUUCAGGAACGUGUACCUUCGGGGUGUACUUUUUCUGCGUCUCGACGCCUCGAGCCACUGCCUUCUCAAGGAUAGUCACUCUCUUCUUGAGGUCCUCGACCUCGUCGACUCGAGUAACUAGCUCCUCAAUCAACUUUGUCCGCUCCUCGUCACGACGGGUGAUGUUGCCUUGGAGCUUCUCAAUCACGCUUCGAAAGGUUGCCAUGGCAGUGGCGACACUCUCCUCCAUACUGCGAACAUCAUCAUUAAAGGCGUUAAAGGUAUCGGCCAUCUCGGUGUACCUUUCACCCACCUUCGAUAGAAUGUUCUCCAACAGUGCAAGGCGUUCCUCCACAGAUGCGGAAUCCUUCGUGAGUCGCAUCUCCUUGCCCUUGCUCCGCUUGGAGGGUUGCUUUGGGGGACCUCCCCCAACGUCGACAAUUUCGGCAUCGGAUGACGACAUGGCUCCUUCUCGAACCGGCUCUGACACCAACUGUCACAGACUGAACGGUUUGGUUAGCAAAAUCCGUGCGGCGGUCGCCUUCCUUCGCGAAGUGAGCAAGCCUGCCCCUCUACUUGCUAAGUUAGGACCUCACUCGCCCUAGACUAAGUACAAGAGAGAUAUGAAGAAAGCUCUUCUAUUACUUUGAACUUGAGAAUACAAUAUGAGAUUCUGAAAUGAGAGGGGGUGGAGGCCACACUAUUUAUAGGCCACUCGCCGCCCAUAAUGCCAAUGAAAAGGUGCCAAGUGGCACAACACUACUAGCCAAAAGGGGAGGCCACGAGGUCUCCCAAGAGUCCUAAUAAAUAGCAUAGAAACUCGAAGAGUCAUACAUUUAUUGACUACCUAGAAACUCUAAGGGACUCUUGACUCUCCGGUAUCCGCACCGUCAGUCUCGAGAUCCGCGUAGAAGCUUUUAGAAGAUUCCAAGCCAAAACCUCCAUCAGAUGUCCGCUUUGGAGUUUGAGUGAUUGCAAAGCGAAAUCGCGGAGAAAAUCUUUAUGUCGUGACAGCCAGCUUCGGCUACGGAAUCUUUGCGAGACGGGCGCGGUCCGCCAUCGAGCCAGGCCGGGCAGGGCCGCCGGCUGCAGCUGCCAUGCUUGGGGCCUCAGGGCGCGGCGCAACCUGCGGACCCGGUGGGAGCGGAACUGAAGAAAAAACCAUAGUGUUUUUCUUUUCUUUUUUCCCCUUAGCUUCUUCCUCUUUCUGAUUAGAUUCUUUCACAGGGUUAUGGUGGAGAGAUGGUGGAGAAUCACAUCCAUAAGCAGUUCCUUUGAGAGAGAUAGAGAGAGAGAGAGGAAGGAGUGUGAAGAGAAAAGGAGGAUUUCUUUUUUUUUAUUCUAUUUAAAAAAGCAGUUCUUUUUUUUAUUCUACUUAAAAGUUCUGUAAUUAAGUUGGAGCUCACCAUUAGGUAGAGGGCUUAGAGGCACCCGGCGGCGUCGCGUGCAGCUUCGCGGACUGAGGAGUCUGAGGGGAGGUCUCUGACGCGCUUGACGAGGUGGGCGACGAUCCUGGGGAUGUGUUUGGCGGCGGCGCCAGGGUGGGCGGCGCAGUGGGCGGUGAGGAGGAGGAGGGAUUCGCGGCGCGCGGCGGCGGAGGGGAGCGGCGCGGAGGGGUCGUGGGCGAGGUCGGCGACGAGCAUGGGCACACCCUCGGGGCUUCACAACUUAUCUGUUUUUAUUUUUUUUAUUUCUGAUAUUAUGUUUUUUUUUUUAUUAUUAUUUACUCAAUAGAAAGUUCAAAAUAUCUUUUUUUUUAUAAUAAAAAAUAUUAUUAUCUAGGUAAACUUCUGAUUAUUUUUUUUACUCUAAUUUUUAUUCUCUUUUUUCACAAUUUUUCUAGAGCAUAUGACCCAUUUUUACUUUAUUUAAUCAUAUUUUUUCUUAACCAUACUGUAAAAAUAUAAUAUCUAGGUGAAUCUCUUUUUGUUAAAUAGAAAAUAAUCACAUGCUCCACAACUUCUUUUGUGACAUGUAUUCUUUUUUUUAUCUUGUUAAAAAAAAAAACACAACAUUUAGAUAAACUUUACUUUUUUUUAACUAUAAAUUUUUUUUAUUUUAUAUUUCUACUUAACUGUUUCAUUAUAAUUGUACUUAACUAUGAUAUAAAAUUAAUCGUUAACCGCAGCGAAGCGCGGGUUCUAUACUAGUUAUUAAUAAUAUUUUACUAAAAUUUUAAAAAGGGCUUGUAAACUUCACAACACUUUGCAUAAGGGUAGAGGUGUAAAACUGUCAUGCCUCGGGUCUCCAUUUUUCUCGAGCUCGCCAAUAGAUCUGCCGUAUACAUAAAAUUUUUUUAUGUAUACGAAGCGAUAGCUGAACCUGCAACAUAUAAGUACAACUACAAGAGAGUAACAGAGCUAAUAAAAUAGAAAUACAUAUAUAAGACCAACUGUACAAAUUAAAUAAGAGGUACAAACUCAGCUCCUCACUCUACAGUAUCUACAACUAUAUGUACAUUGCUACAAAAAGAAACUAUCUCCAAAAGGGUGCUCCUCUAGCAUGAUGACCGGGGUGGACGGGAAUUUAACUCGCAACUUCCUUGCCUCAAUCAGAUGCGGCAGCGUCAGCGACAGUCGAAGGCUCUGCAAAAAGAAUAAUAACAGUGAGUGUGAACAACUAUUAAGCUAGUAGUACUCAGUGGGUACGUCACCAACCUCAAUGGCCUACCUACUAAGUCUAUGAGACAAUAGUAAAGCUAGCAGGUAAAAGAAACAGUGAAUACUACAAAAAAUCUUGCAUUAAGGACACUUUAUAUAAUAAUUAGCGAUGCUUUAAAGUGUCGGCAAAAAUAAUCCUGACACUUGUAAAAGCGUCGAGCAAAGAGUCAUUAAAUAAACAUGUCGGGAUAAAUAUACCAACGUUUUAAUAUAGCGUCGGAAAAUUUUUAUAAAUAUUUGAUAAAAAUAUGUUUAUUGGCGAUGCUUAAUCAUAGUGUCAGCAAAUGCAAAAUAUUAAAGACGCCAGAAUAAAGCGUCGUUUAAAAAGCGUCGUCUAAAACAUAUUUUGUUGUAGUAAGCUGAAAGAAACUCUACAGCUAUUAUGUCACUAUACAACCUCUAGUCAUAUCAUGUUCUCUGUAUAUCCAUGCAUCACAAACUAAAAAAUAACUAUCUCAAACCCAAUCCAACAGAGACUGUCUGUACGGCCCGUUCAACCUGUGCCUAAGCUACACCGCACACCACCCUCGAGGUGGCCGGUCCGAGUAACAUGUCCAAAGAGGACAGCUGCGAUAUCAACGCGAGAAAGACAGACUCCGAAGCGGCACUCGUGAGUGCAACCUAACCGAGUAUGCAAGCGCGUCUCUAUUGAGCUCAAGUAGGCUCACAGGCUAUAAUCAAAGCGGAUUGUCAAUAAAUGAAGGAAUCAAAGCUCACGUGCCCUCGGUACAAUCAGAUGCAAUAAGUAUAGAUUUGGGUCCAUCGUCAAUCCCGACAGCACCCGUCAGUACGGAAUAGCCUAAACUAUGCUAUAAAAAUGAGGUUAGCAUCUCAGCACGAGCGAAAUCUCAGCCUACACUAGUCUAAGUAUUCACGACGCACUAAUCGCGGUGAUACAGAAGAGAAAUCAUGUCAUGCCCCAGGAUCUUUUGACAAAUCCUCUUUAAGAAAAGCAAGCGAAAACGUGUUGGUUUUGUGACUCUUGUACUUGAUGACCUACACGGUCGGCAUACCCUAAGGGGUAGGAAUGUCGGCUAGUUGCCGAUGGUUGGCUAUUGAGUAUAUCAGUAUCGAUCGCCACUGCUCGUACGCAUUUCACGAACACCAGGGGUUUGAUCCACCGCAAAGGGGUGUUCUUUUCUGGAAAAGUGGUUAGGAGUGUCAGCCCGUGGGCCCAGGAACUUAUGCUAGGGUUAUAUGCAGGUUAGAGUGGUAGUGGCACAGGACUGAGGUCUUUGGACCGACAUGGCGGUUACUGCAUUGGAUAUUUUGGGACUGAACGUCCGGUUGAUACAUUCAUAUACAGUAGCUGUCACGCCCCACGACCCGCCAAUUUGGUCGGAUCCGGGCACGUCGAUCAGAUGCCGAACGGAUAGCACCUCCCCUGUUCGCCCAAGGCUCAACAAUAGCAAUCAUGUACAAGAGUCUGCCCAGGAAAAACUCUAACAACAUACAUGAUCAAUGCGAAGCACCACAAGUGCUAUACAAUUAAGAGCAAGAAUCACAAGUAACAUACAAUGAAAUAAAGAGAGAUACAUCUAGCUAUUACAUCCGCACGGCAUUCAACAUGUAGAUCCUUGAUUACAUUUACAUCUCCAACAUGAAUAUACAUGGUGAUCUCCAAAAUACAUAAGAAACUCCCAAAAUACAUACAUCACUAGCAACCUCACCAUCAAAAUACAUAAGUCACUCGAACCAUAAUACAUAACCUCUCAAAAUGGUACCCGACUCUAAUGCACAUAGAAGUAACUAGCUAGCUAGGGCACUAUGGCCUUACCAUGGUCCUCUGCCGGUACACUCUCGCUAGGCCCUGCAACAAAAUAGGGUGAGAACUAUAUAAAUAUAGUUUCCAGUGGGUUCGGCCGCCGACACAGCCGAUCUUCCCACUAGGUCCAAGUAGGUACAAGCAGAUAGAUAGAUAGAUAGAUAUGAAAUUGAAGUGUAACAUAGUAAAGUAAUCUGCAACAUUCUACUAUGCCGUCAAUAACCAAUGGAAUGAGCUACAACAUAGUAUAUGAUCUAUGCAUCAAUAAUUCAUUGUAUGAGCAACUACAUAGUAUGCAAUCUACACAUGCUACUAUGUCUCAAAUGUCAAAUGGAUGAGCUACUACAUAGUAAUGUAUCCUGCAACAUGCUACUAUGCCUCAAAUAUCCAAGUACCAUAUCCAAGUGAAAUGCAUAAGCUACUACAUAGUAUACAUUCUACACAUGAUACUAUGACUCAAUAAUCAAAUGUAUGAACGAGCUACUACAUAGUGCGUCGUGCAACUAUACCUCGAUAAUCAGAAUGAACGACCCACUACAUAGUGCGUCGUGCAACCAUGUCUCGAUAGUAUCCAAUCUCAUGGCCAACCUGAAGGUUGCUACCCCGACUUACAUCUCAAAUCUCGGUAGUGGGGAGACUCUAUGCUACACCCACCCAAGACCCGUCUACGGGACAACUACGUCUGUCCCAACACGACUACUACUCCGGAGCUCACUACUUGGGUGGAACGACCACGCCAAGGUUAUACAGACUAUGUGAGUAUGAUCCAAUCUCUACACUGGAGGAUACCCUAUCUAUUAGGGCCACAAUGCCUCAACUGCACUAAUGCCAAAUGCAUAAUGUCCACAACAUGACAAUCGGGAAAAAUCUACUAUCCUUAGGUUUAAAUGCCAUAGUGUUCCACUACACUAGAUUUGAUGCCACUCAUUUAUGCCAUGAUGUUGUAUGUGUCUCAAUACACUAGAUCGACAUGCCACUCGUCCAUAUUAUAGUGUCUCUAUUACACUAGUCCAAAUGCCACUCAUCUAGGCCAUUUACAUGUCCAAGUUCAUCAUCAUUUUGUCACUAGGAUUCUUGUCACAAGACCCAAUCCUCAUGCAACCUAAGAUCAAGUGUCAAGCCCACAAUGUUACACAACCUAGGUAACAUGCAAGGAAUGGAAAUCCAAUCAUCUACUAAUCCUAUAAUGCACAAUGUAUCAACAUAUGAGAAUAAGAUCAAAUACAUAGAACUUAGACAUAAAAGGAAACCCGGUUGCUUCGGGAUAGACACCCCCCACCUUUAGGUGAUGUCACGAUGCUACGAUUUCGGUUUCGUGAUUUUUGGAAGCUUAUGCCGCGAGCUACGGCAAUCUGUACCGAAAUCGGCCUUUUCUUCAAUAUCUUCACGUAGGCUCGACGAAUCGCCAAACCGACUUCACCAACGCAUUCAUAUACCUAGCAAUUAGGUUUGUAUAGGGUUAAUUUAGAUCAAACCCCACUAGUGAGCAAAACCCCAUUUUUGUAGCCCUAAAACCCCAUUAUUGCAAAGUGCUUCAUCUAGCUCAUUACUCUUGCAAUAAAUGGAAAUAGCCACAUCUAGGGGUCCAUUAAAUUCCACUCCUUGGGUUUAUAAAUCCAUCCUUAGCAUUCUACCAUGAGAGGGGUUCAAGAGCUUACCUCUACAAGCUAUUCCUCCCAAGCUAAGGAAGAAGAAGGUGAUGAUGCUCCAUCUCAAAGCUCUAGUCUCCUUUUUUCUCCUCCUCUUGCCUUCCUCCUUGAAGAAAGAGAGAGAGAGAGAAACACCUUAGAGAGAGAGAGAGAGAGAGAGUUUAGGGUUGAUGGAAUGAGAGAAAAUGAGAGAGACAUCCCUCAUAUAACUCCCCCUUAUAGCCAAAUUGCCAAAAGCCCCCUAAACUAUGCAAACUGCUCUAAACUGGGUAUUUUCGGGUCUCGGGGACCGGUCCUUGGCUUGAGGGACCGGACCUCGUAGGUCCAAAAAUUCUGCAUUUCCAAACUUAGCUAAAAUUUCAGCCUUUUCGCCAAUUUUGGUAUGUUUUCGCUCAUUUUCACUCCGUGGGUCUCCGAUUCAUUUCAAAUCGAACCGAGGCUCUCAAAACAUGUUUUCAAGCGCGUUUACAUCAUAUUUUCAUCCACGCUAAUGCCGGAUUUAGUCCAUGGUCCAACAUAGCCUUUCGGGUCCCGUUUUCGCCCCUACGCGCUCCGAAAAAGCCUGAAUGCUUCCGAACUUCACCGAAACAUUCUAAUGGCUUUCCAAACCAACAUAUCCCGUAACUUCAUAACUUUAGAAGUUCGGUAUGUUACACAUUGAGGUUCUCAUUCCUUACCUCCUCCCCUCCUUAAAAAGAGUUUCGUCCUCGAAACUCAAAUCACUCAUCCAUUCGAGUUAUCGAGCGACAGAGGGUAUUAAUGCACUUUUCCACUCCGGAGUGGCCUUCCUCUUGUCGGAACUAUCCAAAGGCCCAUUAUGGAGGAUGUGAGACCAAACUCACUCACUUUUGCCAAAUGCAACACUAAAAGUGCAUUACGGCUCCGUGCCCUUGGUGGCAGCGUAAGUCGAUACUUAAUGACUCUACACGCUUCAACACCACUCGCAGACCAACAUGCAAAGGACUUCUCUUUGCAUUUCACACCCCAAUCAGGGAACACACUCCGAUUCUAUCACCGGCAUUGCCUAGAAGCAAUAUCAUUGGUGCAUCGACCAAUCGCGAGUGCUACUAUCAUAAUCGGAUCUUUCCUCUACUACGAGAUGGCACAAUUCUCAAGAGAGCAUCAUCCGCAAUCUCACGUGGCUAUCCGGUAUUCAAGUGUCUCCAAGAGACCACUUUACUUUCUCUUUCAAUCGCCACGACCAAUAUCAAAUCGCUCUACAACGAGCUCACAUGAACAUUCUGUUCGCGAAUCCAAGCCAAACUCCUCGACAGAGUUAUUGGCCAAACCGAUUACCUCGGUUUCCAUGGGUGGACCAACAGUCACCAACUCUACAUAGGCCUAUAGCCUAAACCUGUCGUGAUACUCGUAACGUCUCUCGCUCGCAAGCGUAGACCCAAUCAUAACUGGGCGAAAUUCUCACUUGGGAAUUGGCACACACUCCUACCAGGAGCAACCAUAACCCCAAACCUCAUCAAACCUCAGGUUGGGUCACUACACACUCGGUGUAUCCUCGAUAUCGCGAUCCAACAGGUGGCAUUCCACGUUCCCGGGUCUAAGCUCGAACUACCGUCCUCACCAAAACUCUGCCCUACUCGCAGGUACCGAGCCGCUGUCAAUCACAGCUGACUGCGCCUGUCCAUUGGGCCCAGGCUCCACAGUCCACAAAUGGUCCAGGCACGGGUCGUCCCCAAGCAACACUCGCCGUCGUCGUCCUACACAACACGCUCUACCGAGCCACAUGCACUACCACCGGCUCCUAUGCACCUAGUACGAGCCAGUAGCCCUACGAGUGAUCCAUGACCCACUUCACACUUAGCCAUACUGAAGUGCUACUGCCAUCUCACUCUCCUUCGGCUGAAUCAAAUCUGCACUCCACGAGUAUCUAUACUCGCGCGCUCUACGCCUCUACAGCGUUCCACACGAAGCCCAGCAUUAGGCAACCUUGCCCAUGCACACAGGUUACACAAGCACGACUCACCUACCUCAAUUCGAGGUACUACCAGGCCCACGCGCCUGUACCCGGCAACUAAUUGGCUACUCUCUCAACAGUGAUUCUACUUUCACUGUUCGAUCUACCGAAACAACAUUCGUAACACUCGGACUACUCGGGUAUCCACAAGUAUCAUGGCUCAACUCUCGCAAUCUACUGAUCACAUUGCCUUGAGAGUCGCUUCACCAUUUCCUCUCUAUCACGAGUCUCAUCUCUUGUCCAAGAACCACCACUAGCAAUUUGCUAGUGCCAUCUAGCUCUCUACCUGCUCCAGCAGACACUACACUCUCACACGGAAGCAUGCCCAGGUAUUUUUACCUACCCGUCCACUGGUCCCUACUAUACUGAUGCAUAAAUAGUAGCAACAGACCAUAACAAUGCAUGCAAUGUUCCUCGACCUGGGUCGCGCCCUCAUGGCCACUCGGCACACGCCGUGGACCCUUCGAUCCGCCAUGUCCUCAUAACUCACUCUCCCGACCAUGCUAUAGGUGGCACACCCGCAGGCUAUCUCGGAGAGGAGAAGGCAGUCGCCAACGCCAAGGUCCGGUCUUCCCCUCAGCGGCGCUCAUCUUGCCCAUGGCCCGGCCGCCCACAAUGCCCAAUCCAUGACUUCGGCAAAAGUUUGCAACUUAAGAGUAUGCACAACUUUGGAAAUCUCCGGCCAAAGUCCUCGUACAAGCGAUCAGCUUGAUCCUGUCAUCCCGCACCACAUUCGGGACACAACUCACGAUACGGGAGAACUCCUGCUCGCACUAAGUAUAGAUCCUCAAACAGAGUUUCGAUGGAAUCAAUCCACAACUCCACAAUCCACGGAUCUACAUCCUCUCCAUCAAAGGUAGGCGGAUCAAAUUCCUUGAAAAUCAUGAGGGCCGCCAAAGCUCGCUCCCUCACCGCCUCCACCUUUGAAGUGUUAGAAAUCGGAUUGCCCGACUCUGACAGAAACACCUCUGUCGCGACUCCCAGCCAUACUCGACGAGCCAAAACUGGUGCGGUCACCAAUCGACCAACCGUUUCUUGGAGUCUCUUAAUCCGCUCCUCCUGGCGCACGACAGCCUCUUGCUGUCGUUGCACCAAUUCGACUCAUUGCCUUGCCACUCCUAUGAGUGGCGAGCCGCUCGUGAAGUCCUAAGUCUUCGCUUGCCUCGGACUGCUCAAGGACAUCACUUGUCCUAUCCCGUGCCGAUCUAGACGAAGAUCGCCUACGCGGUACCAUCGUCGAUCUCCUAAACCGCAACAACACAGUUGGUCUCGACCCUCAAGGUCGAACACGUAACAACUAACAUUGACUCGACUCAAAUCAGGCGAAAGUCAUACAAGGGUGCCUAUUCUCAUCACUCGGUUUCAUGUUGUAUGCAUCCGACAUGAACACCCUCUGUCGAGAAUAAACUGAACCUUGAAUCCACCUCUAACAUCCGUCUUAGAGGUUUACUAACUUGACCUAAUCGAUCAAUCUUUCGCCACAACGCAUAGGUUCACGUCACUCACGCACAUAUGGCCUUAUGGUUUACCAACCUAGGGUCUCCUAGGUCAAUCCUAGACUCUCUCUUUAUUUGCUCUUAACUUGCUCUGAUACCAUUUUAUCUGUCACGCCCCGUGACCCGCCAAUUUGGUCAGAUCCGCGCACGUCGAUCAGACGCCGAACGGAUAGCACCUUCCCUGUCUGCCCAAGGCUCAACAAUAGCAAUCAUGUACAAGAGUCUGCCCAGGAAAAACUCUAACAACAUACAUGAUCAAUGCAAAGCGCCACAAGUGCUAUAUAAUUAAGAGCAAGAAUCACAAGUAACAUACAAGUGAAAUAAAGAGAGAUACAUCUAGCUAUUACAUCCGCAAGGCAUUCAACAUUUAGUCCUUGAUUACAUUUACAUCUCCAACAUGAAUAUACAUGGUGAUCUCCAAAAUACAUAAGCAACUCCCAAAAUACAUACAUCACUAGCAACCUCACCAUCAAAGUACAUAAGUCACUCGAACCGUAACACAUAACCUCUCAAAAUGGUACCCGACUCUAAUGCACAUAGGAGGUAACUAGCUAGCUAGGGCACUAUGCCCUUAUCACGGUCCUCUGCCGGUACACUCUCGCUAGGCCCUGCAACAAAGUGGGGUGAGAACUAUAUAAAUAUAGUUCCCAGUGGGUUCGGCCACCGACACAGCCGAUCUUCCCACUAGGUCCAAGCAGGCACAAGCAGAUAGAUAGAUAGAUAGAUAUGAGAUUGAAGUGCAACAUAGUAAAGUAAUCUGCAACAUUCUACUAUGCCUUCAGUAACCAAUGGAAUGAGCUACAACAUAGUAUAAGAUCUAUGCUUCAAUAAUCCAAUGUAUGAGCAAUUACAUAGUAUGCAAUCUACACAUGCUACUAUGCCUCAAAUGUCAAAUGGAUGAGCUACUACAUAGUAAUGUAUCCUGCAACAUGCUACUAUGCCUCAAAUAUCCAAAUACCAUAUCCAAGUGAAAUGUAUGAGCUACUACAUAGUAAUGUAUCCUGCAACAUGCUACUAUGCCUUAAAUAUCCAAAUACCAUAUCCAAAUGAAAUGCAUGAGCUACUACAUAGUAUACAUUCUACACAUGAUACUAUGCCUCAAUAAUCAAAUGUAUGAACGAGCUACUACAUAGUGUGUCGUGCAACUAUGCCUUGAUAAUCAGAAUGAACGAGCCACUACAUAGUGCGUCGUGCAACUAUGCCUCGAUAGUAUCCAAUCUCAUGGCUAACCCGAAGGUUGCUACCCGGACUCAUAUCUCAAAUCUCGCUAGUGGGGAGACUCUGUACUACACCCACCCGAGACCCGUCUGCGGGACAACUACGUCUGUCCCAACGCGACUACUACUCCGAAACUCACAACAUGGGUGGAGCGACCACGCCAAGGUUACACAGACUAUGUGAGUAUGAUCCAAUCCCCACACUGGAGGAUACCCUAUCUACUAGGGCCACAUUGCCUCAACUGCACUAAUGCCAAAUGCAUAAUGUCCACAACAUGACAAUCGAAAAAAAUCUACUACUCCUAUGUUCAAAUGCCAUAGUGUUCCACUACACUAGAUUUGAUGCCACUCAUUUAGGUCAUGAUGUUAUAUGUGUCUCAAUGCACUAAAUCAACAUGCCACUCUGUAGCAUACUGGACCUUUGCAAAUUGCGAGGUUCGAGUAUUUGAUAUGUAUUCUGAACUUUUCCACACUUGGUGGAAGGUCGUAGAUGGUAUUCCGGCCUAAAAGUUCGAUCGCUAGAGUUUUGGUAAGUCCUGAGAGUUUUCACUCUCGGGGACCGGUCCCUGAUAUGAGAAACCGGUCCCCUCAGAACAGUGCUGUGGUAGGACUUGAGGCAACCGGUCCCUGGCUGGGAGAGACCGGUUCCCGAACGCGUGUUUUGCGAGAAGCGUUCGAGAGACCGGUCCCUUGCGGGGAGAGAUCGGUUCCCGAACGUUGGUUUUGCGGGGCAGGCUGAGGGACCGGUCCCAGGUGUCGGGGAGACCGGUCCCUCAGCAUGAAAACUGCCCAGACCAGGCAGUGCACAGGUUGCAUUUUAGAGGGACCUAGGUGGAUUUUGUUACAUUUGAAGGCUUAUAGAGCCUUUUCUCUCCCUCUAACCCUCAUUUUCACCCUCCUUACACUUCUAGAGAGAGAAGAAGAAGGAGAAGAAGAAGGAGAAGUUGGAGAGCUAGCUUGAGGGAGCCUUGGAGCAUCUUCCUCUUUCCUAUUUCUCACUUUUGGAGGCUUAGAGCUUGGACUUGGAGCUUUGUGGUGGAUUAAUCUUCAAUCCUAAAACAUUUUGAGCUUGGUUUGGAUCUCCUCUUGAGGUUAGUUGCUUAUUUCUCCCCUUUAGACCUAUUUUUGGUAGAUUUUGGGAGAUGAAACUCUAGAUUUGGAUUUUAGGGUUUAUUUUCGGGAUUUUUGAUUUGAGGGCUUGGAGACCUAAUUGAUGGGUUUAGAACCUUCCUCUAGGUUGGGUUGGAAGGGUUCUUGCCCUCUUUGGAAGCUUGGGCAGGGAUUUCAUCACACGAGGUGAGUUAUGCCCUUUAUGCUUAGAUGGUUUAAGAUUGAGCUUUUUGAUGUUCGUUUCGAUUGUGUAACUCUUGUUCCUACAUCUUUAGGGUGCUAGGAGACUAGUGGACACCUCCGUUCGGCGAAACGAAGAGUUUCGAUUUUCGGUGGGUUUGGCUACAUGAAAACGGGGCGAAAUAGCCCCCAUGUUUUCUAUACUUGUUGUAAUGUCAUUUUAAAUGCAACUCUAUGCUUAAUGGAAAUUAUGUGAAUUUUAGAACACUUAAAAUGCAUGUGUUAUGUAUAAGAAAAUUUGCACUCUAUAUAGUAGAGCAUUCUGGGUAUUGUUACAUGCAUUUGGGUAGUGUUCGCAUUAGUCGUUUGGAAACAUGCUUCAUAUGUUUAAAGUGGCUCAAUUAUCAUUUGUGAACACUUGGGUUAAGCUUGGACUUGUAAAUGAAAGUGUUAUAAAGGGGCACUUAGACUAGCACACUAUGAGACUAUUAUUUUGAGACUUAGAGAUAGGCCAUGGACAUCUACUACUUUUCAUGUUUAAGACAUGAUGACAUAGAGAUAGGCCUAUGAGAAAGUUGUGACAUAUUCCAUGUUGUUAGACAUGAGGACUUAGUACUUGAGACGGAUCUUUCGUUACUUGCCAUUGUGCUCAUUCGCACAUGCUUGUGAGGGUCGCUCCCUACAGCCGGCACCCGGAGAUGGCCAUCGCGAUACAUAUUCCCGUGCGGGAUUGGACGCUGAAGGGAUUGCCGGGGGAAAGGCUCAUUCCUACAGUGGGGAUGUUGACUACCACUGGGCCAUUAGCUCGCACCGCCAGACAUCCUACGGUGGUUCUCAGGGCCAGACAGCCUCGGCGGUCUCUCCCAGAUUUGAUUUGAGCAUUCAUCACGCCAUGUGACAUUGAUUAGAUAUAAACAAUAACAUCUUUACUAUUUGACUUAUGGACAUCAUACACGCGAUGCUUGUACAUUCAUGACGAGAAUAGCUUUUCUUAGUUAUACUAAAUCAUGCUAAGUAGAGAUAUCAUGUGGUAGCAAAUAUUCAAUGUUAUUUACUUGCGUGACCUAUCGUUUUGUUUAUUUUGCUUACUGACACCUUUUUUAGUUUGGGCCUAGUGGUGCAUUCACUGAAGCCAGUAAUUGCCCACUGGGAAUAUUUAUUUUAAUAUCUCACGCCCCCCUGUUUUAUGGUUUUAUUUCAAGCCUUCGCACGCGGCGGAGUCACGGGAUCGCGGCAAGGGAGUCGCGUAGCUAGUUAGCGGGGAGCUACUUUUGAGCUAGUGGUUUACUCUUUCUUAUUGUAUUAGGAAGAGAGAUUUUGAGUAUCAUGUAUAGAGAGACCACCUAUAUACUCUUUAGUUUAGUUUUUGUAUUUAGGAUUUCCUUUGUACUACUUUAUGGCUUUAUUAGUGAUUUCAGUUUUAUACUUACCCCCUGUGUAGAACUUAGUUAAUUACUUUGCUCUGAUAUCGUUAGAUUCCUUUGUUCUACUGCUGUAAUACACUGGAUCUUAGCAAAUUGCAAGAUUCGAUGUGUUUGAUCUGUGUGUGGAGCUUUUCCACAUUUUUGGAGGGUCGUUGUUAGUUGUCCGACCGUGGCACGCACCCGAGGGUGUUGGUUUGAGACGUGGCACCAAAAUCCUAAAUGGAAUUUUUGGUCAGCCUCGAUAGCCUGCAGCAGGGCUUGACCGGAACAAGACCUGGUCUUGUCCGGUACAAGGAGUGAUGGUUGUACCGGUACAGCCAUCGGGCUUGUACCGGUACAGAGACGCAGACCGCGCGACCCGAGCCUCGGGUUUGCAUUUUCGCAGGGCUUGUACCGGUACAAGAGCCCGUGUACCGGUACAAGGAGGCAGAUUUCGUGCAGUUUGAACUGCAGGGGGUUUUUCGCGAUUGUAGCUUAUCUAUUAGUAACCCCACGCCCCUUAGGGCUUCCCUGAGCUUCACAGCAGCAGGAGAAGAGGUAGGGGAGUUCUCCACACCCUCCCUCUCUAUUUCUUUGAUCUUGGUUGGUUUAAUUUUUGAUUUAAGCCUCUCUUUUCCCUCUUUUUGCUUCUUGGUGUUCUCCCUCCAUAGAAGGAGCUUGAAGCUUGGUUUUGGAGCUUGUUUGAGGGGAGAUUUUCAGAUUUUGGGGACUUGAACACUUGUUGGAGGCUUCCAAAGAGUUUAGAAGCUUAAUCUUUUUCUUUGAUCCUUAAUUUAUUGGAUUUCUUGAGAUGAAACCCUAGAUUGUGAUAUUAGGGCUUAUUUUGGGUAUUUUGAAUCUAGGGCUUUUGAAGCUAGAUUGAGUGGAUUAGAGGCUUCCAUUAGGUUGGAUUGGAUGAACCCUAGCUCUCUUUUGGAGCUUUAGAGGAGAUUUUUGCACUAGAGGUGAGUUUUUCUCGCCUAUGCUUGAGUAGCUUAAUGAUUGAGCUAGGUAUUGUUCGUUUUACCCGUAUGACACAUGUUUCUAUACCUCUAGUGUACUAGGAGAUUAGAGGACACCCUCGUUGGAGCGAACGAGGAGUUUCGUCGUCAUCGGUGGGUUUGGCUUCGUGAAAAUGGAGCGAAAUGGCCCCUAUGCUCUUUACACUUGUCGUAAAAUAUUUUUAAGUUCAUUUCUAUGUUACAUGGAAUUUAUAUGAAUUAUAGAACACUUAAAAUGCAUGCCUUGUGUAUUAUGAAAAUUUCACUAUAUAGUAGAGCUAUAUGAGUAGAAUGCAUGCAUACGGGAAAAAUGUUUAUUUUUGCAAGUGAAAAAUACAUCUCUUAUGAGGAUGAUGACUUGGAAUAUGUACUUUGGAACAUAGUUGCCAUGCUUGGAACUUGUUGAACAAAAGUGUCAUUAAGCGGCACUUGGAACUAGCAAACUGUUAAACUGCAACAUAGAGACAUAUUGAUAGGCCACUAUGUAUUUGCUAUAUUCCAUGUUAGAGACAUGAUGACAUAGAGAUAGGCCAUUGAGAUACUUGAUAUAUUCCAUGUUGUUAGACAUGAGGACUUGGUACUUGAGACGGAUCAUUGCUUGCUUGCCAUUUGUGCUCAUUCGCACAUGCUUGUGAGGGUCGCUCCCUACAAGCCGGCACUCCGGAGAUAGCCAUCGCGACAUAUGCUCGCCCGUGCGGGAUUGGGCGCCGAAGUGGAUUGCCGUGGGGGAGGCUCAUCCCUAGAGUGGGGAUGUUGACUACCACGGGGCCAUUAGGCACGGCGCAGGCCAGACAGCCUUCGGGUGGGUCUUAUAUGAUUGGGACUUGGUGACAGAACAUGCUAUGUGAACUUUAUAACUGUUAAAGUGGACUUGGACUAGAAUAGUAAACAAUGACAUCUUUACUAUUACAUUGUGGACUUUGGGUAGUUGCAUAAUCAUGCUUUAUAUGUUGGGUGUUCAUGUGCAUAUAGCUAGUAGUUGCUUCCUUACUUAUGUAAAUUAUGCUAAGUAGAGGUAUCAUGAUUAUUGGGUACUCGUUUAUUUAUUUACUUACAGUGCAUUUAUCGCUUUUGUUAUAAUGUACACUGACCCUUUUUCUAUAGUUUCGGGCCUAGUGGUGCAUUUCACUGAAGUCAGUAAUUGCCCACUGGGAACUAUUUUUAAUAGUUCUCACGCCCCUGUUUCUAUGUUUCCUUUUCAGAGCCUUCGGCACCGGCGGAGGCACGGGAUCGCGGCAAGGGUGUCGCGUAGCUAGCUCGCGGAGAGUUCUUUUGCGCUAGGUGGUUACUCCUCCAUUUUUAUAUUUUGUGAGAGGGGGAGAGGUUUUGUACCAUGUAUAGAGAGACCACCUUGUACUCCUUUUAGCACUUGUUAUGGGAUCCCUAUUGUUCUUACUUUAUGUUUUUACUUAGUGGACUUUCAGCUUUAUGUCCUUUCCUUGUUAUAGAACUAGUUAUACAAUGCUCUGAUAUCUCUAGAUCUCUUGUAUUAUUGUUUGAAAUUUUUGUAGACGCCUUAUAUGUUUUAGACGUAUGGCGGGUCUGGACACGCGCCGGGUAGGCUUUCGCUGAGCCCCGGGGCGUGACAACUGCUUUAUUUAUCGUUUUGUUUUAGACGCCUUGUAUGUUUUAGACAUAUGGCGGGUCUGAGUACGCGCCGGGCGGGCUUCCGCUGUGUCCCGAGGCGUGACAGAUUAGUAUCAGAGCCUAGGGUUGAGUCUUAGUGGACCUAGCAAACCUUAGGCCGGUUGGACUAUAGGAAAUAGGCUCGUGAGGGAUGAGGUCUAUUUGACUUGUAAGCGAAAGUAUCGUGAUUGGGUAUCUUGACAACUUUAGAAAGUGGAGUUAAAUUGAAGUGUAUAGCUCCUAACUUCGCGGAGGGUUACGUUGGCGGCCGACAACGUAACAUCGGGAGUUAGUAGUGAAGUACAUUUCAUUACUUUCGCAUGAUUUGGGGCAUUACCUUCUUGAGUGGGGAUUCGAUGUCGUGAGUUUACUAACUUACGCUUUUAUGAUAUUGUAGUGUGAUACCAAUUACACGCUCCUAAUUUGCCGGAGCGGAUAACGCGGCAAAUCUGGAGGAGGUCGAGACCUCCGCUACCUCCGAAUCCGGCGAGGUUCGAGAGUUGAGGGGCCAGCUUGCGGCCCUCACUGAUAUGGUGGCACAGCAGACUGAGGCGGCGCGCCGAUAGGAGGCGCGGAUGAAGCGCCUGGAGGAUCUUCUGUUACAGCAGGCGGCGGCUUCCAGGGAGACUCAGGCCCCUACACCGCCAGCACCAGUCGUGAACGUCGCGCCGAGAGCGCCAUCCCCUCGCCCAGUUCUUCACGUGCAGCGCUCGCGGUCGCGCCUUAGGAGGAGGCUAUUGCGACACCACCUGAGGCCUCCGGUUGGAGCAGCUUUUCCUACCUUGGUCGAGGGAGCGGAAAGGGACAGACUGAUGGAACGCCUCAACGAGUUCAAGAGGUGCAGUCCUCGGAUCUUCGAUGGCGAGAAGGUCGACCACUGGAUCGUGGAGAAGUGGUUGAUGCAUAUGGAGAAGCUCUUCCGCGACACCUUCGUGGAGGAGAGAGAUCGAGUUUGGCUCACCACACACCAUUUGGACGGCGAGGCCUACCGCUGGUGGGUGGAUCUCCAGGAGAACCCCAGCACUGAUUUGGCGGCUAUUACGUGGAAGAGGUUCAAGGAGCUUCUUUUGACACACUACUUCCCGACCAGCGUCAAGAGGAAGAUGGAGCAGGAUCUGCGCAACUUGCGCCAAGGUGAUCGGACUGUGGCCGAGUACGAGCGGGAGUUUUCUCGGCUUCUUCACUGCGUGCCUUUCAUCGUGCGAGACGACGAGGACAAGGCCCGCAUCUUCGAGCCAGGGUUGCGACCGUCGAUCUUUCGGUUUGUGCAAUCCUCUAAUCUCCAAACCUAUCGGGAGGUGGUGGAUCGCGCGCUCAUAGUGGAGAGCGGCGCAGCAGAGGUCCAGGAGCGGCAAGAGGCGAUGGACAAAGGUAAGGCCAAGAGGCCUGCGGCAAAGGGUGCGAGCCAGACGCACUCUAGGAGGCCGCCGAAGCAUCCUAGGAGCCAGCAGCGUGGACGCGGCUCAGCAGCGCAGCGAGGAGGUUCUGACCGUCGCCGGCCUUACCCGUGUGUGAUCUGCGGUGGUCCUCAUUUCCCACCGCAGUGUCCACAGCGGGUGGGCAGGUGCUUCCAGUGUGGCCAGGAGGGCGACGUUCGGACUGAGUGCCCGAGAGGUCCUUCACUAGCACCGUCGACUACAUCGGCACCGGCUCUACCAGCCGUCAGCCAUGGGACUCCGUCGACACAGUACCAGCUUGAGCGGCCACCCGUCGAGCGCCAGAGCGAGGGAUUUCGACAGGCCCCGAGUGGGCAUUUGUAUGCCGCUCAGACCGAGCAGGCGGCAGCAGCCAAGAAUGUGAUUGCAGGUAUCAUUUUACUUCAUGGCAUUAGAGUUCGUGCUUUAUUUGAUACCGGUGCAUCGCAUUCAUUUAUAGAUCGGUUGUUUGCCGAGUUGCAUGGCAUCCCUAUAUUUUCUUUGUUGCAUCCGGGACGUGUAGUUGUCCCCGACCACUCUUUGGAUAUUAGAGAGUAUUGUCCCAGUUGCUCUAUUUGGGUAGGAGAUUGGAUCAUGCCCGUAGAUUUGCUAGCCCUGUGCAAGCUAGGGGAUUUCGAUGUGGUCUUGGGUAUGGAUUGGCUAACCAAGUAUUAUGCCACGAUUGAUUGUAAGAAUCGCACGGUUACUUUUAAAGAACCGGGGCAGACUGAGGUUGUGUUUAGUGGAUGCCGGAGUUCGCUUUUUGCGAUGUCGAUCAGCUCGUCUCGAGCUAGGCAGCUGAUCAGCCGAUGAUGUGUAGCUUACUUGGCUAGUGUUGUAUUGAGGGGCGAGGAUGACACCCCUAGGAUUGAGGAUAUCCCGGUGGUACGGGAGUUCCAGGACGUGUUUCCAGCUGAGCUACUGGGUAUGCCACCCGAUAGGGAGAUUGAGUUUGUGGUAGAUCUCGUCCCUGGGACUACCCCAAUCUCGAAGGCACCCUAUAGGAUGGCACCGGCGGAGCUGAAGGAGCUGAGGGCACAGCUACAGGAUCUGUUGGACAAGGGCUUCAUUCGACCGAGCGUCUCGCCGUAGGGAGCGCCAGUUUUGUUCGUCAAGAAAAAGGACGGAUCACUUCGCCUAUGUGUGGAUUAUCAUGAGCUUAAUAAAGACACGAUCAAGAAUAAGUAUCCGUUGCCGAGGAUCGAUGACUUGUUUGAUCAGCUUCAAGGAUCAUGUGUGUAUUCCAAGAUAGACUUGCAGUCGGGAUACCACCAGUUAAAGAUCAAACCCGAGGAUGUAUCGAAGACGGCUUUUAGAACACGGUAUGGACACUAUGAGUUCACAGUUAUGCCGUUUGAGCUUACUAAUGCUCCGAUAGCUUUUAUGGAUCUGAUGAACCGUGUUUUUAAGCCUUAUCUAGACAGGUUCGUCGUGGUAUUCAUCGACGACAUUUUGGUUUAUUCCCGAAGUGAUGCGGAUCACGAGGAGCAUUUGAGGCUAGUACUUCAAUUACUUCGGGAAAAGGAGCUUUAUGCCAAGCUGAGAAAGUGUGAAUUUUGGCUUCGAGAAGUAGCCUUUCUUGGACAUUUGAUAUCGAGAUCGGGUAUAGCCGUGGAUCCUAAGAAGAUUGAGGCUAUCAAGGAUUGGCCGAGACCGACGAGUGUCACGGAGAUACGCAGCUUCCUUGGAUUGGCCGAUUACUACCGGAGAUUUGUCGAGGGGUUUGCUAAGCUAUCUACUCUCCUCACGAGGCUCACGCAUAAAGGUGUCAAGUUCAUUUGGAAUGAUGCGUGUGAGAGAAGCUUCCAAGAGCUGAAGCAACGACUGACGACCGCCCCGAUCCUGACCCUACCUGUUGCUGGAGCAGGGUAUGUGGUUUAUAGUGAUGCAUCUCUUAAUGGAUUGGGCUGCGUUUCGAUGCAGGAUGGCAAGGUGAUCGCGUGUGCUUCUCGCCAACUGAAGGAAUAUGAAAAGAAUUACCCUACACACGAUUUGGAGUUGGCGGCCGUAGUUUUCGCAUUGAAGUUAUGGCGCCAUUACUUAUAUGGCGAGCGGUGUGAAGUAUACAUGGAUCACAAGAGCUUGAAGUAUUUGUUCACUCAGAAGGAGUUGAACUUGAGACAGCGCAGAUGGUUGGAGCUGCUCAAGGAUUAUGAUUUGACUAUUCUUUACCACCCGGGCAAGGCUAAUGUAGUGGCGGAUGCGCUAAGUAGGAAAUCUACGGAAAACUUAGCGAUGCAUGUUGUUACUCAACUGCAGUUGAUCGAGCAGAUGAAGCGGUUGGAGUUGGAGUUAGUGACUCCUGAUACACUUUUGAGAUUAAUGACCUUGGUAGUGCAACCUAUGCUCUUGGAUAGAAUUAAAGAGAAGCAAGCUUCUGAUGUGGAGUUGCAAAGGAUUAAAGGUAAAAUGGUUGAUGGUUGUACCGGCGACUACCUUGUGGAUGACCAAGGAUUUACGCGUUUUCGUGGACGGACUUGUGUACCGGCGGAUUCGGAAAUUAAAGAGGAUAUUCUUCAAGAAGCGCACCGAGCGCCCUAUGCUAUACAUCCGGGAGGCAUCAAGAUGUACAAGGACUUGAAGUUGCUUUAUUGGUGGCCCGGGAUGAAAAAGGACGUUUGUGAGUUUGUCGCUCGUUGUCUAACUUGCCAACAAGUAAAGGCUGAGCAUCGAUUAUCCGCGGAAAAACAUCAGAGCUUGCCUAUUCCCGUGUGGAAGUGGGAAAAGAUUACCAUGAAUUUCGUAACUGGAUUGCCCCGCUGUCAGGCCGGGCAUGAUGUUAUAUGGGUGAUCGUGGAUAGGUUGACGAAGUCGGCGCACUUCAUACCUAUUCAUACUACUUGGACCGGAGAAAAGCUCACACAAGUGUACCUUGAUGAGAUUGUGCGACUUCACGGAGUACCUACAUCGAUAGUAUCGGAUCGAGACACUCGGUUUGUGUCUCACUUUUGGAGGAGUCUACAGGACGCCUUGGGCACCCGACUCAACUUGAGCACUGCUUUCCACCCUCAGAGUGAUGGGCAGUCGGAGCGCACCAUUCAGACUUUAGAGGAUAUGCUCCGAGCGUGUGUGAUAGACUUUCAGGAAUGAUGGUCGCAACAUCUACCUAUGGCAGAGUUUGCUUAUAACAACAGUUAUCAAGCAAGCAUUAAGAUGGCGCCAUUUGAAGCACUUUAUGGACGGAAGUGUAGAUCACCACUUCAUUUGAGUGAAGUCGGCGAGAGAUUGGCAUUAGGCCCUGACGUGCUCCAGGAAGCUGAGGACAAGGUUCGAAUUGCUCGGGAGUGACUUUUGACGGCAUAGAGUAGACAGAGGAGCUACGCCGACCGACGACGGCGAGACUUGGAGUUCUAAGUUGGAGACCAUGUUUUCUUGAAGGUCUCGCCGACUAGAGGGAUCAAGAGAUUUGGGAUUCGGGGUAAGUUAAGCUCCCGUUUCAUCGGACCGUAUGAGAUUUUGGAACGUGUAGGUCCGGUAGCGUAUCGACUUGUUCUACCACCGAACCUAUCGGGCAUGCACAACGUCUUUCAUGUAUCGGUCAUUCAGAAGUACGUCUUCGAUCCGACUCAUGUGUUGGAUGCUACACCUGUGGAGUUGCAGGACGAUUUGAGUUUCGAGGAGCAACCCGUGAAGAUUUUGGCUCGUGAGGUGAAAAAGCUGCGGAAUCGGGAUAUUCCGUACGUGAUGGUUCUUUGGAGCAACCACGGGGAGCGGGAGGCCACGGGGGAGCUAGAGAGGCGCUGUGGGAGCGCUAUCCCCAUUUUUUUCAGAUGGAGCUUUGAGGUAUGCUGUCGUUUUGAGUUUUGCGAGCGAAACUCCUUUUUAGGAGGGCUGAAUGUAACACACUGGACCUUUGCAAAUUGCGAGGUUCGAGUGUUUGAUAUGUAUUCCGAACUUUUUCACACUUGGUGGAAGGUCGUAGAUAGUAUUCCGGUCUAAAAGUUCGAUCGCUAGAGUUUUGGCAAGUCUUGAGAGUUUUCACUCUCGGGGACCGGUCCCCUCAGAACAGUGCUGCGGCAGGACUUGAGGCAACCGAUCCCUAGCUGGGAGAGACCGGUUCCCGAACGCGUGUUUUGCUAGAAGGGUUCGAGAGACCGGUCCCUGGCGGGGAGAGACCAGUUCCCGAACGUUGGUUUUGCGGGGCAGGCUGAGAGACCGGUCCCAGGUGUCGGGGAGACCGGUCCCUCAGCACGAAAACUGUCCAGACUGGGCAGUGCACAGGUUGCAUUUUAGAGGGACCUAGGUGGAUUUUGUUACAUUUGAAGGCUUAUAGAGCCUUUCCUCUCCCUCUCACUCUCAUUUUCACCCUCCUUACACUUCUAGAGAGAGAAGAAGAAGGAGAAGAAGAAGGAGAAGUUGGAGAGCAAGCUUGACGGAGCCUUGGAGCAUCUUCCUCUUUCCCAUUUCUCACUUUUAGAGGCUUAGAGCUUGGACUUGGAGCUUUGUGGUGGAUUAAUCUUCAACCCUAAAACAUUUUGAGCUUGGUUUGGAUCUCCUCUUGAGGUUAGUUGCUUAUUUCUCCCCUUUAGACCUAUUUUUGGUAGAUUUUGGGAGAUAGAAUCCUAGAUUUGGAUUUUAGGGUUUAUUUUGGAGAUUUUUGAUUUGAGGGCUUGGAGACCUAAUUGAUGGGUUUAGAACCUUCCUCUAGGUUGGGUUGGAAGGGUUCUUGCCCUCUUUGGAAGCUUGGGCAGGGAUUUCAUCACAAGAGGUGAGUUAUGCCCUUUAUGCUUAGAUGGUUUAAGAUUGAGUUUUUGAUGUUCGUUUCGAUUGUGUAACUCUUGUUCCUACAUCUUUAAGGUGCUAGGAGACUAGUGGACACCUCCGUUCGGCGAAACGAAGAGUUUCGAUUUUCGGUGGGUUUGGCUUCAUGAAAACGGGGCGAAAUAGCCCCCGUGUUUUCUAUACUUGUCGUAACGUCAUUUUAAAUGCAACUCUAUGCUUAAUGGAAAUUAUGUGAAUUUUAGAACACUUAAAAUGCAUGUGUUAUAUAUAAGAAAAUUUGCACUCUAUAUAGUAGAGCAUUCUGGGUAUUGUUACAUGCAUUUGGGUAGUGUUCGCAUUAGUCGUUUGGAAACAUGCUUCAUAUGUUUAAAGUGGCUCAAUUAUACAUUUGUGAACACUUGGGUUAAGCUUGGACUUAGUAAAUGAAAGUGUCAUAAAGGGGCAUUUAGACUAGCACACUAUGAGACUAUUGUUUUGAGACUUAGAGAUAGGCCAUGGACAUCUACUACUUUUCAUAUUUUAGACAUGAUGACAUAGAGAUAGGCCUAUGAGAGAGUUGUGACAUAUUCCAUGUUGUUAGACAUGAGGACUUAGUACUUGAGACGGAUCUUUCGUUACUUGCCAUUGUGCUCAUUCGCACAUGCUUGUGAGGGUCGCUCCCUACAAGCCGGCACUCCGGAGAUGGCCAUCGCGAUACAUAUUCGCCAUGCGGGAUUGGGCGCCGAAGUGGAUUGCCAUGGGAAAGGCUCAUUCCUAGAGUGGGGAUGUUGACUACCACGGGGCCAUUAGGCUCGGCACCGGCCAGACAGCCUACGGGUGGGUCUCAGGGCCAGACAGCCUUCGGGCGGGUCUCUACAGAUUUGAUUUUGAGCAUUCAUCACGCCAUGUGGACAUUGAUUAGAAUAGUAAACAAUGACAUCUUUACUAUUUGAUUUAUGGACAUCAUACUAACGAUGCUUGGGUACAUUCAUACGAGAAUAGCUUUUCUUACUUAUGCAAAAUCAUGCUAAGUAGAGAUAUCAUGUGGUAGCAAAUAUUCAUAUUUAUUUACUUGUCGUACCAAUCGUUUUUGUUUAUUUUGCUUACUGACCCCUUUUUAGUUUGGGCCUAGUGGUGCAUUUCACUGAAGCAAGUAAUUGCCUACUGGGAACUAUUAUUCAAUAGUUCUCACGCCCCCUGUUUUAUGGUUUUAUUUCAGAGCCUUCGGCACCUGCGGAGGCACGGGAUCGCGGCAAGGGAGUUGCGUAGCUAGUUAGCGGGAAGCUACUUUUGAGCUUAGGUGGUUUACUCUUUCUUUUAUUGUAUUAGAAAUAGAGAGAGAUUUUGAGUACCAUGUAUAGAGAGACCACCUAUAUACUCUUUAUGUUUAGUUUUUGUAUUUGGGAUUUCCUUUGUACUACUUUAUGGCUUUAUUAGUGGAUUUCAGUUUUAUACUUACCCCCCCUGUGUAGAACUUAGUUAAUUACUUUGCUCUGAUAUCGUUAGAUUCCUUUAUUCUACUACUUUAUUUAUCAUUUUGUUUUAGACGCCUUGUAUGUUUUAGACAUAUGGCGGGUCUGGGCACGCGCCGGGUGGGCUUCCGCUGGGUCUCGGGGCGUGACACACUCAUCCAUAUUAUAGUGUCUCUAUUAUACUAGUCCAAAUGCCACUCAUCUAGGCCAUUUACAUGUCCAAGUUCAUCAUCAUUAUUGUCACUAUAGGAUUCUUGUCACAAGACCCAAUCCUUAUGUAACCUAAGAUCAAGUAUCAAGCCCACAAUGCUACACAACCUAGGUAACAUGCAAGGAAUGGAAAUGCAAUCAUCUACUAAUCCUAUAAUGCACAAUGUAUCAACAUAUGAGAAUAUGAUCAAAUACAUAGAACUUAGACAUAAAAGGAAACCCGGUUGCUUCGGGAUGGACACCCCCCACCUUUAGGACACCCCACCUUUAGGUGAUGUCUCGAUGCUAUGAUUCCGGUUUCGUGAUUUUUGUAAGCUUACGCCGCGAGUUGCGGCAAUCUAUACCGAAAUCGGCCUUUUCUUCAAUAUCUUCACGUAGGCUCGACGAAUCGCCGAACCGACUUCACCAACGCGUUCGUAUACCUAGCAAUUAGGUUUGUGUAGGGUUAAUUUAGAUCAAACCCUACUAGAUAGCUAAACCCUAUUUUUGGAGCCCUAAAACCCCAUUAUUGCGAAGUCCUUCGUCUAGCUCAUUACUCUUGCAAUAAAUGGAAAUAGCCACAUCUAGGGGUCCAUUAAAUUCCACUCCUAGGGUUUAUAAACCCAUCCUUAGCAUUCUACCAUGAGAGGGGUUAAAGAGCUUACCUCUACAAGCUAUUCCUCCCAAGCUAAGGAAGAAGAUAGUGAUGAUGCUCCACCUCCAAGCUCUAAUCUCCUCCUUUCUCCUCCUCUUGCUUUCCUCCUUGAAGAGAGAGAGAGAGAGAGAGACACCUUAGAGAGAGAGAGAGAGAGAGUUUAGGGUUGAGGGAAUGAGAGAAAAUGAGAGAGACAUCCCUCAUAUAACUCCCCCUUAUAGCCAAAUUGCCAAAAACCCCCUAAACUAUCCAAACUGCACUAAACUCGGCAUUUUAGGGUCUCGGAGACUGGUCCUUGGCUUGAGGGACCGGACCCCGUAGGUCUAAAAAUUCUGCAUUUCCAGACUUAGCUAAAAUUUCAGUCUUUUCGUCAAUUUUGGUCCGUUUUCGCUCAUUUUCGCUCCGUGGGUCUCCGAUUCAUUUCAAAUCGAACCGAGGCUCUUAAAACAUGAUUUCGAGCGCGUUUACAUCAUCUUUUCAUCCACGCUAAUGCUGGAUUUAGUCCAUAGUCCAACAUAGCCUUUCGGGUCCCUUUUUGCGCCUACGCGCUCCGAAAACACCCGAAUGCUUCCGAACUUCACCGAACCAUUCUAAUGGCUUUCCAAACCAACAUACCCCAUAACUUCAUAACUUUAGAAGUUUGGUAUGUUACACAUUGAGGUUCUCAUUCCUUACAGUAGCGGUAGUUGCAUUCUAUAUCCUGCUUUUCUAUUGAUAUUGCUACUGUAUUAUUGUUCAUAGAUAUCUUUAGUUACCAGUGAGUACGCUCGCCUUCGUCGGCUUGCGGUACCCACUGGGAGAUCUUUUGUUGGUUUCUCACCCUCCCCCCCCCCCCCCCCCCCCCCCCCCCCCCCCCCCCCCCCCCCCCCCCCCCCCCCCCCCCCCCCCCCCCCCCCCCCCCCCCCCCCCCCCCCCCCCCCCCCCCCCCCCCCCCCCCCCCCCCCCCCCCCCCCCCCCCCCCCCCCCCCCCCCCCCCCCCCCCCCCCCCCCCCCCCCCCCCCCCCCCCCCCCCCCCCCCCCCCCCCCCCCCCCCCCCCCCCCCCCCCCCCCCCCCCCCCCCCCCCCCCCCCCCCCCCCCCCCCCCCCCCCCCCCCCCCCCCCCCCCCCCCCCCCCCCCCCCCCCCCCCCCCCCCCCCCCCCCCCCCCCCCCCCCCCCCCCCCCCCCCCCCCCCCCCCCCCCCCCCCCCCCCCCCCCCCCCCCCCCCCCCCCCCCCCCCCCCCCCCCCCCCCCCCCCCCCCCCCCCCCCCCCCCCCCCCCCCCCCCAUUUCAGGUGACGUUGCCGGUCCGAGUCGGGACGAGGUAUGAGGCACGUUCUUAGUGGUCGAUAAAGUUCCGGCCCGGUUCACAUUGGUUUAGUUCUAACCCUAUCCUCUCAGAAUAAAUGACUUAGACAUUUUAUGGUUCAGUUGACUUUAUUUCAGUUGGAUAUAUAUGGUUUUGUGAGGUUAAAUAAUAUUGUUUUAUUUAUUAUCACAUGAGUUGUGAAAAUAGUUUCCUACCCUCGUGAUAGCGUUUUAAAGAAAAUGUUUCCGUGUGGAAAAUGGUUUUUAAAAGGUUUUCUUGUGGAAAUGUAAAUGUAUGCUGUGUGUGAAUGAUUUGUGAUUGUACUUGUACUCGUACGACGCUAUGCAAAUAUAGGCGAGACUCUGUCCGUGUGAAUAGUGAUUUUUUUGUAUUUGUGGCGGGUCUGUUAUCCCUUGGGUCAAGGUUUUCAAAAUAAAAAUAUUGGGCAUUUUUUCGUUGAUUUUACAGACUAAAAAGGGACCCCAAGGCGUGAUACCCGAGGGGAUAGGGAGCUGCAGAUAGAGUUCAGUCGUGUAGCAUCCCUGUAGGUAGAGGAGGCCGGUGGCGACGACAGCAUGGUGGUGGGGAAGCGACAACGGCUCGGUUGGAGGGGCUCAACCCGACAUCAAGCUCGGGUUGGUCUACGAGCUCGAGGAGGGGGAAAGGGGGGCGACGCUGCGGUGAUGGAGAGAGGGGUUGCCUCGCUGGAGUUCCCCUGAGGUUGACCACAGUGGUGAUGAUGGCGACGGCUGGGGGCAAGCCCCAGAGAAGGGGGAAAGGCCUGAGAGGGGGAGGGAGGGAAAGAGAUAAAGAGAGAAAAAGACAGAGAGAGGGCCUAUGGCUCGAGGUUCCUCGUUGGCCAAAAAGUCGCCCGAAGAGGGGAAAAAAGAGGCGGCGUGGCGGCGACUGAGGAGGAGAGGGGAGAGGGCAAUAGACAUAGGGUUAGGGUUUCUAUUCCAAUACGUAUAUACAUAUGUAUAAAUAUAGUAAUAUAUAUAUAUAUAUAUAUAUAUAUAUAUAUAUAUAUAGUCCGGCUACUAUGCUAUCGGUAGCACGAAGCGCUUCGUGCUACCAAGUUGUUUUCGAAUGAUGCGGCUUCCAAAUCGACGAUCGGUUCCGUUAGACUUGAUCUACACUAUGAAAGUAUUUGGAAACAAAAUUUCAAUUUUUUCGACAUCAUUUGACUAGUGAUCAAAAGAUCUCAAAUCGACAAUUUUAAUGGCCGAUUGUGGUGUUUUGUGAGUUUAACGGUGUAAAACAAUCAAUGCAAUGAAAAUUUUAUAGAAUUUUUUUUUUUCACUAUUUAGAGUAAGAUCAGUAUAUCUGAUCUUGAAUUUAAAUCUUUUAUCAUCAUUUCUCAUGAGAUUUUUUUUCAGCUGUUCAUUUUAGACUACUUGUUUGAUGGUAAAUAUAUCGAAAAAAUCUGAAAUUUAGUUUCCAAAUACUUUCAAUAGUGUAGAUCAAGUCUAACGGAACCGAUCGUCGAUUUGGAAGCCGCAUCAUCGAAAACAACUUGGUAGCACAGAGCGCUCCGUGCUAUCGAUAGUAUAGUAGCCUAGUUCUAUAUAUAUAUAUAUAUAUAUAUAUAUAUAUAUAUAUAUAUAAACCCCUUUGUGCACAAAUUACAAGUAGGCCCAGAAGUUAGCCUCUCUUAUCCGAAACCCCACAGAAUUGUACUUUUACAGGAAAGCCUUUCUUGCAACCAAUUUUUGCAAAUGCGCAAGAAAAUUGCAUCUUUUUGCGAAAAGAUCCAACAUCCACUUCUCUCUCUCCUUUUCAACUCUGUGUUGUUUUGCACAGAAGUAUCAGAAUUUCGCAAAACUUGAAUUAGCAUGUUUCUCUCUAAGUGCCCUUUCAUUUGAACCCAUCCACUCGCCAACACUCCACAGUUUCUCAUAUGAAAUGAUAGCCUCAACAAGAAGUGCUCUAAUUUCACAAAUUGCUAAAACUGCAAUUUAAUCCCUCUAUGUUCAGAAUUUCAUACUAAAAAUUUACCACUAUGUGCAUCUCGCACAGAUGCACCUACUCGUGGAGUUUCACGCAAUUCGGCACAUGAAAUGUUGUACCUUUUCCAAAAAAACCCAAUUUGCCAAAAUGGCCAAUCUAUGAUGAGAACAGAUUUUCUUGAAAAUCGUGCAUCGGACGUAAAAUCCAUCAGUGCCAUUGGGUCUGACAUAGUCGGACCUUCAAAAAUGAGCUAUUGGAUCAUGCGAAAUAGAGUCUGGUACGCGACAGAAGCCAUCUACACUCAAUAGCCUCUUCCGAAAAUACAAGUUACUAUUCACUUUAAGUGAAAAGUAAUAUUCUCAUAAAAUCUUUAUUUUAAUUUAUUUUUUUUUGAAAUUUGAUGGAUAGUUUUAAGUUAAAAUAUAUAUGAUAACAUUUAAAAGGAUGUCAAAUUUAUAUAGAAAAAAAAUCUCAGUCCUCACACCUAUAAAAGAGGUUAUAGAGAUUAAAAAUGUUCGGUCCUCAAAUAAUGAUGUUGGUGACUUAGUGUCUGAAACUUUGUUGUAAUUUCUCAGUCGACCUUUUAAAUUAUUACAAUCCAGUCUGACAACCUAGUUUAGCUAAUUAAAUAUUGGCACAUUGUUGAUGCAAAAUUAAUGUAGCAUUUUAAUUAUUGGUGUAUAUAUCAUCGAUCACAAUAAUGUAUAUUACUUAUACAUCAGCGGUAUAUAAAUAUUUAGUCAUGUAAAUUAGGUUAUAGAACUUUAUUACAGCAAUUCUAAAAGUUCGAGUUAGAAGUCACAGUAAUUUAAAGUUUAAGGAUCAAAAUAUCAUCCACAUUAUAGUUUAAGGAUGGAAUGUGCAGUUACACUAAAUAGAAGUAAUACACGAUCAUAUAGAAGCUUUGCUUUACAAGUCUUAAAAUAUUAUACUUCUAUUCUAGGCUAAGUGAUGAAGUUUUGGAAGUGGUAGAGAAAAUUCUCUAUGGACCACUAAUUAAUACCGCGCAGGUUUACAAAUAUACCACUCUUAUUUGAGAGAGUGUUUUUCUUUGUGUGAAGGAUAUUGCAUGAGAUUAAUAGCAAGUCAAUUCUUUUCCGAACAUCAAACUAACUUUAAUUUGGAAAGAUAAAAAGAUAAAUCUUAGGAUUUAUUUGGCUCUACUGUAAAGUAUCAUAUUAUAUCUCAGAUAUUGAAGAAGAUUUAAAUCAAAAUUUUCUUUGGCCAGGCAUUUUAAUCUAGUGCUGUUAAAAAUAGUAAUGCAAAAUACAGAGUUGCAUCAUAGAAGAAUGCUUUAGAGCUGGUGUUUGGUUGAUUUUAUUGUAAAAGUAUUGUAAAGUGUAGAAAGAUAUUUGAUAAAUAUUCUGCUGAUGUGCUGUGGAGUGCUUAUAAAGUUAAAAUUACUAAAAUACCCAUCAUUCUAAUUUUCCAAAUAAUAAAAUUUUUAAAGGACAAAAUGCAAAAAAGAUAGGUCAAUUUGCAUAAAAAAUCCACUAGUUUUGUAAUUUUGCAAAAGUGGGCCGCUAUUUUGGUUUUGCAGAUUCAGGCCGAAUUUUCAACAAACUGACCAAAAUACCCUUCUUCCUUUCUCUUUCUUUUCUUUCCUUCGUUUUUUUUUUUUUUUUUCUCUUUUCAAUCCUCAUCACCUCCUCCACUAUCUCUGGCAAUGAUAGUGAGGGCGGCACCACUUCCUCUGUAAGGACUGAGACUUUUGCAGUGUAGCUAAACUCUCAGUUGACGAUGUUUUUGUGUGUAAUUUAAUUACAAAAGCACUCGUCAAAUUUCGGGAGAAAACGAGUUAAAACGGAAAUUCUACGCGAUUUCCAAGUUUCACUUAAAGUGAAUAGUAACUCGAUUUUCCGGAGAAGCCACGGUGUGAAGUUGGCUUCAGGCUCGUAUCAGACUCCGUUCCUAGCGGUCCAAUAGCUCGUUUCGACCGGUUCAGCUGUUCUGGAACUAAUGGAGCUGACGGAUUUUGAGUUCGACGCACGGAUUUCGAGAAAAUCCAAAAAUACAUAUUCUAUAUGUAUUUAGGUGUGUUUUCUUCUAUUGGUAGAAGGGUUGGAUUUUGUCGUGAAUCCGUAGUCGAUCGAGACGAAACGAGAUUGUAGCUUUGUUGUCUCCGUCGUGCUGAUCGUACUGGUACGAUCCGUUUGCAAAUCUGACGGACGGAUCUGCGGCAAUUGCAUGUUGUUCGAGGAGAGGUCGGUUGUGGCAAAACGGUAUUUUCGCAAAAGUCGCNAAUCAUAAUUUAGAAAAAUAGCAUAUUUUACUUAUGAAGCAAAUUUUCUUAUAAUAUAAAAAAAUAUCUUUGAAGGCCAAAUACGAAAUUGUUAUAUUACAACUGCGAUUACAUUUUCCUUGUCUAUUAAAUAUUAUAUACUACGUGAAUAAAUCGAUAUACUAAAUAAAAUAUUCAUACAUUCAGAAAGAUCAUAAGGAAUAUAUAUAAUAGGAAACAAUUAUUUCAUGCCCCAUGGAUAUUCGUAUAUUUUUAAUUUCAUGAUCGCUGCUCUAAUUCCAAAUUUAAUUAUAAGGAUUAAAUGCAUCACAACUAUCAAAAUUUUUUUCUUAUUUGCAAAUGGUCAUCUAAACUUAUAAAAUUUUCUAUGUUCCAUGUAGCAUUCAAAAUUUUGCACUUGGCCAUCUAGGUUUAUUUUUUAACAUAUUAAAGUGGGUAAUUUUAGCCACCUGAUCAAGAAAUUAUAAAGGACAAAUGCCGGCAAUAUACAAGAUUUAUUUGACAUCGAAAUUCAGUCUUAUGUGUUGGGAAUUUAAUGGUCGUUCUUCAUACGCUACCAACGCAGAUGCACAAAAAAAGAAAAAGAAAUAAAUGGUAAAAGAAAUAAAUGAAGAAACAAAAAUUUAAGAUUUAUGUGGUUUGACAAUUUUCUACAUCCAUGCGGAGAGCGAGAGAGAUAUAUUCCACUAUAUGAAGAAAUAAAAAAAAAGUACAAGCUUAAAGCUUAUAUUUUCUCUAGAUAAAAAAAAAUUAGGAGCCUUUUGGUGAUUCCCACUUUUCUCUUAUUCCAACAAAAACUCCUCCAAAUAUCAAAUAUCUCAUCUCAGCCCAAAACGAGCAGUUUUGGUUGCUCAGAACCCAUAUCCAGGCAUUCGAAACCUUUCAAACAGUGUCCUUCGGGUGCUUCCUCUCGCUGCCUUUCAUCAGUCCAAAUCUGGCAGUAAUUGCGCCCGGACCAAUUCGGUCGUCCGGAACCUGCGCUCGAAACCGUGCUGAGUCACCUGUACAUGUAUACCCUAUCACCUGUCAAAUCACUGUGCUUAACUUUUGGGCCGCUACAGUGCCGAAUUCGGAUAGCCCAAAGGAGGGUCCUGAAUCACCAAAAUCCACUCCUCACAAUGUCUUGGCACCCUAUACCACUUUCAGGCAUCAGUAAAUGCAUAUAUCAAUAUGGUUUGAAUUGAUUUCAAUUUUUGAGUCCGUUUUCGUGUUAUAUUUUGCACCAAAAUAGCUCCAACUCAAUCUAGCAUUCUAAAAACAUGCGGACUAGCAAUACAUACUGCAACCUUGUCUAUUUGCGAAGGUUCAAUGAUCAAAAUAUAUGCUAUGAUUUUAUUUGUAUCAUAAUUAAUGACAUUGCUCUACUAUCUAUAAACUUAUCUAUAAAUUUAUAUAUUAAUCCUCGUGGAAAAGUCCACGUGUCAAAUUUUACUUUACUUAAGCCUUAUAGAUGUGGGAACCACCUUAUGUUUAUUAUCUGCCUCAUACUUAAUUAAUAGAAGUGUGAAUCCACCCCACAACGAAACGAUGCCGAGCGAAACAGUGGCAUCGUUUCCAACUCCGACUCUUUGUAGCCCUCACCCUCAUCUCACCCUUCGGUUCACCGAAACCCUAAUUGUGAUCCUAGAUUUCUCGCCUUCGCCACCUCUCCUACUUGGAUAGGAGCCUUCGUCUCUGCCUCUGCAUCCUCACCUCCUCUGCCUUCGCGGUGCUAUCAGAGGCUGUCGAAAAGUCGAAAAGGCCAAGAGAGACAGUGGAUAAGGAGAAGAAGAAGAAGAGGAAGGCGAGGGGAAGGUCACAGAAGGGGCAAGGGGAGGGGACAAAAGGACUAUGCUUGGUCUCCAAACACAGCCUCCUCCUCCCACUGCACGAGCUAUAGACACUUGGCAGCCUUCGGCUCAACACUUGCAUCGGAAUUCAGUACCUAUCUUCGUGGCUCACGAUGACCGGUUUGAUACCGCUGUACAACCUCAUGGAGGACAUCGCGACGACAGAUAUCAAUAUGGUGCAGAACAGACAGUGGAUUAGAUAUGGAGUUUAUGUGGAUGCGAACCAUUGUGCUCUGUCAAAAUGUUAGGCUCCUCCGUCGCCUUCGAUGCCGCGCUUUUGAGGCUUCAAUAGAUAUUGCGACUCUCCGAAUUCUUCUCCAAACUUUAAGAUAAUUGCUCCUUUCCCAUUUCUCUCUCUCUAUAAUCUAUGUUAUAAUAUGUUUUAGUCAAUUAAGGUUUCAGGACUUGGGUCUUUGGCAUUAGAUUUUUCUAUUAUGGUUUGUAUUAGAUUUAUUGCUAGGAUUCUAAUCCUCCAUUGAAAGUGAUUAUGCUUAAGUUUUUUUUGUGAAUUUUGUGUCACGCCCUGGAUUACCGCGUUUCCCUGGGCACGCCAACAGACCUGCCUGCUGGAUUUGUGCUUAACGAUGAAGGUGUGUAUAACCUCCACUCUAUGAGGCUCAUUUGCUAUUUUGGGGACAGUAAGACCGGCUGGGAGAGGGGCCGUAUAAGCACAGUCGAUGUCAUUUAGAGCAAUAGAGUGAGCGGAAGCAGUGAGACUACGAGGCACUUAUUCGAUGCAGUGAGACUAUGAGGCACAUAGGAAUUUUUCGUGUAUACAAAGCGAUAGCUGUACCUGUAAUCACAACAUAACUACAACCAAUAGUAUAGAGCUGCUAAACUAAAAAAAUAGAGAUAUAUAUAAAACCACGAGGGGUUCCUGUACAUACAAAAUGUCUACAACCCAACUCGCUCCAACGAGUACAACGACAACAUCGCAGUAUGUACAAAGAAAGCCCAAAACUACCUCUAAAUAGGUGCUCCUCUAACUGGCAACGAUACUGGUAGGGAUCUAGCUCACGACUCCCUUCCCACGGUCCGAAUCAGCGACGGCAACAGCCACGGACGAAGGCUCUACAAAAAGGGGUCAACAACUGGGUGUGAAAACUACUGCAAAACAGAGUAGUUCUUAGUGGGUACCGUCAUCGACCUCAACGGCCCACCCACUAAGUCUACAGAAAUAUGCGCAAAGGAUAGCAAGGAAAGCUGAAAAAACUCUACAGCUACAUGCCACUAUACUAUCGCUAACCAACAUAGGCUAUCUGUAGAUAUGAAAGAUGCCUCACUCUGACCCAAUCUCACCUGGGACUGCGAUACGCUCGUCCCGUCUGUCGAAACAACCCCGUACACCACCCCAAGAGUAGCCUGUGGAGAAAACUCUCUAGGGAUUGCAAUACGCCCGUUUCGCCUGUUUAGGCUACACCAUACCCCAAGAGUAGCCGGUGGAGAAAACUCUCUAGGGACUGCGAUACACUCGUCCCGCCUGUCUAAGCUACACCGUACCCCAAGAGUAGCCGGUGGAGAAAAUUCUCUAGGGAUUGCGAUACGCUUGUCCUGCCUGCCUAGGCUACAUCGUACACCUCCUCGAGAGUAGCCGAUCGAAGUAAAAAGGUCCGACAGGACUGCUGCGACUCAACACACAUCACAACCUCACUGAGGGUAGAGAAAGGCGUCACUAACUACCACUGACCCAACCUCACACGGGCUGCUCAAACGGACGCACCCUAACUGUAUCCAGCUCAAGAACCGUCCAAACAAAAACUGUGACCUCAUCGCACUGAAACCUCAUUCCGGAAUGGCAUUCGUGGGUGCGAUCCAACCGAAUUUACAAAUGUGUCUUUGCCUAGUUCAAUCAGGCUCUCACAGGCUGUAAUCACUAUAACUGGGUCAAACUAAUCUAUCCACCAAAACUCACGUGCUCUUGGUACAAUCUGAUGCAAAAUGUAGAAAUCUGGGUCCACCGUCAACCCCGACGGCACCCAACAGUACGAAACAGUUUACACACUAUUGUAAAACAAGCUCGGCCUCCCAGCACGAGCGUAAACUCACCCUACACUAAUCUGGGUAUCCACCUUGUACUAACAGCGGUGAUACAGAAAUCUCGGUCCACCGUCAAACACGACGGCACCUGACAGUCCAAACGCUACUGUACAACAAGCACGGCCCAUCAGCACGAGCAUAAUGUCAGCCUACUCUAAGCUGAGUAUCUACUACGCACUAACAGCGGUGAUACAAAAGUACAUCAGCUCCUGAAGCUAAAUCUAUUAACUUUUCGAAAAGUGAAGUGUGUAGGUUCUUAAUGUUUUCUCCUAAGUCAAGUCCCAGUUCAUCAUGCAACAUUUAUCUAAAAUUAUCAUAUGAAGCAACAAAUUUAGAUUUCAUAUUACGGCAUGCAAAUCUACCAAUUUCAGCUACUAACAUGAUGAUUGAAGGAUAACAAUACAUGCUAAAAACUACAUAGUACUUAGGAGGAAUUCCGGUGAAUUCAAUGACUUCAACCCACCUAGUAUGCAAAUCCGACCACAGAUUAAAGCGAAACUCAGCGGUCACGUGCCUUCAGUCCCGAAUCACCAACAAGUAUAAGAAAAUCCCACAAAUCCCUGUUGGAUCGAACUGAAUUAAAAAUCGAAUCACAAAUCCAUCAAAUGUCUAUCCGGUUCGAAAAAAUUGAAAUUCAGCGUUACUCACCUCAAACCAAUAGUUGCAACUUGAUUCGCAAGUUCCUCUCUACCUCAGGAACACCCUAGAAGCAUCCAAUUGCAGCAAUAAGGUCCAAAUCAAAACUAAUUUCCAAAACUAGUUGCUGCUGUCCCUACUCCAAGGCUGCUGCUGCUGCUAUCUCAAAGUUGCUGCUGGCUUCUAAGUUGCCAGCACUAAGUUGCACUUCAUUCUUGCUCCGCCAACCAACCAACAGCAAAAUUGGGAAUUGGAACUUGUUCACAAGUAAUCUUAGGCCUUUCCUCUAUAAGAAAAAUCUAUAUUUCCCCAAAAAUUCCAUUACAAAUGAAAGAUAAAGAUCAAAAUUUCAGCAUCGACGAAAACAGUUUUCUCAGUCUUCGACCUCAACAAAAAAAUGAAUUCCUCAUUCAUUUUACCUCCAAAUUGAUCGAAACAAGAUUCUAUGCAGUAGAGGAUGAAGUGAAGAUCACUUGCAAUCUUUUCAAAGCUCACUCCUAUAGAAAUUUUGAACGAACUUAAACGGGUUCCAACAAUGGACGAAAUCAGCCUGAAAUUUCAGUAUUGAACCAACUUUGAUCAACUUUAAAAUUAAAGCCACUAACCUCCCAUUUCAGCUCAAACAAGAUAAAAACGGACUCCCAACUUCCCCCUACACCAUUACCUGUGUUUAAUUUCGAAGUUGGAGCCCCAGCAAUCACCCAAUUGCAUUCAUUCUUCAAGUUGGUCCAGAUGGUGCUCUCAAACAGCCUCAAUCAAGUUUCCGUCAGCAGGGAAAGAUGGUAAAUUCACAAACCAUCCAUGAUUUCGCCUAGAACUCCACUCACCAAGUAACCAACUAGUUACUCCUUGAAUUCUUGUCCUCAAUAAGAACACCCUCCCACAGCAGGAACUUGCAACUAAAACUUCAAUUAGUCACUAGGAUCCUACUAAUGCUGUAUUUGUUGUUUGAGUGCUGCUUGUCACGGACAAAAUAUUUUCCGCUAACUUUUCCUUGACAGUGGCCCAACUUCGCUAGCGGAGCGGGUUGGACAAUGGCCCAUUCUCCGAAGGAGCGGUCUGUCGGAGGUUUUGCUGCGGCGUUCUAAAAACUUAUACGCGGAUCUCAAGACUAAUGGUGCGGAUGCCGAAGUGUCAAGAGUCCCUUAGAGUUUCUAGGUGGGCAAUAAGUGGUCUCUUGGGAGACCGUAGCCUAGCUCUUUGUCAUGUAGUUAUGCGCCAUUUGGCGCCUUUUCAUUGUAGCUUGGGUGGCGAGUGGCCUAUAUAAGGAUGUGGCCUCCGCCCCCUCUCAUUAGAGCCAAGGAAGGAAAUCAGUUGUACUCUCAACUUCUAUCAAUAUACAACAUUCCUCAAACUCUCUCUCUCUCUCUUGUAUUUAGUCUAUGGCGAGUAGGUCCUAACUUAGCGAGUAGAGAGGUAGGCUUGCCCAUCUUCGAGUAGGAAGGCGGGCGCCGCACGGGCUUUGCGAACAGAACCGGUAAGUCCGUGACAGUUGGUAUCAGAGCCGGUUCGAGAAGGAACCAUGUCGUCUUCAGAUGCUGCUGUUGUCGACGUAACUGUUGAGCCUUCUAAGCAUACCAAGCGCGACAAGAGCAAGAAGCCGCUGCAGACUCUAGUGAGAGAGUCCGUUCGCUUGACGACCGCGUAGGCGUGCUGAAGGACUCUGCUGCCAAAGCGGAGGAGCGCUACUCCGUCCUAUCCCAACAUGUGGGGAUGAUGGAGAAUGGGCUGCAUGCCAUGGAGGACAGCGUUGCGGUUGCCAUGGCGACUUUCCGUCAUCAACUCGAGGAGUUCCGCAAAGACCUCACCCGUCGCAAGGACAAGCGGAAGGUGCUGGUGAAGGAUCUCGUCACCAGGGGUGACGAGGUCGAGGACCUCAAGAUGCGGGUGACUAUCCUUGAGAAGGCGGUAGCUCGAGGCGUCGAGACGCAGAAGGAGUACACCCAAGGAUCCGCGUCCCUGAAACCCAAUGCUUCAAGGGCACGCGCGAUGAGAAGGAGAUAGACAAUUUUCUUUGGCACAUGGAGCGCUAUCUCAAGGCGCUGCGGUUGGAGGACGAGGAUGAUAAGGUCCAAACCGCUUCCAUGUACCUUGCCGACAAUGCGAUGCUGUGGUGGCGACGGCGUUCCGCAGAGGCCGCAAAGGGCCAAUGCGAAUUGAAGACUUGGGAGGACUUCGUGCGCGAACUAAAGGCACAGUUCAACCCAGAGCAUGUCAAAUAUCUUGCGCGGAGGCAACUUCGACGGCUCAAACAUCGGAGCACACUCAAGGAGUAUGUCCAGGAGUACUCGAAACUCGUGCCGGCGAUCUCCAACAUGGCCGAUGAGGAUCGGCUAUACUUCUUCCUAGAUGGCCUUCAGUCGUGGGCAAAUAAGGAGCUCGUGGCGCGAGAUGUGAAGGACUUGAACUUCGCGAUUGCUUUGGCGGAGAAGUUGCCCGAGCGGGAGCGAACCGAGGGCGAUCGAGGUGAACCACCAAAGGCGAUCGAGGCCAAUGGUGGUGGAGGGCACCGCAAUCCAGGGGGCGCCAAGGGGCACAAGCCAAACCAUGAUGCAAGAAAGCAAUGACAGAAUCCCGCCCCGCCACCUGCAAAGAUCUCUUGCUAUGUUUGCGGCGAGACCAUUGGGCGUGGGACUGCCGAAAGAGGGGCAACCACAAAGGUAAGCAGGUUGCUGCGGUCCAAGCCAUUGAGGGCGAGGACGACGACAUGGUCUAGCUGCCAAGGAUGGGCACGCUAAGGCUCGUCAACGCAGUUCGCGAUUAGCCAAGUGGCGACAAGCUCCGAAAGAGGGAGCUUAUGUUCAUCAAUGUGAUCCUCAACGGGAGGACCACGCGGGUGAUGAUCGACACCGGUGCGACGUACAACUUUGUUGCGGAGGCGGAGGCCAAGCGGUUGGACCUCACAGUCGAGAAGGAUGCGAGUCGCAUCAAAGCGGUCAACUCUGAGCCGUGGCCAAUCGCAGGAGUUGCCAAGAGCGUGGAGAUAGCCAUCGGCCUGUGGAGAGGCAAGGCCAAUCUCACUGAUGGGCUGCUCGACGACUUUGGAGUGAUCCUCGGGAUGGACUUCCUUAUUUCGUCGAAGGCGGCGCCUAUGCCACACUUGUGGGUGCUGAGCAUCAUGGACGAGUCAGCAUCAUGCAUGGUUCCGAUGUGUCGGGAUGAGCCGACGAAGGACCUAACUCUAAUAGCCCUGCAACUUUGCCAAGAGGUGAAGUGCGAGAAGACUGAGGAACUUGAGGAGGAGGACCUGAGCAGCGGCGAGACUGUCAAGUCUUAUGUGGCGCUGAAACAGUCAGCGCCCGAUCAAGGUACAAGUUAUUCUGUCAAGCAGCUGUCCGAGGGGACCAGGGGGCGUUCUGCGGCUUAGCGGAGUGCUGUCGCGGAGGACAUGCACAUUUGGUGGAUUCUUCGCAUAGCGGGUUCGCUGGUGCACAUGCUCAGAGGGGCAAGACACUAGGUGUUGGCGUGGGGACAGAUGCAGACUGCAGAAGGAAGGCACGGGGCCGAUCGCAAGUGAAGGUACGACGGACCGCGCGGAAGGCUAUGCGAACAGGGAAUGACUCGGCGCGCGACGAGGGCGUCUGCACGUUAGGUGGGGGAGGUUGUCACGGACAAAAUGUUUUCCGCUGACUUCUCCUUGACAGUGGCCCAACUUCGCUAGCAGAGCGGGUUGGACAGUGGCCCAUUCUUCGAAGGAGCAUUCUGUCGGAGGUUUUGCCGGGGCGUUCUGGAAGCUUCUAUGCGGAUCUCAAGACUAAUGGUGCGAAUGCCGAAGGGUCAAGAGUCCUUUAGAGUUUCUAGAUGGGCAAUAAGUGUAGUCUCUUGGGAGAUCGUAGCCUAUCUCUUUGUCUUGUAGUUAUGCGCCAUUUGGCGCCUUUUUAUUUGUAGCUUGGGUGGCGAGUGGCCUAUGUAAGGAUGUGGCCUCCACCCCCUUUCAUUAGAGUCAAGGAAGGAAAUCAGUUGUACUCUCAACUUUUAUCAAUAUACAACAUUCCUCAAACUCUCUCUCUCUCUUGUACUUAGUCUAGGGCGAGUAGGUCCUAGCUUAGCAAGUAGAGAGGUAGGCUUGCCCAUCUUCGAGCAAAAAGGCGGGCGCUGCACAGGCUUUGCGAACAAAACCACUAAGUCCGUGACAGUUCUAGCAAGCUACGCAGGGAAGAACCGGCAGGGAGGAAGGAGAAAUUAAGAGAAAAAGAAACAGAAGAACGAGAAAAAGAAUAGAGUUGAUGGGAAAAGUGAGUUGCAUGGAGGAGAAUAAAGUCCACACUCAGCCACACACUACCAACCAACAUCCUGAGUUUGGGGUGGUUGGGAUUUUGAUACCAUGUGCCUUAGGCACAAGGUAGUAAGGUUACCCAACAGGAAGUUGAUUGGCAUAUCGAUCUAAUUUUGACGUCUACGGCCCAACACUUUCCCAACGUGUCGACUGAAGCACAGACCGUAAUCAUUCCAAAAAAAAUAAUAAGUUAAUAUUUUUUUGAAACAUUACAUUUUGCCUUUUUUGUCAUAAAUUGGGUGAUAUGAGAAUAGAGAGAAAGGAAUAGGCGAGUUUAGAGAAGAUGAUGUUGAUCAAGCCAACAUGGGGAAACAUAAGGAUCGGUAUGUCGUUUAUGGUGGCUCUGAAAAGAUAUAAGAUGGUGAUCUCCAUGCCGUCGUACACGAGCCUCGAGAGAAAGGUCAAUCAUAAGGGUGUAUGGCACAAAUUUGAUAUUGAAUGUCCUUACCAAAGGAUGGGCGGAACCGUGAAGAAAGAAUAUAAACUCAUUCUAUAUAGGUAAUAUUUUUUGUGUUAGUUUCCUCUCCUUCCUCGACUCCCCUAUUAUAAUGACACCAUCGCCGCAUGGGGUUCACCGAAAAGUUGCUUAGCCUUGCCGACUGCUGCCACCCGAUAAACGUCCCCAUGAACAUCACUCGCCGAGUGCUUAUAGCGGUCUCAGUAAUCUAAAUUUAACGACCUAUUUUUUUUCUAUAACUUAAGUUAGUAAAUUCGAUUUUGAUGAUUUAGAAACAAAUAAUAGAGAUAAUUUUCUUUGAAAACUUAAACGGUUUAUAUUUAAAACUUUACGGCACGANCUCAGCGCCUUCUACAUGGUUAAAAAAAAAAAAAAGUUGGACCGGGUGCACUGCAUGUCUGGGCGGUGUUUAAGUUUCAAGGAGAUAAGUGAGCCCGUCUCAGAGGAAACAUAAACGUGCCGCAUGGUUGCCUAUGUUGUCCUAGUGUUGGUGUUGGAUGUAAAUGGUUAGUCGUUGGUUAAGUACUAUACAUAAAGGUAUGUCGAUUGUUAGGAAUCUUACUACGUACGGAGAUUCGUGAGGAAUCCGCAACCUACUACGUUACGUGUUAUGUUGUUUGUAAGAUAAAUUUUCACGAGGGGUGGGCCUUCGAAAACAAAAAUUGAGAUUAAGUUAGUAAGUAUUUUGGUAAGUUUUUAGAAAACUUUUGACAAAAGGUGUGCUUUUGAUGAGUUUUAAAAAAUGGUAAUGGCUUUUAAAUCGGCCCCGGGGCGUGACAUCCUCUUCCUCCAUCUCCUCCUCCGUCGGUGCCGGCGGCCCUUGGCAACAGUAACAAGGUCGGCGCCGAUCCUCCUCCUCCACCUCCGUCUUCGCCGCCGCUAGAGAAGAAGAAAGAGAACUCGGAGUAGGCCCGAGUGAGGGCGGAGCAGACAGAGGCGAUGAGGUUGUUGCCGAGGAGGUGCUCACCGCUCGUGAGGGUAAGGAAAACGGUGUAAGGAAAGAAGAUGCACCUAUCUCCAAGGAACGAACAAAUAUGCAAAGGGUAGAAAAAAAACAAGAAUAAAAAAUAAAAUAAUAAAAAAAUUCUCUUUGAAAGAGCAUUAUAUAUUGUUGCUGCUACCGAAAAGUCUAAAAAUUAGAGAAAAAGAAAGAAGAAGAUGAAUGUUGCACUGUUAACAAGAAAAUUGCACUGUUUAAUAUGAACGUUGCACUUUGUGAGAUUAAAAUUACACUGUUUAAAAUAAAAGUUGCACUAUUUGGACAAAAAUUAUACUAUUUCAAAAAAAAUUGUACUAUUCUCCGGCCCUCAUCGCCUCAUCUUCUUCUUUUCUUCCUCUUUCUUUGACCCCUUCCUCCUCUUCCCUCUCCCCUUCCGACCCUUAUCCUCACCAGCGCGAGCCUCUCUACCCCGCAUGCCGCAUCGGAGCGCCGAAACACGAAAACGACCUACCUCUCUCUUUUUUUUUUGUUCCUUUGUUAUUUUUUUUUUUCUCUCUGACGCUUAUCGCCUCCUUCACCGUAUCCUCGGUCCUUGGCGACAGUAACGAGGGCGGUGACACCUCCUCUUCCUCUGCCUGUGUAGUACACUGAACUUUAGCAAAUUGCCAGGUUCUAGUGUAAUAAUAGUAUUUAGAACUAUUCUAACUAUUUUGUGGGUUGUUGGUAGUGUACCAACACAUAACUUAAGCUCUCUGAGUGCGAGAACGGGUUACUAGCACUAAAAUCUACAAAUUGCAGGUUUUGAGUGCUGCGUAUCGGCCUUGAGUGGGGUACCGGAACUCUGUAGAGUGCCAGAAUGUGUUGCUCUUGGGUUUGAGGAGCUGGGCAGUGAGUACCGGUACUGGACGGUGAGUACCGGUACUGGACUGAGUACUGGGUGGAGUACAAGUACUGCAUCAGGUGGGUACCAGUACACUGUAAAAAAUCCGAUUAUCUAGCGCUCGGGUUUUGAGAGGCUAAGUACUGGGUACCGGUACUCCAAUUCGAGUACCGAUAUUCAAUGCUGCAGAUGGUAUGUGUGUAUAAGUGGGGUGUCACAUUUGGUAUCAGAGCCAAUUACCAGCCAGAAGUGUGAGAUGAGUCUCAGCUGAACCAGGUUAUACAACGGGGAGAGCGAGGCUCUCAUGCUCUUGACUGUUGUGGGUGGAGCGCGGCUCUCCCACAAGGUCGGUUUAGGCUAGAGAGACGAGUCUCACAUUGCUUGGUACUUGUGAUUCUGAGUCUGACGAGGACGUUAGUGCUUAAAGAGGCAGAGAAUGUGAGACCCCAGAUAGUUCUCUAUAUGGCAGUUCUCUAUAUAUGAUAUAAUAGGGUUAAUACCUUAACCCGGAUAUAGCCUUUUGAGCGGUAGCUAGGUCCAAGAGGUUAAGAGAGUUAAGCGUGCUAGGACUACAGUAGUCCUAGGAUGGGUGACCCUCUGGGAAGUAGGGCGUCACGUAAAACAUUCAAAAUUUUAUUUGAACUAUGAACUAUUUUGAAUUGACUAUCUGUCACGCCCCGAGCUCCGCCUAUUUGGUCGGAUUCGGGCAUGCCAACAGACCGCCGAACGGAUAGGGUUUCCCCUGUACCACGGAUAGAGUUUUUCCUGUACUGCGGACAGAGUUUCCCCUGUACGUCCAAGGCGUCACAAUCCAUACAAUACGCGAGGUUCCAACCAGGAACAGUAUUCAAUCAAGGAUUGCGUAAGGAAGUAUCAAAAACAUAAAUACAACUAUGCUAUUACAAGCAUUCAUUCCAGGUUUUACAUAUUACAAUUUGAUUUACAUUUAACUUCCAAAUACAAUCAGGUUAUUACAAAACUAUUACAAGUUUGUUUCUUUCAUCUCUAUACCCCUAAGCUAGACCACCUCGGGGUACUGCUAUCUCUGGUCAGAAUGGUAGGGCGCUAGCUAUGGAGCUACGCCCUUUCCUCGCGCCGCCGUGCCGCUCACGCGUGAACCUGAAAUCCCCCAAAACAACGUGGGGUGAGAACUAUAUAAAUAUAGUUCCCAGUGGGUACGGCCACCUAAGGUAAGAGCUCGACCCACCAGGUCCAAAGGAGGCACUGCCAACAUGUUAGUCCAGAAAAUAUCCACAUAUAUAUCAUUAUAUGUUUUAUGUAACUAACAGUUAUCAUGUUCAUGCCUCUCAACAUGCAACAAUGCAAAUCAUGCAACUCAACAUGCAUCAAUGUAAGUCAUGGAACUCAACGUGCAAUAAUGUAAGUAGAUCUACUAAUUCUACUUCUAUCUCGCUAUCCACAGCUCGUCCAACUGACUUCUAAGAUUUCCUCUAUCUUAGAUUCAUAUCAUUCACAAUUUGCUCAUAAGGUUUCAUCUACCUUUACCAAACUAUCCACCCGACUCGGUCUUGAGUCAAUCAUCUGCGGAGUAAUCGCGUACAGCCAGGCUCGAGGUGAAGGACAUCUCAUAUGCAUCUCAGCCUUAAAUCCACUGAACUGGGAUGCCAACUGGGAUGCAAAUUCACUCUACUAGGAUUCAUCCAUAGCUCAUAAUGCAUGUCACCUAAUCUCACUGGUUAACCGAAAGGUUAAGCCCCGACUCAUAGUGCAAUCCCAUAGGUGAGGAAACCCUCCCGCUCGCACACCGAGACCGUCUGCUGGGUAAGUGGAUCGUUAACUCAUCGUGUGAAGACUCCGGAGCUCACUGCUUGGGUGGAGCGACCACGCCAAGCGAGAACAGACUAUGUGAGUAUGAUCCAAUCCUCUCCAACUGAGUAUACCCUACCAACUAGGGAUACAACAAACUCGAAAAAUCCACCAAUCCCAACAUUCAUGUCACAAGUGUCUCUACUACACUAGUUCCAAAUGCCACUCGAUCUACAACUCAAAAAAUCAUCUAUCCCUAUAGUCAUCAUGUCAUAAGUGUCUCUACCACACUAGUUUCACAUGCCACAUUUUCUACUUGUCAUCCUAGUUAUCCACACCUAGGAUUAUAGUUCAUAUGUCCUUAUUUUGAUAUCGAGUUCUCUAAUCAACCUAGAGUUUAUCGACCCAAAGUAAACAUUCAUAUGAAUUUAGCACAUUCUACAACAUGUCAACAUGCAUAUCUCAACUAGUAUAAUCCACAACAUGAACAUGCAUAUACCAUCUAGUGUAUAUAUAUCCACAUGCACAUUUCAUCUAGCAUGCUCUCAUAAUGUUCACAUGCAUAUUUCAUCUAACAUAAUCCACAAUAUGUCAACAUGCAUAUGUUUAGUCAUCCAAUGAUAGUCCAUGCAUAGCAUCUAUUUCAUGCAUUCAUCUAGCAUUUAUAUCAUGUAUUCAUAUGUUUUGCAAUUAACUACCAUUAUAUGCAUCAAUGAUAAAUAACAUUCACUUCGACAUGGAAGUGAGCUAAUCUCUUCGGUGAGCACAACCCAUCUCGUAACGCUCUCCGAUUGCUUGUCGACACUUGCAACCGGCCUCCUGCGGUACUCGUUGUUCGGUUCGGCUCGAACUUGCAAUCGAUCACCAGCCACAUGUCAAUCCGCGACCUAGGGUCUUCAAGGGCCUCUCUCUAACCUCCAAUUAGAGAAACCAAGGGUUAAUUUAGACCAAAACCCUUAAACCCCAAAACACUCAUCGCUAACCCUAGCAUGGCAUAAUCUCCAAUUAACCCAAAAAUCUCAUGGAGAAAACAUGCUAACAAUACAUUAGAGGCUACUAGAACACUAAGUAUUAAGGAUUUAACCAAAAUCCUAACACUUACCAAAUUGCAAACUCCGAGUCGAAAGCACGCCGCUCAACUGGACGUACGAAGACUCGAUCCGUCGCUCCACACGCGUUCCCAAGCCCGCUCGCCGCCAAGCCUCUGAAUGUGGGAGAGAGAGAUAAAGAGAGUAGGGAAAUAUCUAGAGAGAGAAAGGGAGGGUUUCUCUCUCCCUCUCCAUGUACGUGUGUGUGUUGUGUUUGGCUGAGGAGGAAGGAGGAAGAAGAAGGAAAGGGGAAAAACCCAUUUUUAUAAGCCAACACCCCUCAACAUUAACACAAUUUUCAGUUUAGCAGUUCAGAAUCUGAAGUUCUUCGCCGGAGCCCUUCUGAAUGUCCGUUUGCGCUCAAAUUUGACAGUUAGGCUCGGUUUAACUUAACAAGAAAAACGAAAUCUUAACUUCUCAGUUUCAAACCAUUUUUUGUCACCGAAAACUCUACCGACUAAAAUUUCUAGUAGAUAGCAGUCGGAUUUUAUUUUAUACUUUCCUGGUAUUGGAAUGACAUGAAAUUUUAAAUCUUGCAUCAUAAAAAUAAUUUCGACAUAUUCUCCAAUUUUCAUAAUUUUCUGACACUGUGAAUUUUCUGCUAAAAGGUCAACCCCGUUUCUUACAGAAAAUAGUAUCUUACACUAUUUUUAUUUAUAUUUACCUUUAUAUUAAAAUCCGGUGCAUCACACUAUCCGACCUUUCAAAAUUUUGAUUUUACGAUCCAACCUUUUAAUUUAUUUGAUUUGACUUAGUCAAUAGCAUUUUGAUUAUAAAAUUUAAAUAUGACCUUUAUCUUUAUGUUUAGUUAUUAUACUUCAUGCAAUUUUCAUAAUUGUAAAUAUAAUAAUGUGAGCAACUACUUAAAUUUUAAAGUCAAAGUGUUGUUGUAAUAUCUGAGAUUUGAAUAAAACGAAAUUUGAAAUUUGAAUUUGAAUUUAAGUAUAUAUAUAUAUAUAUANUCUCUCUCUCUCUCUCUCUCUCUCUAUAUAUAUAUAUAUAUAGUUCGGCUACUAUACAUACAAUUAUGAGUACGAUCGCCCUCGUACUCAUAAGUUGUUUUCGAUGAUAGAGCUCCCGAAUCGUCGAUCCACACCGUUAAACAUUAUCUAGCGUAUUUAAAACGUCUAGAAAUCAAAUUUUAUAAUUUUUCGUCAUCAUUUACCUUACGAUCAAAAGGUCACAAAAUUGACAAUUUUUAACGGUCGGUAUGGCAUAUUUGCUAGUUUAACGGUGUAAAAGAAUCGAAAUCGGUUGAAUUUUUGAUAGAAAAUUUUAUUCACUACAUAAAUAAAGAUCAAUAACUCCGAUCUUAAAUUGAAGGAUCCGAUCAUCCAUUUUUAAGAUGUCGUUCGAUUUUGACCGUUCAUUUUAUACCCGCUUGAUGGACUUUUUUAUGAUUUCGAAAAAUUACGAAAUUUAUUUUCUAGAAGUUUGAAUACUCUAGAUCAUAUUUAACGGAGUGGAUCGUGAAAGCUCCAUCAUUGAAAACAACUUAUGAGUACGAAGGGCCCAAUACUCAUAAGAGUAUAGUAGCCCUACUCUCUCUCUCUCUCUCUAUAUAUAUAUAUAUAUGUGUGUGUGUGUGUGUGUGUGUGUGUGUGUGUGUGUGUGCGCGUGCAUGUGUGUGUGUGUAUAUAUAUAUAUAUAUGGUGGUAUUGAGAGCAGAGGAGUUUCGUCGCAGAUCGGCGACCAAAUCUGGCGAAACAAAAUAGUAGUUUCGAUGCCCCUGUCGUGCUGAAUGCGAUGGCGCAGUUCGAUCAAAAAUCCGACGAACGGAUCUCUGGGAAUCUCAUAAUGUUCGCUGAGGAGUCGAAAGUGGCAAAACGGAAAAUUCGCGAAAAGCCUUAUAUUUUAUGUACCGUUUUGCACGAUUUUGAAUGUGGAGGUGCGUAUGCGCAAAAUACAUGCGCUGUGAGGGACUUGCCUGAAAAUAUUCAGCUCUGGAGGACAAUAUUGCAAUUUGGCCAAUAUAUAUAUAUUUGCAUCUUGGGUUUUCCAUGCUAACCUUAACCCUAGUAUACACCUUCUACCGUAGCUGCGCCCCCAACAGCCUCCACCACCCUCCCCUGCCCUCGCCACGCUGUCACGGGUCUAAUGACUUUUGUCAAAAAGCCCGCGCGGUGCUCGUUCGUCACCUACACAAACGAGCCAGCCAAUUCGUCUCGAGGUACAACUUCGCAAAUUGGCAACGACCGAGAAUUGAGAUAAAGCACGUAAGGGGGUCCUACAAAUUGGCACAAACAACGAGUAUUUUAUUGAUAACGAAAAUUUGGACUACAAGCGAAAGGCACACGACUCAACUCAGUCGGGCAUGGCCGAUGAGGGCAAAAUGAUCACCAAGACACUCCGCAUCUAGCGAAGCCGGCUCACUUAAUACGUCUCACCCAACCUUCCCGUACUACCCUAUAUUGGCAUCUACCCAUUUGGCACCCCGGGGGUACAAAGGUGCUCACCAAGGGGUACGUUUUUCCCACUCCGCACACCCAUGGGAAAAUAGGUCGCCGACCCAUGUCCGACAUGAGUCCGGCUCAAUCCGUCGCUGUCACGCCUCGGGGUCCCAUUUUAGUUUUAAAAGCAAAACGGAAAUGCCCAAAAAAAAAUUUUCUUGAAAACCUGACCCCCAGGGUAUGCCAGAUCCGCCACAAGUACAGGAAAUCACUGUUCACACGGACAGUGUCUUCCCUGUAUUUGCACAGCGUCGCACAAGUACAAGAUACAAUUUUUAACUAACCAAAUACAACCACAAAGAUGAACAUCCACAGAUUCAUACAUCAUUCACAGAAUCUCAUUUAUCCAAUUGAAUGAAAGUCAACUGAACCAUAAAGUUUAAGUUAUAUAUUUUGAAUAAGCAAGGAUAGAAACUAGACCGAAGGUCACCGGGCCGGAAACUUUAUCGACCGCUACGAACGUGUCUCACGUAUCGUCUCAACCCUCACCACCCGCAAUACCUAAAAAAUGGUUGGGGGGGUGAGAACAUGUAACCAUGUCUCCCCUCCCAGCGGGUACCGCAAGCAGACGAAGGCGAGGAGUACUCACCGGCAGAAAGAGAUCAACAAAGUCAUAAGUAGAUAUCACAAAUACAGUAGCUAUAAUACCGGAAGGAAUGGAAACAAUAAUAGAACAUGUAACUACCGCUACUGCAAAAUAGAACAGAAUGCAUACAUGGAUAUCGUAACUACAGUAACAAUGAUGCAUGGGUAAAUAACAAUAUAUAGGAAUAUGACUAGCCGCUACUGUAAUACAGAACAAAGUAUAAGUAUGCAUCAACUGGACGAUCAGUCCCAAAAAUACCCAAUCAGAAACUUGGCAUGACGGUCCGCAGACCUCAAGCCUGUGCUCACUGCCACUCUACCUGUAUAUGACCCAGACUAGGCCUCUGGGCUCACAGGCUGCAUAUAACCCAGACUAGGCCUCUGGGCUCACGGGUUGGCACAUCGAACCACUUUUCCGGAAAAGAACACCCUCUGUGGUGGAUCAGACCGCUGGUGAUCGUGAAAUGCAAACAAGUCUCGGGCGAUCGAUGCUGAUAUGCUCAAUAGCCAACCGUCGGCAACUAGCCGACAAUCCUAUCUCUCAGGGUAUACUGACCAAUAGGUCAUCGAACUGUAAAGAACACAAGUACCGACCACUCAGGUCAACUAGAUGGAACAACUCAACAUCCCUUCGAAGAUAUGCAAGUAUCGACUACUCAAUGUCAACUAACAUCUAUAUACACAAGAACCGACCAAUAGGUCACAAGGAUGUCACAUCAUACAUCGGUAUAAUCCAGAACUAACUGUAAGUUUUGGGGUGUCCAAGGAUCUAUCUAGAUUAUAUCUAAAACCUAGAGGGGGGUGAAUAGGUGUAAUAGCCAAAAACUAUAAAUCUCGAUGCGAUAAAAAUAAAUGCGAAAAAUAAAAAUCACACCGAAAUUUACGUGGGAAAACUCCAACUUGGAGAAAAACCUACGAGACCAACACGCGAAAAAAUAGUUCACUAAGAGAAAAGAUUACAAGGUGAUUACCAACUCCACGGACUCGACCUCUCUUAACCUCUUAUGAAUCUCGCGCAAUCCUCCGGGUUGUCCAUGCCCCCACGUUCGAAUCCACGAACGCCUCUGUAGCACACUGGACCUUUGUAAAUUGCGAGGUUCGAGUGUUCGAUUUGUAUUCCGAACUUCUCCACACUUGGUGGAGGGCCGUCGAUGGUAUACCGGCCUAAAAGUUCGAUCUCGAGAGUUUUGGCAGAGUCCUGAGAGUUUUUACUCUCGGGGACCGGUCCCUGAUAGGAGAGACCGGUCCCCCAGUGAACAGUGCUGCGCAGCCGGCGAGGCAACCGGUCCCUGGCAGUCGAGACCGGUCCACGAGCGCGUCUGCGCGGGGAGAGACCGGUCCCGCGCAGGGAGAGACCGGUUCCCGAACGUUGAAUUUUCGGGGACAGGCUGAGAGACCGGUCCCAAGUCGGGGAGACCGGUCCCUCUGGGCGAAAACUGCCCAGACCGGGCUGAUGUGAUUUUGGAUUUUUAAGGGGCUUAUCAGGAUUUUGUUACUUUAGAGCCUAUAGAGAGCCUUUCUUCUCUCUCUUUCCCUCAUUUCUCUCAAUCCUUUGCAUUCUAGAGAGAGAAGAAGAGAGGGAGAAGAAGAAGAAGAAGAAGGAGAGGAGAAGGAGCUUGCUUGGAGGCUUUGGAGCAUCAUCUUCUUCCCCAUUUCUCACUUUGGUGGCUUCGAGCUUGUGGUUGGAGCUUUGUGGAGGAUCAAUCUUCAACCCUAGAAGAUUUUGAGCUUGGAUUGGAUCAUCCUAGAGGUAAGUGGCAAGGUUCCUUCCUCUAGAUCUUAGUUUUGGGGCUUUUGCUUGUUUAAACCCUAGAUUUUGGAUUUUAGGGUUAGAUUUGGGGAUUCUUGAUUUGAGGCUUCUUGAUCUCAUUUGAAAGGUUUGGAACCUUUAUAUAGGUUAGAUUGGAAGACCUCUACCUCCCAUUUGAAGAUUAAGAGAGGGUUUUUCACUUGAGGUGAGUUUUUCCCAACCCUAUCUUAAGUUGGUUAAUGAUUGAACUUAGCGUCAUUCGUUUCGACUAGAUGACACUUGUUUUCAUACCUUUAGGGUACUAGGAGUGUGGUGGACGCCUUCGUCGUGGCAAACGAAAGCUUUCGUUGACGACGGUGGGUUUGGCUUCGUGGAAAUGGGGCGAAAUGGCCCCUAUGCUCUUUCUAUUUGUUGUAAAAUAUUUUUUUUAAAUUCAUUCCUAUGCUAAAUGGAAUUUAUAUGAAUUUUAGAGCACUUCGAAUGCAUGCCUUGUGUAUUAUGAAAAUUUCACUAUAUAGUAGAGCUAUAUGAGUAGAAUGCAUGCAUAUGGAAAAAGUGUUAUUUGCAAGUGAAAAAUACAUCACUUAUGAGGAUUAUGAUUUGGAAUAUGUACUUUGGAACAUAGUUGCCAUGCUCUGGCAUAGAGAACAAGGGUGUCAUCAAGGGGCACUUGAAACUAGUAAACUAUGAAACUGCAACAUAGAGACAUAUUGAUAGGCCACUACAUAUCUGCUAUAUUCCAUGUUAGAGACAUGAUGACAUAGGGAUAGGCCAUUGAGAUACUUGACACAUUCCAUGUUAUUAGACAUGAGGACUUGGUACUUGCGACAGAUCGUUUGACUACUUGCCAUUGUGCUCAUUCGCACAUGCUUGUGAGGGUCGCUCCCUACAAGCCGGCACUCCGGAGAUAGCCAUCGCGAUUCAUAUUCGCCGUGCGGGAUUGGGCGCCGAAGUGGAUUGCCGUGGGACAGGCUCAUUCCUAGGGUGGGGAUGAUGACUACCACGGGGCCAUUAGGCUCGGCACCGGCCAGACAGCCUACGGGUGGGUCUCAGGGCCAUAGACAGCCUUCGGGUGGGUCUCUUCAGAUUUGACUUUGAGUAUUCAUUAUGACAUGUGGACAGAUGAUGACUUAGUGUACUACUUGGACAUUGACUAGAAUAGUAAACAACGGAACUUUACUAUUUCGCAUUGUGAACAUUAUGAUAGUUGGAGACUUUUACUUCAUGCAUAGUUGCUUCAUACUUAUGCUAUUUAUGCUAAGUAGAGAUAUCAUGUUGUAGUAAGUUACAUUUUUACUUACCUUUCGCUUUUCUACUUUUAUAGUCACUGACAUGUUUUGUAGAUUUGGGCCUCGUGGUGCAUUCACUGAAGUCAGUAAUUGUCCACUGGGAACUAUUUUUAAUAGUUCUCACACCCCUGUUUUAUGGUUUACUUUUCAGAGCCUUCGGCACCGGCGGAGGCACGGGAUCGUGGCAAUGGGAUCGCUUAGCUAGCUAGCGAGGAGCGGUACUUUGCCUAGAUGGUUUACUCUUUCUUUUGUAGUUGAGAGAGUGAGAGGUUUUUGUAUCCAUGUAUAGAGACCACCUAUGUAUCUACCUAUAGCACUUGUAUCUGGGACUUCCUUGUAUCACUUUAUAUUUUAUUUAGUGGAUUUACAGUUUUAUCCUUAUCCCUGGUUGUAGCAUUUAGACAUUUAUUAUGCUUUGAUACUCCUAGAUGUCUUUUAUUAUUGCUUUUAUUAUUGUUGUUUUUAGACGCUUUAUACGUUUUAGACGUAUGGCGGGUCUGGGCACGCGCCGGGCGGGCUUCCGCUGGGUCCCGGGGCGUGACAGCCUUGCACACGUCUAAAUCCACGAACGCCACUCGAAUCCACGAGCCCACAAUCCGAAUCCACGAACCGCCUUCAAUCACGCUGAAUCCACGACGCCAUCCAUGAAAAACAUCAUGCUAUGGUGAUCCUUCGCUUAAAGUGUUGUAGAAAACCAGAGAAGAAAACUCCAAGCGAAGUGUAGAUCAAAUCGACAUAUUGAUAUCAAAUUACAAUCUCUCGAUUUCACCUAAAAGAGGCUAUUUUGUGGAAAAUAGGUUUUGGACGAAAUCCUAGCCUGUAGGGUUUCUCAAAUAUGUAUUCUCAUGAUGCUUAAUCUGUUAGAGAAUCCCAAUAGCUUAUUUAUAGACUUUAGAAUCAAUUAGACUCGGAUUAGAAAGUUUUUCGGAUUUUUACAUUGUGUACCGGUACACUUUCAAGCUGUUACCGGUUACACGAUGACGGAACGAAAAACCUGCAAAAUAGUGUAACAGGUGACAGGUCGCUGGUUGUACCAAAACACAAUAUGUACCGGUACACUUUCAAUGCUGUACCGGUACACUUUGCAAUUUUUAGUUUUUUUGCAAAGUUUCGGGUUUCGCAAAGUUCCAAUGCACUUUCUGAUCCAGUAAACAUUGAUUUUAUGAUUCUAAUGCCUACAGCUAAGUAUGAAUCACCCUAACAUGAAUUACAAAUUUUACCUGAGCAUCGUGGUUCACGUCGUGAGUUAUUUUCCGAUUUCUUCGAAAUCUUGGAUUCUUCGAUCUUUGACAUUACGCACUGAUCCUUCAAGACUCCGACUCAAUCCACGAAACUUGCCAACACACAAGACUUAGCAAUUUCGUGACAAAACUCACAACAACUCAACAAUUACAUCUUAAAGAAAAACGAAGUUCAAUAUCAUCACCAAAACAUCGAACUUCUCGCAUGUAGUCCAAAUACAACUUGAAACUCAAAAGUACAUUAUAAACUCCUAAAACAGACUCUAUGACUUAGACGCAACUAGGAGUCUUGAAGUUUUGAUUUCCUGCAAAAACAAACUAACCAAAAUGAUAUAGAAAGUUGAGACCACUGGACAUUCUUACAUUCAAUUCAUUGUUCUUAUUGUUCUUGAUCACUUCUCCCCCUUUGUUCUUAUCUCCCUUCUUCUCCUCGAAAUUUCACUCCUUUUCCCCCUUUGUUCUUGAAAGAUAUGGAUCCCGAGGAUCUAAAAGGUAAAUAACACCUAGAGGGGGGUGAAUAGGUGUAAAAUGGCAAAAACAAAAGCUCUCGAUGCAAAUAAAAGAGAUAGCGGAAAAUAAAAACAGCACACCGAGAUUUUAACGUGGGAAAACUCCAAUCUGGAGUGAAAAACCCACGGGACCGAUCACGCGAAGAAAAUCCACUAAGAAAACUUGAGUACAAGUGAUUUUAACCAAAAUACAUGACUCAAUUUACCGAAUUCCCGUUGUUGAUGGUCUUCGCCGGUCCUAGAUCGAUAGGAAUCCUCCGAUCGACCUCGCCGCAACUCCUUGCUGCGUCAACGCCUCAACUCCUCGAAGCGUCCACCGAAUCCUCGGCUUCACGCGAGUCCACGCGCCGAACCUCCUUUCGGAGUUUGCAGAAUUGAUGAUUUGUGGUGAUUAAGACUUAGAAUACCAUAAGCAAUGAGGGUUCACCUUCUAAUCAAACAUCUACUCGAUUCUCGAAAAAGAUAUCGAGUUAGAUCGAAGAAUCAAGUCGAUCGUUGAAACUUGUUAUAAGAAUAGAAUCAUAUAAAUGUGAAAACAAGUUUCUAGGAUUUUAGAUCAGUAGAAAUUCAAAGCCUUAACCCAUAUGACGACCCCCAUGGCUUAUUUAUAGGUUUAGAAGACUUAGAAGUAGACUAGGAUUACAAAAAGUCUAUUUAAAAAAACUGGUGUCGUCCUCAGGGACCAGUCCUCUUGAGGAGACCGCUCUCGAGUGAGAGAUCGGUCCCUCGCUGCGUGACAGAAAACACACCGUUCGGUUCGGGAACGGUCUCUCAUGCCAGAGACCGGUCCCUCGCUGCGUGACAAAAAAUCCCAUGUUCGGGAACCAGUCUCCCUUUCCAGAGACCGAUUGCCUCAACAUCCCACGCAGUGAGGACCUUCGGGGACCAGUCUCUCAACUCUGGGACCGGUCCCAGAACACUGAAAAGUUCAGUAUAAGCUUUAUAAUGCAAUCUAAGUCUUCUGAACUUAUUGUAAUUAAAUAAAUUCACCACAAAUGAUCUAUUCUAUAUACCUGAGGUGUCGAGCUUCUCCAAAUGAGUUUUUGCUCUUCAAAUUGAAUCUUCUCUUCAAACUACCGCGAUCAACUCUUCAAGACUCCAUUCGACUUUACGAAAUCCGCCAACCUAGAAAAUCCUUAACAAUCUCCCCCUUUGGCGAUUUCGUGACAAAAUAUAUUACAAUGCUCGUACACAACUCAGAAACAAUAAAAAGAAGAUCAUCGCAAUCACCAAACGACAAUCUCCUCCUGCAUGAUCGAUCCAAUAAAAGAAAAAAUUACACUUUUCUCACAUUCCUAAUACAAACUCUAUGACUUAAACAUGGAGUCUUGAAGUCUUGAACAUUCCUGCAAAAACACUCUUAAAACACAAUCAAGAUUCAAGAAUACUUAUUAUAUCAAAAGAUCAAACAUAAACGUCAAAGCACCAACCAAAGUUCAAGACACAUCAACAGUCAUAGUUCUUCUAAGUCAACAGUCAUAGAGCAUCUAAGCAAACAUCUAAUCUAAAUUUACAUAACUAAGCAAAACACCAAAAGUGCAUCAUGGGCAACAUCAUCACAAGCAUGAGCAUCAUCAUCAUCAUGAGCAUUGAGCAUCUCCCCCUUUUUGUCAGAAAGCGCCAAAGUGACAAAAGGAGGAACCCCGCACCACUCAGUCGGAGUUGUCACCCUGCAGAGGAAGAUCUGAGCUACAACAACCCAAUUUAUCAAAGAUCGCUUUCAUUAAACAUUUAAUCUUGCUCACAUCCUUCCUUAUCUGAGCCUGAUCCGUAGAAAGUUUCUGAAGCUCUUCAGAUAAUCGCUGUUGCUCACGAUACACAGAUGAAACCGAGACAUCCUCCUCAGAAAUAUCCAUAGAAGAACGUGAAGAAGUAGGAGCAGCAGGAGGUGGAGUAGCAGUAGGUGAAGCAGUUCGUUGAGACGGAGUUCUAAGCUGCACAGAGGACUUCACAAACGUCCUUUCAUUAAUCCAUCCUAAGCUGUGCUCAUAGGAAGUACAACUUGUAUUCACAUCGUGAUAUCUAAGAAUCCGCAUGAUGAUCAUCGGAUAUGGCAAUCUUUCAUUCUGCCCGGAAGUCUUGAUGUCCUUUGCCAUCAGCCGCCAAAUCAAAAAUGGAAUGUUCAUGUUGAUGUUCCUGGCUUGAACAAUGUUCCCCAAUAAGUACAUAUAGGGUACACGAUCCCAUCUCAAUAUCUUCGUGUUAGCUAAUGGCAAAAUGUUAUAGCAUACCACGAAGUUUAGAAAUCUAUAUUCCAUCUUGAGAUCCUUAGAAAGAACCAUAAUUGCAUUUGAUUCAGUACCCGGCAUACAUAUCGCGUCCAAAAUCUUUUUCCAAUUCUAAAUUGAUCAAAACCGGCAUGAAGAUACUCAACCCCAUCUAUCCGAGCCGUCAUUUCCAGCACUGUAGCAAUAGAAUCAGGUUUGAUCAUCAGCUCCACUCCACGUACUGAAGUAGUAAACUGAUAAGGGCCUCCAUCAGAGUCACUCAAAUGACCUGCCCUCAUGUAAAAUUCUCUGAUCAGCUCCAAACAAAAACCAGUCUGCUCCGGGAAAUCACAAAUCUGAUGUAGAUUUUCUUUUUCAAACAGAUCUUGAAACCCCGGUACACAAUCAAUAAUACUAGCUACUCCAACAUCUCGCUUGCCAAUACAGUGCUUUGAUGAGUACAUUGAUCUACGACUGGAAGGAACAUCCUGCACACUAAGACGUGGAGGCUCAGAACCCGGUUCUCUGAUCUCAACACCCCCAAACUUCCUACGAUCUGCAUAUUCAGUCGCCUUUCCUUUUCCCUUGUCCAGUGCCUUUCCUUUACCCUUAUCAACUGCCUUUCCUCUACCCUUUCCUUUACCGUUGUCCUUAUCCUUUUCAGUAACUGAGGGAGCUUUACCCUUCUUUUUCGACAACACUUCUGGAGUAAGUGCCUCCCAAUCGGGCUCAUCAGACUCAGAUUCCUCGCCCGGAGCAUACUCGCUCCCCUCAUCCUCUGGUUGUCGCUCAACCGGUCGCUUAGCCGAGAAACGUUGACGUUUGCUACCGCGACCACCACCGGCCAUAAGAAAAACAAGCACGAGUAACCAGGAAUACAUGAUUUUAAAAGGCACCUGUUAAACACAAUAACAUAUACAAAUUGAACAUAAGAACAAUCAGUAUUUGAUUCCAAAAACUUCAGCAAAUUGAUAUGUAAUAUGCUAGAUAAUCCUAGGGCCACAUAACCAUGAAAAUCAUGGACAAAUCAAGCAUAAAAAAUCAGUAAACUCACAUUUUUCGAAAAAAUUGAAAAAUUAGGUUUUAAUGAAGAAAACAGAGCAAAAAAACAACCAAACAAUUGCAUCAAAGUAUGAAAGAAUGCAAGAAAAUGCUGACUAACAUGUCUAGAGGUAAGAUCAGGGCAAAAAGAAGAAAUUUAACAAUAUAAUGAGAUCAAGACCCCAAAAACAGGAAAUAAAGCAUAAAUUCGGAUUAUAAGGCAACAACGAAAUAAAAUCCGAGAAUCAUACCAAAAUCAAGUGUAAAUUGAUGAAGAGAGGAACCAAAAGCACCCUGGAGAUAUUAGACGCUCUGGAGAGAAGUUGGGAAGGAAUUGGUAAAGUAAACAAAAUAGACCGCAAAAACCCUUAUAACGGUUCGGGCGGAGGGACCGGUCUCUCCAAGUCUGGGACCGGUCCCAGAGCCAAAAUCUAAAAAUUUAAUUUUCGUCCAGAAUUUUCAGAAAAUUUUAUUUAAUAUCCCCAAAAUAUCCAACAUAAAAAAUACUCAAUUUUCAUCCCCAAUGACUUCCAAUAAAAUUUCAUAAAUAAAUUUUGAAAGAUUAAUUUCAAAGAUAUUCAAAAUGUCAAAAAUUGUUGAUCCGAAAAUCAAAUAAAUUCUUGAUAAGUAUCAAAUAAAAUUUCACAUAUCAUGCAAGAUCUAAGAAUCAAUUGUAUUGUCUUAUUCUCAUAUUUGUUAAGAAAAAUGAAUAAGUAAAUCUCACAAUUGUGAAAUUAAAAUAAUAUUCACAAUUUGAGUUAUGCACAUAAUUCGAGAUAAGAGUGGCUCUUUGAGCAUCUUUUUAACAAACCACCUUAUAUCGCCUAGGAGAUGUAUUAAACAUAGUAUUAGAAUUUUACCAUCUCCACAACAUCUCAUAUUUAUUUAUUCUUUAUUGGCUUUUAGCUUAUAGAGAUAUAUUGAUCAUCAUGUGGUAGCUUCACACACUGAGCGGACGACCGGGGUGGUAGCUCUUUCCUCCAUGUGGUGGUAGUUUUCACACUCCCAGCAGGGAUGCAACUCUUUUCACAUCUUUUGAAUUUAAGAUAUUUUCAUAACCACAGUUGGAAAGACUCCCCCUAAAUUAGUGCAACCCUCAAGUCAAAAAUAUUAUUGCAAUUUCAAAAACAGAGAAAGAGUUAUUCAUCUCACAACUAAUAAUCAAACAAACAAUUGCAACAUUCAAAAUUCGAAAUAUGAGGUGUUAAAUUUUAAUUCAGAAUACUAAGCAGAAUUUCAACGAUUUGAUCGUUAAAAAAUUAUGACAAUAGAGAAUAACAUUGACAGUGAUCAAUCAAAAACUUAAUAUGAAACAAUUAAAGUCAUAUGAUAGAGCUAAUAAAAACCAAUUCAUCUCCCAAAAACAGUGCCAUCAUUUAUGAAAUUCAAUCGUCUCUCAAGAAUAAUCAGGAAAAACCGGAAAACAUGCACAAAAUGGAACAUGCACAUGAUCUAUGGCCCAAUAGAAUGUAUCUAGUUUGAAGGAUUCAUACCAAUAGCCUUUCUUAAAUGUAGAAAACGUUUUUGAUCCAAAGGCUUAGUUAAAAUAUCCGCAAGUUGAUUUGCAAUUGAAAUAUAUUCAAGUUGAAGAUAUAUUCAAGUUGAAGAACAUUUGAUUCAACCAAUUCUCUUAGAAAGUGAUAUCUUAGUUCAAUAUGCUUUGUUCGUGAAUGUAGAACAAGGUUUUUAGAAAUAUUGAUAGCACUCGUGUUGUCACAUAGAAUUGUAAAAGUGGUGGAGGAGAUCCGAUAAUCACUCAACAAGCUUUUCAUCCAGAUUAAUUGAGUAGAGCAACUACUGGCCGCAAUGUAUUCCGCCUUUGCAGUGGAGAGUGCAAUACAGUUUUGUUUUUUACUAUGCCAUGCAACCAAACAGUGUCCAAGGUAAAAACAAGCUCCACUAGUGUUUUUCCGAUCAUCUGCAGAACCUGCCCAGUGAGCAUCUGAGUAGCCGAUUAAGUCCAAAGACAUCCCCAUAGGAUACCAUAGACCAUAAGCAGUUGUACCUUUAACAUAUCGAAUAAUUCUCUUAACCGCUUUCAAAUGAACUUCCUUUGGAUUAGCUUGAUAGCGAGCACAAAUUCCCACACUGAAAGCAAUAUCCGGUCUACUCGCGGUCAAAUACAGUAAACUACCGAUCAUGCUCCUUUACUGUUUCUCAUCCACACUUUGUCCUUCAACAUUCACUCUAAGUCCUUUAUUACUUGUUCCCAUCGGUGUAUCAAAGUUCUUUACUCCAUCCAAACCAAAUUUCUUAACCAGUUCCUUUGCGUACUUGGUUUGAGACAAAUGAAUUCCUUCAUUUGAUUGUUUAACUUGAAGACCAAGGAAAUAUGAGAGCUCACCCAUCAUAGACAUCUCGAACUCACUAGUCACAACUUAGCAAAUUCAGUGGCAACUGUAUCUUUAGUUGCACCAAAGACAAUGUCAUCCACAUAGAUUUGUGCCACAACAAAAUCAUUGUUAGUGUGUUUUACAAAAAGAGUUCUAUCCGCUCCCCCUCAGUUGUACCCCUUUUCUAAAAGAUAUUUUGUUAAUCGUUCAUACCAUGCUCGCGGUGCUUGUUUGAGUCCGUAAAGUGCUUUCUUAAGACGAAAAAUAUGAUUUGAAAAUUUAGAAUCUACAAAACCUUUUGGUUGCUCCACAUAAACUUCCUCUUUUAGAAAACCAUUCAAAAACGCACUUUUAACAUCCAUUUGAUAAAGAGUAAUUUUAAAAUGACAAGCUAUCGCGAACAAAAUACGAAUAGAUUCGAGACGGGCAACCGGGGUGAAGGUUUCAUCAUUAUCAAUCCUUUCAAUUUAUGAAUAACCUUGAGCAACAAGUCUAGCUUUAUUUCGAACAAUUGUAUCAUCCUCAUUUUUCUUAUUUUUAAAAAUCGAUUUAGUACCAAUAACAUUUUGUUGCUCAGGGCGUGGCACUAAUUCCCAUACAUCAUUGCUGGUGAAUUGACCAAGUUCUUCUUGCAUGGCAUUUAUCCAAUAUUCAUCAAGAAGAGCUUCAUCAAUAUUCUUUGGCUCAAUUAGAGAAACAUAACAUGCAAAUUCACAUUGAAGUUGACUUCUAGCUCGCACACUAACACUCAGAUCUCUAAUGACAUUAGAUAAAGGGUGAUCUCUUGACUUUAUCAGGGGUGCAGUCUCAGAUGAUGUACUCGGUAUUUCAGAUUAGAUGCUUUGAGGCUCAGAUGGCUCAUUUGAUGCAACAUUUUCAGAAGAUGCAAUGGAAUUAUCAAAAGCAGAAACAUCAUCAUUCACAGGCAAUACAAAUGGAGAGAGUCAUUAUCAUCAUCAUUCACCAAAGAAUUAGAAGAACCAUUCACAGAAGAACUUACAGAAGAAGCUUCAUCUACUUUUAUAUUGAUAGAUUCUAUCACCGUCUUAGUUCGUAAAUUGUACGCACGAUAAGCACGACUUGUAGUAGAAUAACCAAGAAAAAUCCCCUCGUCACUUCGGGAGUCAAAUUUUUCAAGAUUUUCACGAUCCUGAAGGACAAAAUAUUUACUCCCGAAGACACGAAAGUAUUUAAUAUUAGGUUUCCUACAAAGCCAAAGUUCAUACGGAGUAUUCAAAGUACCCGGACGCACAUAAAUCCGAUUGAUAACAUAGACGGCCAUGUUAACUGCUUCGGCCCAAAAAUGUAAAGCAAUUUUCUUACUAUGAAGUAUAACACGUGCCAUCUUUUGUACAACCCGAUUUUUGCGUUCUACCACUCCAUUUUGUUGGGGUGUAUAAGGAGCCGAGAAUUCAUGUUUUAUGCCAUUUGAAACACAAAAAUCAACAAAUUUUGAAUUUAUGAAUUCUCCCCCUUGAUCACUUCGAAUACGUACAAUUUUAUCGUUACGCUCAUUCAUAAGACGAAGACAAAUCUCAGAAAAAGAAUCAAAAGUAUCAGCUUUUUCACGUAAGAAAGCACUCCAUACAAAUCGAGUAAAAUCAUCAACAAUAAGCAAGAUAUAACGUUUUCCACCCAAACUUUGAAUCCUAGAUAGUCCCAUCAAGUCCAUGUGAAGUAAUUCUAACGGUUUAGAUGUCCCUAAGUGGUUCAAAUUCUUAUGUGCGGAUCUAGUUUGUUUUCCCAGUUGACAACCCCCACACACAGUGUUCUCUUUGAAGUCUAUCUUAGGUACACCUCUAACAACCUCCUUCUUGGUUAUCUUAGAUAGUUCCUUAAAGUUCAUGUGACCUAGUCGUUCAUGCCAUAAAGUUUCGGUCUCUAAUGUCGCUAGGUUACAAUGUUCAGAUGAAGAACUAGGAACUACAUAGCAGUUAUUCUGAGAUCUAAUGCAUUUUAAGGAAAGAUUAUCAUCUCGAGUCACAUGGCAUUCUUUAUCAGAAAACUUCACAGAAUACCUAUCAUCACACAAUUGGCUUAUGCUUACGAGAUUUGAUUUAAGCCCCUCAACAUAAAAGACAUCAUUCAAUGUAGGGCCAUCUGAGAUAGUGACAGUUCCUUUUCCAAUAAUUUUUGAUGACCGACCAUCUCCAAAAACAACAAGUCCACUAGAGAUUUUAUUUAAAGAAGUAAACCAAUUUUUAUCACCGGUCAUAUGACGUGAACAACCACUAUCCAAAUACCAAGAAGAGUUGUCGUAAGCAUGAAGCGAAGUAUGAAUGACAAGGCAUGGGAAGAGUUCACCUUUGCGCACCCAAACCUUACGCGUUUUGGGUUGCGUAGGUUCACUUGUUUUUGGUGAUCGUGGCUUGUCGACGAUUUGAAUCAACUUCUUCUUCAGAUCCUCCUUCUUUGGUUUCCAUGCUUGUUUUGCCUUUGAUUUCGGAGCAUUUGGUGUCUAUGUUUGUUUCUUCUUAUGAUCAUCCUUCUUUGGAGUCCAAGUUGACUUCCUUUUUGAUUUAGGAUCAUUCUUCAUGGGCAUUAAUGAUGUUCUUUGAUUCAAGGUUGUUGUAGAGCUCUUACUCUUUUGUUUGCAAAAUUUCUUUAUAUGUCCUAAAACACCACAAAGAUGACAAGUUUUGUUAGCCAAAGUGUUUUUAGGAGAGACGAACUUAUUAUAAAGCUUAGGAACUGCUUUUGUCGAAUGUUCGUCAUCUUUCUUCAUUGCUUGAUCAAUAUACGUCCGUUCAUAUCCAAGUCCAAGUUUAUUUGUUUGACCAAGUCCAAGCAUCUUAUCAAGUUUGCUAGAGCCAGACGAGAAUUGAUUUAAAUCCGAUUUAAGUUGAAUAAUCGUCUUGGUGAAUUCCAUAUUUGCUUCUCUAGCUUCCGAGUAUUGCUUGAUAAGAAACUUGAUGUUUUCAACAUGAGUCUCCUUUUCCUUUUCAAGUAAUGUACACUUCUCAAACAAAGAAUUGUAGGCCUUAGUCAAACCAUCUCUUUCUUGUUCUAGAUCCUUUGACAAUGAGGCUAAUCUUGAAUUCUCUUGUUCUAACUCAUGUAGACUCCGCCGCAGCUUCUUGUUAUGUUUUGCCACCUUCUUUGAUUCGACUACCAAUUGUUGAUAUACUGCAAUCAUGUCAUCUUCAUCCGAUUCUUCAUCCGAUGAGUUCUCCGAAGAAGAUUUUUCAUACAUAGACGACAUAGAGAUAGAAUCUGCAGAUGCUAAACACAUAAAGGUUGAAUCCUGUGCAAUAAGUGCCGUGGCAUUAACAUCCUCAUCACUUGAGGUUGAAUCGUCAGAAGAGGAGUCAUCCCAAGUAAUAGCUUGCAUCGCUUUCUUUUUCAAAGACUUUUUAUUUGGACAGUCCGAUGCAAUAUGACCAAAUCCUCUACACUUAUAGUAUUGGAUUUGACCUUCAUUAGUUUUCUUCUCUUUUGAAAAAUCUUUAGAAGAGCUUUCAGACUUUUUAUUCUUAGAAUAAGACGAUGAAGAAGAACUCCCUUUAGAUUUGCUUGACUUGGAGGAAGUAGACUUGGGAGGAAACUUCUUUCUAAAGUUUCGACGGAACUUCUUCGUUAAAAGCGCUAGUUGCUUUUCAAACUCCAAGGUUUGCUCCGACUCCGAGUCCGAUAAAGUUGUAGUGUCAUCUCCUUUUGUUGAUUUUAGAGCCAUCCCUGAACCUUUAGAAGAACACUUGGAAGAAGACGAAUUAGAAAGAAAAGUCAUCUCAUACGUUUGAAGUGCACCUACUAAUUCUUCUACCUUAAGUUCAUCCGGAUGUUUUACCGUUUCAAUGGCCGCAACCUUAGGACGAAAUCGUUCGGGAAGGGUCCUCAAAAUUUUUCUAACAAUUUUGGAAUCCGGAAUCUUCUCACCUAAGUUAGCACACGUGUUUACAAUGUCUUGCAAACGAUUCAUGUUCUUCCAUACGAAUAGAAUCAAAUCUACUAGUAAGCAUUUGUAAUUUUUGAAUCUCUACCAAGCUUGUACCCUCGUGUGUAACUUGUAAAGUGUCCCAAAUUUCUUUGGCGGUUUCACACGCCGAGACACGAGAAAAUUCAGUUUGAUUUAAAGCAUUGAAUAAAGCAUUGAUACUCUUUCCGUUGAACGAAGAUAGUUCGUUUUCCUCUUUUGUCCACUUAUUUCUAGGUUUCGGACCGGUAACAUUCUCGACAACUUCGGUGGGAUGUUUUCACCCGAAUUCAAUGGUUUGCCAUACCCGGUCGUCGAUGGCAAUAAGAAACGCCAUCAUACGGACUUUCCAAUAAGCGUAAUUAGUGCCAUCGAAGAGAGAGGGUCGAUUGAUGUUACCGCCCUCGGCCAUGAUUUACAACCUAUACCCGCUCUGAUACCACUUGAAAGAUAUGGAUCCCGAGGAUCUAAAAGGUAAAUAACACCUAGAGGGGGGUGAAUAGGUGUAAAACGGCAAAAACAAAAACUCUCGAUGCAAAUAAAAGAGAUAGCGGAAAAUAAAAACAGCACACCGAGAUUUUAACGUGGGAAAACUCCAAUCUGGAGUGAAAAACACACGGGACCGAUCACGCGAAGAAAAUCCACUAAGAAAAUUUGAGUACAAGUGAUUUUAACUAAAAUAUAUGACUCAAUUUACCGAAUUCCCGUUGUUGAUGGUCUUCGCCGGUCCUAGAUCGAUAGGAAUCCUCCGAUCGACCUCGCCGCAACUCCUUGCUGCGCCAACGCCUCAACUCGAAGCGUCCACCGAAUCCUCGGCUUCACGCGAGUCCACGCACCGAACCUCCUUCCGAAGUUUGCAGAAUUGAUGAUUUGUGGUGAUUAAGACUUAGAAUACCAUAAGCAAUGAGAGUUCACCUUCUAAUCAAACAUCUACUUGAUUCUCGAAGAAGAUAUCGAGUUAGAUCGAAGAAUCAAGUCGAUCGUUGAAACUUGUUAUAAGAAUAGAAUCAUAUGAAUGUGAAAACAAGUUUCUAGGGUUUUAGAUCAGUAGAAAUUCAAAGCCUUAACCCAUAUGACGACCCCCAUGGCUUAUUUAUAGGUUUAGAAGACUUAGAAGUAGACUAGGAUUGCAAAAAGUCUAUUUAAAAAAACUGGUGUCGUCCUCAGGGACCGGUCCUCUCGAGGAGACAGGUCUUUGAGAGACCGGUCUCUCGAGUGAGAGACCGGUCCCUCGCUGCGUGACAGAAAACACACCGUUCGGGAAGCGGUCUCUCAUGCCAGAGACUGGUCCCUCGCUGCGUGACAAAAAAUCCCAUGUUCGGGAACCGGUCUCCCUUUCCAGAGGCCAGUUGCCUCAACAUCCCACGCAGUGAGGACCUUCGAGGACCGGUCCCAGAACACUGAAAAGUUCAGUUUAAGCUUUAUAAUGCAAUCUAAGUCUUCUGAACUUAUUGUAGUUAAAUAAAUUCAGCACAAAUGAUCUAUUCUAUAUACCUAAGGUGUCGAGCUUCUCCAAAUGAGUUUUUGCUCUUCAAAUUGAAUCUUCUCUUCAAACUACCGCGAUCAACUCUUCAAGACUCCAUUCGACUUUACGAAAUCCGCCAACCUAGAAAAUCCUUAACAGUUCUUUAUUCCUUCUUCUCCUUUGCUUCGAUCAACACCUGUUCAUCUAUGCUCUCCCCUUUUUUGUCAAAAAUUGUCAAAAAUGAAGCAUAUAGAAAGAAAGCAUACUAGAAAGCAUAAGAGGAGUCAUAUCAUAGUUACAGGCCUAAAGCAAAUGCAAAACCAAGCAAAACAAAGUAAAGCAACCUAAACAUAGUCCUAGGAGAGAAAAGAGAAAAACACAAGUACUAAAGCUCGAAAGAUAAAAUCACUCCGUGCCCUCCUCCUCAUCAUCAUUAUCGUCUCCUGCUCAAGCUCCAGAUCCCCCAACCUCAAGAGCACCACUGGAUGGUGGAAUAAGUGGAUGUCUCGAUGUAGACCUCGUGUAAGUGGUGUAGGUAGGCUGAGUAGGAAAUAUGUCGUCAUGCCUACAGCCUAGCUUCUCCAAAAUCCUCUUCAUUCCCACCUCCUACUUUAAAGAGCGCACCUCAUGAUGAAGUGAUUCUACAGUAAUCACUCCCCCUGAACUGAAAGAUCCCACACGCUCUGCUCGAGGUGGAGGUGUCGAACUAGAAGCUCCUCUGGAUGAUCCCUUUGUCUGCUGGAAUGUCUUCAGUGUGCUGACUGACUUGGCCCAAGUUACUGCACUAAUCGGUCCAAGUCCAGUGUCGUACUUUUCACACAAGACAUCUACUCUGUUCUCCUGCAAAACCCGAGUGAUCAACAAAGGAAAAGGAAGUAGAUCUCGUCGUACGAAAGACUGGAUAAAAUGCACUAUCUGCUGCCACAUCAGGAAUGGAAUGUUGAUGUUCAAUCUGUCUGCCUGCUCAGGGUGACCAAGAAGAUAGAGAAGCACCAGACGAUCCCAACGAAUCCUCUUGGUCCCAAUUGUCGGUUGAACAUUAUAGCACAUCACCAAGGAUAAAAGAUGAUAUUCAGGUCUCAAAUCCUUCGGCUCCACAUAUGCGUGAUUCGUCCUUACACCAUUCCUGCAGAUAGCUCAAACAACAGUCUCCUAGUGCGACGAAGACUGAUAAAUCCCUAUAGUAUAAUGAAGCCCUGUGGUAUCAACGUGCAUGCCUAAAAGCUCUCCAAUAGUGUGAGGAGUGACUACAACCUUCUUGUAAUAUACCAAAACUUCGGAAAAUAAAUAUCGAACUUUAGUCAAAUUGACCAAAGUGCGAGGAUGGUACACUUCGGAAAGCCCGAAGGUGUUAAAAUGAUCAAAAGUGAGUUGUGGAAGGUUUUCGAGAGCUAAAGAAUCAAAUUCUGCAAAACUGCAGAUUUUCAGCUCUCGGGGACCGGUCCCUGAAGGGAGAGAUCGGUCCUCGAACGCGUAUAAGAUGAGACAGCCGAAAAAUCGGCUAAGUCCUGUGAAAGUAGCUCUCGGGAACCGGUCCCUGCCUGAGAGACCGGUCCCCGAGAGACCGGUCCCACAGAGAGAGACCGGUUGCACUGCGCGCAGCAGCUCUGGCUGCGCUGGGACGACGUUCGGGCAACCGUGCGCUGCCGGAGAGACCAGGUCCCUGCCUGAGCGAUCGCCGCCCAUUCGGGCAGACUGUAUUAAAGUAAAGUUGAGGGGUUGUAGCUGCAAAUUUUGAAUCCCAAUAGGCUAUUAGCUUUAUUAGGGUAAAUGAGAGAUUUCUUUCAUUGUUACCUCUCAUUCCUCUUCAUCCAUCUUUCUCUCUCUAGAAGACAAAGAAGGAGAAGAGAAGGACAUAGAAGGAAGGGAAAGAGGAGAAGAAAAAGGAGAAGAAGAAGAGGAAGUGAAGAAAACCUUCCUCUCCUUCUUCUAGCUUGGGAAAGGAGGCAAGUUUAAAGGCUAAGCCUUGCCCUUCUCAUGCUAAAUUCCAAACUAGCGGUUUGGAUUAACCUAGAAAUGGCUUUAAGGGAGUAUUGUGAAGGGGUUUUGAAGCUUUCUUUUGCUUUCUUAAGGAAUCAAAACCUAGAUUUGCUAUAGAGGUAAGCUUGGACCACCUCUAAUGGUGAAAUCUAAUCUGCGGUUUGGGAAAGCCUAAAAAUGUUCUAAUGGACUAAUUAGAGUAUAAUGAAGCUACUUUUGCUUCUCUUUGAGAAUCAACCUAGGUUUGAUACAUGUGUUGGAGCUACUAGGGCACCAAAUUUGGCUUUUGCUCAUAGGGUUCUAAGUGUAAUUGACCCUUCUAGAAAACCUAAUGGGGUAUUUCGACGCGUUGGCUGCGCUCGGAUUAACGUUACGAAAAGCCAAAGUAAAGCUAUGGGCAAAAUGGCCUAAUAAGGGUUCGUUUUGCCGCAGGUAAGAACGAAACAUCUAAAAAUCCCAAGAAAAUCAUCGGAGCACCUGAAAGCCUACGAGGUGGGUGGUGCUUUUCAAACUCAUUGAAAUUCUCUCUAUGCCUAUGUGUCAUUCUGUUGAGCAUAUGUUCAUAUAUAUUGUUGCAUGCAUUUAGGGUAAAAUAAUGAUGAAUGUGAUGAUUGCAUGAUUGUGAGCACAACUUGCAUAAUGAGAUGGUGUAGAACCUAAUAAUGUCAAAACCCUAGAUGUAUGCAUUGAGAGAAAAUGUGAUACCCAAAGUGAGCAAUAGAACAGAGUGGCACAAUGACAUAGAUCGAGUGGGCAUUUGAAAUGUAAAGUAAAGAGACACUAGAGAUAGUGUGAGGUAAAGAACCAAUGUAAUGUAAAGAAUGCUGAAAAUGAUAAUGCUUAAAUUAACGCAAUGUGGGAAGUAAAGAACUGAAAUGCUAGAGGUAGCCAAAAGUAAAGAAUGUAAAGAAUAUAAAUUGCUAGAGUUAGCAAAAGUAAAGGACAAUGUAAAGAAUGUGAUGCAUGAUUUGCAACAUAAAGUGAAUAUAAUGACACAAGAGCUAGUUAAAGUCAAGAUUGAAUUAUUAUAGAUCCUUUAGUUAAGGAUAUGAUCAUGCUUGCUAUGAGUUCCGUGCUCGGACGGUCGCUCCCCUCGGCGAUGCGCUCCGGAGUUAUGCAUCCGGUUGGAGAAAACCCGUAAGGACGUCAUAGCGGGUGAGUUCCUGCGAUGAUGGACCUUAAUGUGAAGCAAAAAUGUGGCGAAGCCCCCGGGUUAGCCUAAUGAUUAAAGAACAAAAGAACAAAGAGCAAAAAAUAAAGAACAAAGUACAAAGUAAAGUCAAAGAACGAAUGAGUUUGCAUAAUCUGCACUUAUUUAAUGUUGAGCAUAUUUCUUGCUAUCUGUUCAGCAUAUUAGAUCAUGUUAUAGAAUUGGUUCCUAUAUCCUGUAACUCUUUAUCCUCUGAGUUAGUCCUAGUGGGAAAGUCGGUGAUGUUGAGGCCGAACCCACUGGGAACUUUGUUGUAGUUCUCACCCCACUAUUUCCACAGAGCCGGGACCGAGCGAGCCGGCGAGCGACCGAGGUAAAGGUAUCGCGCCGUAGUCAGAGGCCACCAGAGUUGGGUUUACAUUUUGUUAGUAGACACCCUUUUAUCAUCUUUUGUACUUGAUGAUAGUGAUGUAAAGAAAAGAAUGUAAAGCUUAUUUUGAGGUAAGUGUGAUGUAAGAAAGAAAUGAUGAAAUUAUGUAAUGAAAUGCAAAGAAUCCUAUUUUAAGAGAUGGAUGCAAUGUAUAUGAUCUAAAAUGAAUCAUAUUACUUGUGUAGAAGUUUAGUUUCCUAUCUUUCACUAAUGGCUAUUGCUUACCCUCGUGUAAGCCGUUUGUGUAUGUUUCCGCUAGUGCAAUUCUUGUUUGAAUUUUGUGCAUGUGAUGAGCCUUGGGCGGACAAGGGAAACUCUGUCCGUUCGGCGUCUGUUUGACGUGCUCGGGUCGGGCCAAAUUGGCAUCGGUCUCGGGGCGUGACACUUCUGCUGCCGCACAUAGGUCUCAAAUAAAUAAGUCCCUGUCUCCUCAUCCUCAGCAAGCACCCUCUCGUUCAUGUAGAACUCCCGAAUGAGUUACAUACAAAAAGGAGCACGAGCAGGAACCCGUCCAACGGGCUCUAUCGGUACCCUCUAAAGCAAGCGUUCAAAUUCCGAAACCUCCUUGAUGAGUUCAUUGAAGUUAACAUAGCGCUCCGCUAUGCAUGAUCUGCUCGAAAACGUCCGCCGCCGCUCCGGUAGAACAUCCGCGGCUUGCUUGGAGCGAGUCUCUCUAGCACGAGAGCCACUUCUGCGUGAUGAUUCUCCAGCUAUGCCUUUCCCCUUGUCAGGGCGAGCAAUAGGUUCUUCAGCCUCCUCCAGGGAGCUCGCCUGAUAAUCUGGAUCAGAACCCGGUGACUCGCCUGCAGUACGAGUCCUCUUAGAAGCCUCUCGAUGGCCUCUACCACCACAUCGACUACGUCCAGCGGCAAUCAGCACCAAAAUCAGUAACACGAGCGAAAAUGUUAUUUUUCCUAUACAAAAAGUAACCUUACAUGAAUAAAAUCUUGAAAAAAUCUGUAAAAAUAGCGAAAAAAUUUCUAAUAAUAUUAGAAUGCAUACUAACACUAUUUCUAACUAAAUCAUGCAAAAAUUUUUAUCAAAAAUGACAUUUUAUCAAAAAUUUUAAAAUUCCAUGUAUAUAGAGGUACAGAUCAAAGAUCAGCAAAAAAUACAGCGUUAUAACCUGAUCUAAGUGUUCUAGAAGCAAGAUUAUAUGUCUAAAUACUGAUUCACAGCAAAAAAUUAUAUAAAAAACGCAUCAAAAUACAGAUCAUGCUUCAACUCGGAAUAUUUUCGAAAAAAUAGCAAAAACGCGAGCAAAUGAUUAAAUCCGAGCUAUAAACUUACAAAUCUUGAGGGAAAAGCACGUGGAUCUGAAGGAGAAGACCACCUGGGAUUUUUAGAGAGAGAAAGAAGGAGAUUUCCUUUUGAUUUGGGUGAGAAACAAAAUCCUGUAACCGGUUAUAAAAGACGCGGCACAGUGAUUUGUACCGGUACACGUUAUUUUGUACCGGUACACUUUCACAGAUUUCGAAAAUUUUGAAAUUUUUUCAUCAAAAAGCUUUCAAAAUUAAAUUAAUUUCAUAAAAAUUAAAGAUUAUACUUCAAAAAUCAUUAUGAUGACGAUAAAAUAUUAUAGGAUUUCAAAAUAAAUCGAAACAUCAAAAUUUGGAAAUCAAAUAUAAUCUAGUGUUUCAAAACCAUCAAGAUGCAAGUUGAUGAAAAAUGAUUUUUAGAAGUUCAACAAAAUUGACACCUAAUUUGUCGCAACUCGUUCAACAUAGAGAUUUAACUAACAUGGCACCGGGGGUGGCUCUUUGAGCAUCUUUUCAUCCAACCACCUUAUACUUCCGAAAAAUCUAAUAUAUUUAUUUUUUUUCAACCUUUUCGGUUAAUUCAUUAAUUUCUAUGUGGUAGCUUCACACACAUACCGGACGACCGGGGUGGUAGCUCUUUCCUACACGUGGUGGUAGUUUUCACACUCCUUUUGGAUGUAACUCUUUCCACAUCUUUUAAACAUAGGAGUUUCUUCUUUUUUUUAAAUAAAUCAAACCCCCCCUUAAUUAAACAACCUCACAAUUGAAAAUAAUUUUGACAAAAUUUUAGUCGAUUAGUGAAUAUCCAUCCAUCAUAUUCAACACACACAACCAAGACGAAUUAAUCACCAAAAGAUUAAACUUGAUUUCAAAAUUUUGAUGAAUAUAUGUAUUAAGAAUUCACAUAAUCAAUUAUCAUCAAAAUAAUAAAAAGUGGAGUAAAACCGAUAAUUAAUAUCAUUGCAUUACAAGAUGAAUUUCGGUUAAGGCACUUUGAAAAAUUCUAACCUCUUCAAAAUAAAGAUUUUCAAUCGUCUCAUUUCUCAAAGAAAAAAUUUUAAAUUUCCAAACACCUUUCCUCAAAUCAAUUUUAAAAACAAAUUUCACACACGAAAAUCAUCUUGUAAUGCAAUGAAAAAAAAAAUGCAACAAGCACCAAACAAAGCAUUACAUAAUCAAUCAAAACAAACUUAAGACAAAGAACAAGGAAAGAUAUCACCUUUCCGGAUCCAUACUUGUCGGAUCGUUGGUUGUCUCGGCUUGUCGACGUUAGGUGUCAUUUGCUUUGAUUUUUUAUCAACCGUUGAUUGCUUCGUUGAUAGUGGCUUCGGUUGGUUUUGACGUUGUGCGUUUGAGCUCCGAUUCCCACGAGGUACUCGACUUAAUUGUUUUUCCUUUGAGCUCCGUGGGGGAAGUCGAGUAGUAGAGGGUGUUGCUUGAUGUUUCGAAGUUGUCAAUUGAUUCUUCUUUGUCUUGUUCGGGCAACUCUUUUUGAUGUGUCCUUUGAUACCACAUCGAUGACACACCUUUUUCGUUUGAAUUUGUUGAGACUUUAGAAGUUGAUUUUGAAUCCUUCUCAACACAUGUUCUUUCAUAUCAGAGGCCCAACUUGCUCGUUUGACCCAACCCAAGCAUAUGGUCUAAUUUCUUCGAUCCCGAAGAAAACUUUUGAAUAUCGGAUUGGAGUUGACGAACUUGAUCGGUCAAGAAUUGAUUGGAUUUGUAUGAUUCUUCAAAUUGUUGCUCCAAAAAUCCAAUCUUAUCUUUAUAGGAUUUGAUCGUUGAUUCCGCUUCAUCAAGCUUCUCUUGGAGGAUUGAACGAUCUUUGAAAUUUGAUUCCUUGUCCUCCUCGAGAGCUUAAUUCCUUGUCUCCAAAUUUUUGUUCUCCUCUUCAAUGUCCAAUAAACGACGCCUCAACUUCUUAUUGUGCUUGGUCAUCUUUUUCGAAUCAAUAAGAAGUUGAUUGUAUGCUUCCACCAAAUCCUCAUCGUUUGACUCCUCGCUUUCACCAUCAUCGCUCGAAGUACAUUGCAAAGAAGGAGAAACACUAGAAUUAGACACAAUAGAGGAUAAACAAACAACAUUAGACGAAGGAAAAGAAGUGUUAGUAAAUAAAGAAAGAUUUCCAUUCUUUUCUUCGUCACAUGAACUUGAUUCACUUGAAGUAGAAUCAUCCCAAGUCUUCGCUUGCAAUGCCUUUUGUCUAUAUGUUUUCUUUGAAGGACAAUCCGUCGCAAUGUGGCCGUAGCCUUUGCAUUUGUAGCAUUGGAUUUCCCCUUUAAAUUCAUCUUUUUCUUCUGAAGACUUUGCAAGUUUUUUAUCCUUAGAUUUAGAAGAUGAAGAUGAUUUAGAAAAAGGUUGUUGCUUAGACGAUGAAGCCUUGUCCGAUUUAUUCUUCUUUCGAAAAUUCCGGCGAAACUUCAUCAUUAAGAGUGCUAAUUGAUGUUCGAAAUUAGCAAGCGAAACAUCUCUGUCGGAAUCCGAAUCGUCGUCUUCUUUCUUUGUUGAUUUGAGUGCAACCCCUAUACUUUUAGAAAAAGACUUGAAAGAAGAUUGAUUAGUAGGAAAAGUCAUCUCAUAAGUUUGCAGAGCACCUACUAACUCUUCGACUUUCAUCUCGUCCGGAUGCUUUACGGUUUCGAUCGCGGCAACUUUUGCCCGCAAGCAUUCCGGAAGAGUGCGAAGGAUCUUUCUAACAACUUUAGCAUCCGGGAUUUUCUCUCCCAAGUUCGCGCAUGUAUUAACAAUGUCUUGUAGACGUGUAUAGUACUCGGUAAAGAUCUCGUUUUCUUUCAUAAAAAUCGAGUCAAAUUUACUCGUUAACAUUUGCAAUUUUUUAACCUUUACCAAGUUAGUUCCUUCAUGCAUAACAUGUAGAGUAUCCCAAAUCUCUUUGGCGGUAUUACACACCGAAACGCGAGUUAACUCCAUUUGUGACAAAGCAUUAAAUAAAGCGUUUAUGCCCUUUCCAUUAAACGAAGAUGACUCGUUUUCAUCUUUCGUCCACUUGUUCCGCGGUUUAGGAACGGUAGCAUUAUCGCCGACUUUGGUAGGAUGCUUCCAACCGAAUUCAAUUGCUUGCCAUACCCGCUCAUCGAUUGCGAUUAGAAAAGCUCUCAUGCGAACUUUCCAAUAGGUAUAGUUUGUGCCAUCGAAGAGAGGUGGUGGAUUAAUGUUACCGCCUUCGGCCAUUAGAUAGCAAUAUAUCUAGAUCCCUCUCUGAUACCAAUUGUAAGUUUUGGGGUGCCCAAGGAUCUAUCUAGAUUGUAUCUAACACCUAGAGGGGGGUGAAUAGGUGUAAUAGCCAAAAACCACAAAUCUCGAUGCGAUAAAAAUAAGUGCGGAAAAUAAAAAUCACACCGAGAUUUAUGUGGGAAAAUUCCAACUUGGAGAAAAACCCACGGGACCAACACGUGAAAAAAUAAUUCACUAAGAGAAAAGAUUAUAAGGUAAUUACCGACUCCACAGACUCGACCUCUCUUAACCUCUUAUGAAUUUCGCGCUAUCCUCCGGGUUGUCCACGCCCCCACGUUCGAAUCCACGAACGCUUCGCACACGUCCGAAUCCACGAACGCCACUCGAAUCCACGAGCCCACAAUCCGAAUCCACGAACGGCCUUCAAUCACGCCGAAUCCACGACGCCAUCCAUCAAAAACAUCAUGCUAUGGUGAUCCUUCGCUUAUAGUGUUGUAGGAAACCAGAGAAGAAAACUCCAAGCGAAGCGUAGAUCAAAUCGACAUAUUGAUAUCAAAUUACAAUCUCUCGAUUUGACCUAAAAGAUGCUAUUUUGUAGAAAAUAGGUUUUGGACGAAAUCCUAGCCUCUAGGGUUUCUCAAACAUGUAUUCUCAUGAUGCUUAAUCUGUUAGAGAACCCCAAUAGUUUAUUUAUAGACUUUAGAAUCAAUUAGACUCGGAUUAGAAAGUUUUUCGAAUUUUUACAUUGUGUACCGGUACACUUUCAAGCUGUUACCGGUUACACGAUGACGGAACGAAAAACCUGCGAAACAGUGUAACCGGUGACAGGUCGCUGGUUGUACCGGAACACAAUAUGUAUCGGUACACUUUCAAUGCUGUACCGGCACACUUUGCAAUUUUCAGUUUUUUACAAAGUUUUUGGUUUCGCAAAGUUCCAAUGCACUUUCUGAUCCAGUAAACAUUGAUUUUAUGAUUCUAAUGCAUACAACUAAGUAUGAAUCACCCUAACAUGAAUUACAAACUUUACUUGAGCAUCGUGAUUCACGUCGUGAGUUAUUUUUCGAUUUCUUCGAAAUCUUGGAUUCUUCGAUCUUCGACAUUACGCACUGAUCCUUCAAGACUUCGACUCAAUCCACGAAACUUGCCAACACACAAGACUUAACACUAACCGUCAGCCACUAGCCGACAAUCCUAUCCCUCAGGGUAUACCGACCGUAUAGGUCAUCGAAUAGUCCAACCGACCAAGUAGGUCACAAUAACACUGCAGUAAGCCGACCGAAUCGGUCACAGAUACGAGAUACAAGAACGGACCAACUAGGUCACAAAACCAGAUACAACGCACUGACCGACUAGGUUAUAAAUCUCACGAAUAAUCACAGAACCGCUCUACUUCUAAAACAUGAUACUGGGUAUGCAACCAACUAAGUAGAACAAUAUAGAGAUAUGGAAUGGUGCUAGGCUCAACAUAUAACAUGCAAAAUAAACAACAAGGAAAGAGUGAAGGGAAUAUCACCGAGUGUGCACCAUUGUACCGACUUCGGAUCGAAGUACCCACCUGUACGAAUAACAUGCCUGUCUCCCGACUGUGAAGAUCGUCAACCGGACCUACGGAGGGUCCACCGGGUUAGUAUCUAACCCACAAAUGAGAAACACUAAACUAACAAUCCCACUUGUAAACCCACGGGAAUCGGUUUUCCAAAAUCGAAUGCCGAGCACGCCGGAAGUCUUGAAAACAGCACCGGGACUCUGUCGGGACCCACAAACUGUCCCGGAACUCACUGACUCAUGUUACGAGUGGCCCGCUACCACUAAACACAAAUUUUCAUGUGACUCGGCAGCAAAACACUAACUCACUCCGAAACGAUUAUCAUUGGAUAAUCGUUCCGCUUCGAGUUCCCGAAAGUGUCCAAUUCGACGCUGGAACCCACCGUCGCUCACCUGUCAUUUCCGAACCCUCGAAACGAUGUGGGUGAUCAGCCAACAAGGCUCAGCGACAGCACGAAUUAUCACGAGGCACCGUCGAAAGAAUUCUGAACUGAAAACGCGUUCCGUCGGCUGAUUUCGCCGAAAAACACACCAGAAAUCAACUUUUGAUUUCUGGAAAGGCUUGGGGCCUUGGACAACUAGUCCAGAGGUCACUUACUGCCCGCACACGCUGCCAACAGUGACCACAACAAGCACAAUUGCAUAAAAGCCUCCUUGAUUACAUAAAAUCACAUUAUUUUAUGUGAUUUCUGGGCAUUUAUGGUCCGACAGCGCAAACCGAGAAAAAUUUAGCCAAGCCGAGACACCCGGUGACAGGUCUCGGCAUGCCGGAGGUCGUGCUCACAGUUCAGAGCACUGCCCGCCACUGUGGCGAGCGCGCGAGCGACGCGAACUACAGUGAAACAGCGCGCACAGUAUUUAAAACACGUAUAUCACGGAAAUCGCAGACCCCAACGGAGGUGAGCAUGAUGUUCAGCACGAAGCAGGGUUCAUCUUGCUCUCUUCCAAACUUAUCGGGGUGCCCUCAGAUCACUGUAAUGGCGACCGGAACCCCAAAAUAAUGUGCAGAUAAACCAAACAAGGCUUACCGGACCAGUGGGAGCACAGGCUGGUCGCCGGCGGUCGGACGACGGGCGCUCCGGCAGCGGAUGGGUGCGGCUGGUCAGUGGGGCUGGGGCACCUGCUGGCAGGUGGCGGGAGGCAGUCGGUGGCGUGGCGGAGGAGAUCAAGCCCACUAGCUUGGCCUCGGGUUCAAGGGCGACGACGGCCGGGGAAGCUUCGGGGCCGCGGUAACCGGGCGCCGGAAGCCGAGGGAGUGCGGGUGGCGGCGACGCGCGGAGGCCAAGUCUGGUCGGCGGCAAGAAGCAUCAAAUCUGGGCGGCCGCAGGAAGCACCAACGGUGGCCGGCGGCCACGGAGUCGGCGGCGAUGGUGCGCGGGGAGUCACCGGCGGCCAGAGGGAGACGGCGCGGCCCGAUCCGGCUGGCGGAAGUUCACGGGUCUGGAGCUAGGCCGAGCUCGGCUAGACUUGGGCCGGGUUGGCCACAGUAAGCACAGGCGGCGCCGGCGGCCCACGGGGGCGGCGGGGACCGGCGGGGAUGAGGCCGGCGAUUGGUCUCGGCUAGAGGAGUGCGAUCACCUCUGGUUAGGAUGACUUCCAGAGGCCGACAACCAAUGUAAUGGCGACAAGUGGAGGGAGGAGUUGAGAGAGAGGUCGGGGUGGCUUUUCCGGCGGCCGGUGGUGCUCGCCGGCGGCCAGGGCAUGCGCACGAGUGGGGCAGAAGGGUGCUGCGACGGUUAGGGUUAGCUGGGUGGACUGGGGUGGCUAGGUCUAGAGUUUGGUGCAAAGAAACCCUAAUCCAAUCCAACCCUUAUAUACAAAGUGUAUUUUUGCGAAAAACCCCCUCAAAACUGAUUAUUUACAAUCCAGCCCCCUGUCAGUGCGUGUAUUUUGCACACCAGCCCCUCGACGUUCAAAUUUGCGCAAAACGGCGCAUAAAAUAUUAGACCUUUCACGAAUUUUUCGUUUUUGCCAAUUCGACCCCUCAACGAACUUUUCACGUUUUUCGAAGAUCCGUCCGUUGGAUUUCCAAACGGAUCACGCCAACGCGUUCAGUACGACUGGGGCAUCAAAUCUAGCAUUUCGUUUCAUCCGAUUUGGUCGCUGAUUUGCGAUGAAACCAGCCCUCUCUCCAACUUUCCAAAACCACACCUAAAAUAUAAGUGUAAAUCCAAUAAACUCCCUUCUUCUCGAAAACCGUGCAUCAAACCUAAAAUCCAUAAGUGCCAUUGGUUCUAGAAUAGCUGAACCGUUCAAAACGAACUAUUGGAUCGCUAUGAACGGAGUCUGAUACACGCCGGAAGCCAACUCUACUCUGUGGCCUUUUCGAAAAACCGGGUUAAUAUUCACUUUAAGUGAAAACUAAAGAUCGCGUAAAAUCUCCGUUCUAACUCAUUUUCCUCCGAAACGUGGCGAGUGGUUUUGUAAUUAAAUUACACACAAAAAUAUUAUCAAUAGAGAGUUUAGCUACACUACCAAAAUCUCAGUCCUUACAGUCGCAUAAGCGGCCAUCGUUAGCGAAAUAACUAUACCCCCUUGGAUGUGUAGCACAAGUGAACCUGCGGGUAGCCAACCGGAUGCCAAUUUAGAAGCAAUGCCCAUCCCAAACAAGGAAAAUCCUAUGUCGACGUCAUGCCCGACACAACAUUUACAAACUCUUUACAAACUCAAUGUUAUUGACAAAGUCAGGGCCAUUGACAACCAAAAAGGACCCUGACAGACUCCCCCACUUGAUUCCUCGACGCCCUCGUCGAGGUCUUCAGCUUGUACCACCUUGCGUGCUCUGUUCAUCCCGACGUAUCCGCCGAGGUCUUCUGCUGGUAUUCCCUGAUCCUAUCUUCUUCAUGCCGAAGUGCAUCUUCUUGCUCCCAAUUAGCUUCAGCCUUUGGCAGGUUCUUCCACUGGACGAGGAAUUCUCUUUCAACUGCUCCACUGGGUAGCUUCUGCACUCUGUCGAAUUUUGUCAACUCACCUCUCGACUGAGGAAAUUGUGGGGGUGGGGCGAGUUGGGAUGUUCCUUGAGGGAUCUUCGCGGUCGGCAUGGUAGGGCUUCAGGCAGCACGUAUGGAACACCGGAUGGAUUUUAAGCCACGCCGGCAGCUGCACACGAUAGGAGACCUUUCCCACCUUGCCCACAAUAGGAAAGAGGCCUUUAUACUUCCAGACCAAACCCUUGUGCACCUUUCGGAACACUCUCAAGGAUGCUGGUUGGAGCUUGACCAGCACGAGGUCGCCUUUGCAGUAGUCUUGAGGCCGCCUAUCCUUAUCGGCCCACUUCUUCAUCGUUCUAGCCGCCUUCUCCAAGUAGGCUCGGGCGAUCUCAACAUUACGAUGCCACUCCUUGGCAAGGUGGUAAGCUUAGGAGCUGCUGCCGGUAUACCCGAUGACCAAAGUAUGUGGUGUUGAAGGUUGCUGGCCGGUGAUAAUCUCGAAGGUGCUUUUGUUGGUUGUACAGCUCCGCUGCAGGUUGUACGAGAACUGGGCUAUAUCAAGUAGCUUCACCCAGUCUCGUUGGUUGGCACUACGAAGUGCCGAAGAUAUUGCUCGAGCAGAGCAUUUAUUCUUUCAGUCUAGCCAUCAGCCUGGGGGUGUAGGCUGGUGGAGAAAUAUAGUUUGGACCCCGAGAGCUUGAAGUGCUCCGUCCAUAACCGCUCGAGGACGCGGGAAUCCCUAUCAUUAAUGAUAUUCUGUGGGACUCCCCAAUACUUCACUACAUGCUUCAAGAAUAGCCGCGUCGUCUCCUCAGCAGUACAACAUAUAGGUGCAGGGAUGAAAGUGGCAUAUUUCGAAAAUCGGUCCACUUUGACAAGAAUCAAACCGAUCUCCCCCACAUUUGGCAGGUUGACGAUGAAGUCCAGGGAGACGCUCUCCCAUGGCCGCUCCUGCACUGGUAAAGGCUCCAACAGCCCACAUGGCUUCUCUCGCUUUACUUUGUCUUGCUUGCACAUGAGACAGGUGCGUACAUAUUCUUCGAUGUCCUCCCCCAUUUUCGACCAAUAAUAGGCCCUCUCCAUAAGGGCCAGGGUUCGAUGUACUCCCGGGUGGCCUGCCCACAGGUGUCAUGACACUCAUGGAGCAGUUCUCUCCUCAGGUUCCCCGCCCGCAGCACGUACACUCGAUCCCCCUUUGUUUUGAUGAGGCCGUCCUGGAUCCAGAAUCUUCGUGCCUUGCCUUCGUUGAUCAGUUGCUUGAGAGUCACUUUCAUAGGAUCCUUCUUCAACUCUUCACAGAUCCUCUUUUGCAAAGUUGCUUGUACUUGACUUGCCCUCUCAUUGGAUAGGGUUUUAAGGGCAACAAGUUUGGCCUUUCUACUGAGACAUCAACAACUUGGUUACGUCAUCCUGGCUUGUACUCCAAGACCAUGUCGAACUCUGCUAGGAAAUCUUGCUAUCUCGCCUGCUUCGGAGUGAGCAUCUUCUGAGUCUGAUAAUAACUCAGGGCGACGUUGUCCGCCUUGACCACGAAUUGGGAUCCAAAGAGAUAGUGCCUCCACACCCGGAGACAAUGCACCACUGCUAUUAUCUCCUUCUCAUGGACUGCGUACUGCCGCUCGGUGUCAUUCAACUUCCGGCUCUCGAAGGCUACAGGGUGGCCCUCUUGUACGAGUACCCCUCCCCCCC